rnacentral:lncRNA from 1 species
CACACUGCCUUCUGCAUCAGCACCAAGCAACAGGACAGCUACAGUGGCUGCCCUGCAACACCCUCAAAACCUUCUGCAUCAGCACCAGGCAUCAGGACAACCACAGGGGCUGCCCUGAAAAACCCUCAAAACCUUCUACAUCAGCACCAGGCAUCAGGACAACCACAAGGGCUGCCCUGAAAAACCCUCCAAAACCUUCUACAUCAGCACCAGAGAUCAGGGCAACUAGAGGGACUGACCCGCAACACCCCCCCCCCCCCUUUUUUUACAUCAGCACCAAGCAUUAGAACAGUUAGCUACAACAGCCUCCCCUGCUUUCCACAUCAGCACCAAACAUAAGGACAACUACAGGGGCUGCCCUGUCACCUCUUCUAAAACCUUCUGCAUCAGCACCAGGACAACUACAGGGGCUGCCCUGCAACACCCCCUCCCCCCACCCCCCACAGCCCUUACCCCUCUGCUUUUUACAUCAGCACCAAGCAUUAGUCAGUUAGGUACAGUAGCUGCCCUGCAACAGCCUCCCCUGCCUUCCACAUCAGUACCAAGCAUCAGGACAGCUACAGUGACUCCCCUGCCACAUCUUGCAUUGCCUUCAGCACCAAGCAUCAAAACAGCUACAGGGGCAGCCCUGCAACAUCUUGCAUGUCUCACAAAGCCCACUUUGAGUCUGUGUGACUGUGAGAUUGUGUGUGUCUCUAUAGCUGUUAUAUCAUUGGGUCUGUCAUUUACCCUCCCUCCUCUGUUCUCUCUCCCUCUCUCUCACUCUCUCACUCUCUCUCUCACUCACUCUAAUGUGUGAUCUAGAAAGCUUAUAAAAGCCUGAUGUAAUUCGCUAUGCAGCCCCUGGCUACAAAGACGGGAUCUACUUUCACUGAGAAGCUAAAAUAAAAAGACAGACAGAAGACAUUGCAUACCAGCGGAUCCUGAGCAAACAUCUCUCUGGGAGACAAUUUCCUCCUGUUGUGGGCAAGCUGCAUGAAAUAUUCCUGAAGAAGGCUUGAUUGUCUCAUUGGAUGUAACCAUUUCUGGGAUAUUUAACUGGGAUUGUUACCUAAAGGCUGCUUUUCAUCUCCAGUGAUCCUAUUACCUGCACAUUGUGCUAUAAAGUUCCUUCCAGCCACCAGGUUUCCUAUUCUCCAGACUGGGCUCAUUUCAGCCUUUCUCUGUUUUGGGAGAUAGAGAGGGUUAUGGUGCUGGGCUGACACCUGGAAUUUGUCCUAAGGAAGACCAGGAGACGAUCUGAAGUGAAAGAAUCUCAGGUAAACAGAUACACUGAAACACAAACUUGUUUUAUAUUGGAGAUUGCCUUUGGAGGGCAUGUUUGUAAAUAUUUUGGAAUUGAGACCUUUGCUAGUAUUGCUGGGAGGUAUUGCUAAGUGGGGGGGUCUUUUUUUCCAGAUUAGUGAUUGUGGGGGAUAUCAUUCUACUUCCAAGUCACCUUAUAGAUGUCCAUGGAGAUAAUAGAACAUGGACACUAUAGUAUUCGUUUUAACUAUUCUAUGCCCAGAGCCCCAGCUUUAACCCCUUCAAGUCCAAGGUAAUGUAAAAUCCAUGUAAUUUGGGGAUGGCAGCCCUGAAGUGGUUAAAUAACAGUGGAUUACAUUAAUUGUUUAGUUGUAUAUGAAGAUAAUGUCCUUAACUCUUAAUUGCUGCUGCUGAAAAAAACCCCAUAAUAUAGAGAAUUGUGAUGCAUCUAACAUGCUUUGUGUGUGUGGAUCUAUGUGUAGUGUGUGUUUAUAUUGAAUGCAAACAUACUUCCAUUCAUCCAUCCAUACAUGUUUAACCCUUUCAGUGCAAAUGGUGCAUUGCACAGCUCUCUGGCACUAUACAUGUUAAUACAAAGCAAACACCAGAUCCUACCACUGCAUUGGAACCCAGACAGGCAUCAAAUCAUGACUACAUGGAACACAUGUUAAUUGGCUUAUAAUACAUUGUAACUGGUCACUGUAUAAGUUAGGUUAUCAUUACCCUGCAUAGCACAGGCUCAGUGAAAUACUAUGAUAGUGUGGGGCUCAUUUAAUGCUAGAUUACUUGGUCUGUUUGUUUAUUGGAGCCACCACAUGUGGCAUCUUAGAAGCUGGCAAAUUCCACUGAAUCUUAUUAUAGAGAGGCAGAAUUUCAAUGUUACACAUGUGGCACGCAGACAGUUAAAUGUUUAUGAAGCAUAUAUUAUGUUAAUUAAUUCAUUUAUUUCUGUAUUUAUUUAUUUGUUGUGUGUAAGAAUGGUGGCAUUAUCAUGAACAUGUAAACUAGCAUCCACAGCCAUAUGGGAUAAAGGACAAACAUAUGGUUUAUAUAUAAUAUAUAUCACUCUGUGCACCAUGACAUUUUUAUGAUUUUUUUUUUAACUUUAUAUUGGCAGCAGAAACAUUCCUGUGUGUAAUAUAUAUCUGUAUGUAUGUUGAUGGCUCUUUGCACAGCACAUGGACUGGGCGUAUAGCAGCAAUUGUGCCAGAGGUAAAAGACCACCCAGGUUCCAAAAUAUAAUAACCUCUACAGCCCACCACUGCACUCAUGGGUUUCCGCAGAAAGAACCUUGAUCUGUAUGGGUAAUUGCAAGACAACCUUUUGUGAAUUAUAGUUCCAGACAUCAUGUAGGAGUUAAUGGCACAUUCGCCUACACUCCGUCAUCCUUUUCUUAAAAAAAUGUUUUCCAAUCUUAAGCCUAUCUGAUUAAAGGUCUGAAAGGCAGACUUUGGCUGUAAUUUAGUUAUUAAAAUGUAAAUGCCAUUGAAUAGGAGAGGGUCAGAAUAUAUAUGACUUCAAUGCAAUGUGCAAGCCCCAUUCAUGGCUUGAGACAAGAAUUGGACAAUGACAUGAUUUAGAGACCUUCAAUUUGGGCACAAGCGAGGGGCAGGGUGAAUGUAUUCAUCCUCUAAAAAAAUCUUAAAAAAUACUAUUUAAAAAAAAAAACACUUUGAGAUCAUGUAGAGGUUCAUAAUUGUUUUAUUGUGACAUGGACAGAUAAAUGACUAGUGAUCAGUGGCAUUGCAAAAACAAACAAUAUUUCUAAAGAAAAUUAUAGCUAUUCAUUAUUAUGGCAUUCAUCCUUGAUAUAUCAAAGACUUGUUGAGUGUUUUAAACCGAUUUCAUUUGUGUCUUGUAUGUCCCCCAAAUGUAAACGUAUUUAUUACCAUAAUUACUUAUUCUGAACUAGCCUCCCUAUUUAAUGAGUGGAGUGCUGCUAAGGACUAUGCGUAUCUAUUCAAUCCACCCCCCUAUAAUUCACCUCUCUGUGUCAGGUUUCCCAGAUGAAUACCAUCACCUAACAUUGCACAUUUCACAUGUUCAUAGUGACUAAUACACAUUAUAAAUGAUUCAGCUCCACUAAAAGUGAGAAUUUCCUUAGUUCAAAUUAUGUGCUGUGAUUACACCUGCGUGUGCUGAAAAAGACUCAAAGAUACUUUGGGAAACUCUGAUCUCUUUUAAAUAUAGAAAAAUGGGAAAUCCAUAUGAUUUCGAAUGAUGUACUCCAUUGAUGGAGUUUAUUUUCUGUGAAUUAAAGAUUUAAGGCUUCACCUGGUUUUAAAUUAGUGUACUGGGGUACCAUGUUGUGGAUGCAGAGUACAACUCUGGGUACGACAUGUUAAUAUUAUGUUGCAUUAACACUCCACUCUAACCCCAGCAAUUCCAUAAUAUGGUAGAAUCAUUAGCAAAUUAAGUUCAAGGGGAGAGACAUGCUCUUCUGAUGAAUUUCAAUGGCUUCAACCUUUCAAACGGUGAGAGAUCCAUUGUAAGGUGAGGGCCUUACCUUCUGGCACUGAAACAGUUAAAAAUAGCAUCAUUUUCUUCAUGGGAAAAAUCAACCGUGAAAAAUUAUAUAUAGAAUCCAUAACUCAUCAAGACUUGCAUCUCCUUCACUUCCUAACCUACCUUUUUGUCUGGGGAAAAGCCCUUUCAUCUCAUCAUUUUAUGGGUCAACGAGCAUUAAAAAAAAAAAUCACCUAAAUAAUUCAGCUUGUCAUUGAGAGAGUGGAUAGAACAAGGAUACAGGUUAGGGAGGAUUGACAGAACUUGCAACAAUUGUGGGAGUAAGUAAGCAACAGUGAAAAUGAUGCAUUAUGCAGAAAUGUUGACGUGUAUGUUUUUUAAAAAAAUUUUUAUUUCAUAAACAAUUAACUUUUUUUCUCCUCGUAUGCUGUUGUCUCAAAUUCACCAUGAUCCAUCAGCUAGCUGGAGCACCUUCCUGUGUCACUACUUGGUUUUGAAUAAGAAAUAAAGUAAUUUAAAUCACCCGAGAAUGAUUAAAUGCUCUCUAGUCAAAAGACUGACAAUCCGUUGCACAUUUUCCUCCGACGUUUGUUUGAUGGAUGCGAAUGAAAUCAUUGAUAUGCAAUCCCACAGCACUGAAAUGGUCACACAUGGUAUGUUUUGGGAAUCUUAACGUUUGCAAGAAUCAGAACCAAGGAUUUUGCUUUUACUUAACAUUCACUUAAUAUCCACUACAUGCUGCUGCUUCCAUUAAAGGUGAGCAGAUAUUUAGCGGUCUUCAAAUCUAGACCCACCAUCAACUGUUCCAGAAUAGGUCUUCUGUGCUUGGAAAUAGACACAUGGCUUGUAGGUUUGAUUAAAUAUACUUAUUUAUACAAAGGAAAGAAACACACUUGUAUUUUCUGUGUAACAAUAAUGAAAGCACCCUUUUUCUGAGCUCUUGGUUGUGUUGAUGAACAAGUAUAACCUACACACUGCUCACUGGAUCAGAUGAUCUAUUAUAAUUAUUAUUUUUAUUUUUAUCGCCAUUUCUAUAGCGCCAACAGAUUCCAUAGCGCUUUACAAUAUAUAUAUAUAUAUAUAUAUAUAUAUAUAUAUGUAUAUAUAUAUAUAUAUAUAUAUUUCCUAUGGUUGUACGGUCUACCAGAGUGAUCUAGACAAGACAAUGUUUCCAUACCUGACAUUAAUAAAUAAUUAUUCCAGCCAAGUACUCUCAGAAUUGACCAUUUAACCAAAAAUAUUCCAUGCUAUCCAGUAUAAUAAUACAAUUACUGUCUGAAUCUACGUAGGUUCUGAAAGAGUACACAAAUCUUAUAAGACCCUAAUCUAGGCCAGUAGUGAUGAUGGCCUUUGGUUCAUUUGUUUGUAGAUACCCAUACUAAAACAGAAAUGGUUAACCAUUUAUCACUGGACAUUACUAGUGACCCUGAAUGCCUUGUUAGAUAUUAUAUCUAAUCAGAAUAUUUUCACUUAGAUCAGCCCCAAAAUUUAGGUGACCCCCUUUUAAAACAUUUUGUUCUGGAGUGAGCAAUGUAGACGCCUGGUAACGUAAUGAAACAAACACAUACCCAGUGUCUGUACACUAAGUGAAAAUAUACCGUUUACGUGAAUUUCAUGAUAUCAUUUUAGGAAUAAUCUGUGUAUUUCACUGCCUAUUUUUAUGACAGUCUUGAUAACAUAUUAAUGCAUUCUGUGCCUGCUUUGACAGAACAGCUACAUCGGCAGACCUCAUGCCUAUUCAAAAAUCACUUCUUUUAUGUUUAUUUUAAUUUGUGUAUUAUUUAUUUUAUUUACCAUUCAGUCUACAAAUUCCACACUUCAGAAGACUGCUGUCGUAUUUAUUUGGUAGAAUCCUUCUUCCUAUACUGUUAUAUAGUAUAUAAUAUAGUAUAGUGUAUAGAAAGUCCAUAUAGCACUUUGCUUGGUUAGAAUAUUACACAGAUAGUUUGUUGCCAUUUAUUAGGAUCAUUCUCUCCACUGACUAGUGAAAUGCAGACUGCAGUAACCACUAAUGAAGCAUAGAGGGAGCUCUGCAGCCACCUUUCAGCUUUCCGAUAUACCAGCAUCGAGCUAGCUGCAGACUGCACGGUACAGCUGCACUAACACUGCAGAUAAAGACAAAUAAUAUAAAGCCUUUCUGUGUAACAUGACAUCAUGAGCCAUCAGUCGAUAAAUCCCUCUCUCGCAGCCUUUUCAACAAUUAAAUCUUAAAGAUUUUUUCACAAACAGCGCCCCGCAUUCACCUAGCAGCAGGGACUAGGUUAACCAUCAUUGAGUGUAUACGGGGUCGGAAUUGUACACGUUGAUCCAUUCACUUAAUAACUGCUGUGUGGGGCCCCUAAUUUAUUAUACUCCCCUUCAAAUAUUCCGUUAGAGGAGUCUUCAUCUGCUUGUGAUGAUCACAAUGUUUAAGUACUAAGCACUGGAAAUCUGUAUGUAUUAAGAGAUAUUGGGUAUAUCUUGUAAGUACUGCAGAGAGGGGUAUCUGCAAUCUGCUUCACUCCUUGGUACACAGAGAGAAUACACUGCCGAGCAUGCGGAGGCAUGAAUCUUGUGCGAUCAUUAGCCGUGUACAGAAAUAUCUAAGGAGACUGGAGUUGAUAGUCUGGCACACACACACUUUUCCAUUUAGAAAGGGUUAAAUUGUAACUACAGGCUUAUAUUCUAUCACUGGAUGGUUGCCAUUGACACCUGCAUUACUGCAUGUGGAUUUAUAUGGAGAGAAGGUGUGAAGAAUGCCUUGGGCUGCUUUGCCUUGUUUAGAGUGCGGCCAAUUUUAUGAAUUCACAAAAUAUAAGAAAAUAAUAUACAACAUGAGCCAAGAGAAUUUUAAAGACCCUGUCUUUUUUUUUUUAUUAUAUAAUUAAUUCGCUAAUUAAGGUCUUGAUUUAAUAUUGUUAAAUACGCUCCCCAAAAAAUGUCAUAUUUUAAACUUUUAAAAUGGUUUAAUAUUAUGAAAAAAAAAUAGUUUUGCUAUAUUGAUAAAAAAAUUGAUAUUUUAAUAUUUAAAAUAAUCUUUUUUUUUUUUUUAAAUCAUAUUAAAUUAUUUGGAAAUCUUGUUUAACAAUAUUAAACCGAGGCCUGUUUGGAAGUUCAGCUAAAUUAUUGACUCUUGAUGGCUGAAAAGUACAGUUGUAUGAGUUUUUUUUGUCCAUCAUAGAUACCAAUGGAUUAGGGCCAAAAUGGGUGAAAUGUCUCAUAUGCCUUAGGCAUGUACACAGUAACAAUUCUUAGAUCUGCUCGUCUUCAGUGGGGGAAUGUGCACUAUAAAUAGAGAAGCGCAUCCAUCCACAAACCGUGCAUUGAUUUAUAUGUAUAAUUUAUUCAUAGAAUAUAUAAUGUACAGAUGUUGCCCUUCUCGGUAUCCAACUUUCUGGGAUUUGUUAGAUCUUUCUGAUAAGGAACUUCCACUGACUUGGACUAGAUUCUGUCUACUAAGAACACAAGGGAAGCCCAAUUGAAUGGUGGCACUGACUACGGCUAUAUUUGUGUCAAACACAUAAUGCCACACAUUCUUACCCUCAGGCUAUUUUCCAGAGUUUUAUAAUAAUGGUAUUUGACAUAUGCUCACAUCUGACUGAAUACCCUGAUCAAAGAGUCAUUACCAUUCAGAGCCUGGUAACUUUGACUUUGGUUUAACGAAAACAAGUCUCUGGUCAGGUGGCUUUUUUUACAUCAGUCCAUGCAAUAAUUGUCAAUAUCUAGCUCUCCAGCUGCUACAGAUGUGGCUGAGCUAUCUUGGAGUAUCAGAUGACAGGAUCUGGAAAGUCAAAAAGGGCCUGCCCCUGUCAUGAUUGUGUUUCACAAGCUGACGUUGGCACUCAGAGGAAUGUGAUGGAUGUCUAAUGAUAUCGUUAAUGACACAAUCUCUCCAUAAUGCCUCCUUCGUAGAGAGACAAGCGUCUGACUAAGUUCUCUACUUCAUCUUGCAACUAGCCACCUUCUUAAUAUUUAAUGCAAACAUUAUUUUUCCUUUUGAAAUGUUACCUUCCCUUUAUUUGAUGCAUAUUUCUAUUCAAAAUACAUGAACAAAUCAAAGUAGCUCUUUAGAGCAGCCUGUACGCAAUUUGUUAAGUGUUUGUAUAAAACAAGGCAUGCUGUUCCAAUUACCUUUUUUUCCUUUUCCUUGCUUUUUCAAAACCAGAUUCUGAAAAAUCCAAAGCAUGUAUUAAAACAACAGACAUAUCUAGAUAUACAGAGAGUCAUGGCUUCACAGUUUUGUGAACUUGCACCAAAUUAAGUAUAAAACUGUCACUGCACUCUUUAUAUAUCAGUGCCUUUUUCCUGCCAUACCUGUAAAGCAUCACAAUAAUCUGUCUGACUGACACUUCUUAUAAUUUACCAUUGGUUACAUUCACAGAUUAAGAUAAAUUAGUAAUAUUAUGAGAAAGAAAGUGCAUUCACAAUUUGAAGGAUAUUUUUAGUAAAUGACACAAGAAUAAGGAACGUGACAACAGCUUAUCUGUCACGCAACAACCACCACUCCGACAGUGGCUGAAAAAUUUGUCAGAGAGAAGUGGUUCAUUACUUGUGCCUCUUUUUAAUACGUUGGAAGCAUCAAACUUGUGAACCAAACAAAGGCCUAAUAUGAGACACAAAAAUAAAAUGACAGAUGAGAAUAUUUGGUACAAAUAAAGGAAUCAAGUAAAAUACGAGAUGUUCCAGAAAAACAAUCUAAAAUGUGAACACUAUACUUUUUAUACAUAACCCCUGUACAGUCACCGAGAUCUUUUUAGUCUACAUUAUGAAUUAUUUAUACAUAUGUGCCAUGCCCUGUAACUACAGGUCACUGCAAAGAGGCUCAUCUUUUUUUAGGAGUCCCUUAAGUAGUGGUAUACCUCAUUGGUAGUAGCUGGUAUUUGGGUAAAUUUAGACUUUGCUCUGAAAUGUGUUGACCCCCAUUUCUUACUGUAAUAUCCUUUAUGUCAUAGUUAGGGCAUCUGCAACCCUUUGAUUACAACCAAAAGUGGCCAUGAUGUCUGCAGUUUGUCCAGACAUCUUAGAAAAAAAGCCUGGUCGUGUUUUAAAAACUUUAGAAUAGUGCAAUUCCUCAAGUUGUGUUACUGUUAAUCAAAGUUCUCCUUUUAAACACUGGACUUUUUAGAGAUUGGUCAUUUAAAAUAAUAUCAACACAACAUUCUUAUCUUCUUUCAAACGAUAUACGUAUAUAUAUAUAUAUAUCUUUUUUUUUGUUCUUUAACACGUGUCAGAAUUCUGUUUUUCAAAAUUCAAAUGAACAGAUUUUUUGAAAUGUCAAUGCUUAUGUAAUGCUUCUUACCAAGCAGAACUCUUCAAUCCACGCUAACGUGUAGAACGUACAAAUGGAAAUAUUUCACGAUUUGCACAGAGUUAGGGAGAAAUAAUAAAUUAAUUAUGGUAUGCCAUGCAAGAACGGAUAAUGCGUGGUCUUCCUAGGAACAGAAUGUUCAGAUAUAAAAGAUAACAUAAUAUGCUAAUCAUAACAAACCAUACAGAUUUUAAGUGGAAGAACACUGAAUACACAGUACAGUAAAACUAUGGUGGAAAUGACCAAGGUUAUCAUGGUGCUGCCCACCUUCUCUAGCUCAUACUGGGCUUCAAGAGGCAGAUGGUAGGUAUAAAUAACAGUGUGUAUUCAUGUCGAUAAGCAUUAUGGAAACAUCUCCGUCGGUGCAGAUGACUUGAUAAAUGGUCAUAUCGAGGCUUAAUCACUAUUUUAAUUAUACCUUGUGAUUAUAUAUCAUAUUUUCUGUGAGCAUAGAGCUCACUGAUCAGUUAACUUGUAUUGAUAAGUAAUGGCUGGAAUCUCUUUUACUACAUAUAUUAAAUGCUAAGUGUCUUUUGAGUUGUAGUCUGUGGCAGGAAGGAUUCCACAAACUUGCAAUAUCUAAGGCUUUCUCCAUUCAAUCAGUAAUUACUGAUUGUGGAUGGCUGUGUGCUAUUUCAAUAGGCUGUUGUUCACCUUCAACUUAAAACCAAUUUUUACAAACAUGAAUUUUGAAAUAUGGUGAGACCUCCAAAUAUCUCUCUGCAUAUAUAUGGAAGGGCGGCAUCCUGGGGUUGUGGUAGGGGCUAUCCAGCUAUAGAACCCAAGACCCUCUCCUCUCUGGGCUGUCGGUGCUUUAACUUUGCUCACCUUCCUCUCCCGUUUCUCGUCUCCAUGUCCAAAUAUCAUACAUAGGUGGGCCAUCUUCUUUUAUGUUGGUUGAUUGAUCAACCGACUGAUGUCCCUCUUAUAAUAUGCCUUUUGUCCCUCCCAAAAUAUUUAUUCUGAUUGGCUGAUCUUGAAAAGCAGAAUACAUACAGAAUACGGUUUAUAUAUGUAUAUUACAGUUUUAUUUUGUUUUUUUCAUCCCCAAGCUCUUAUUACGAAUUUUUUCUAAUAUUCAGGGUGGGAGUCCCAUGAUAUUUUCAUGCAUAUUUGGAUUUACUGCUGUUAUUCAUUCAUAUAAAAGCCAUUUAUAUAAAACAAUUUCAGAUUCUUCAAGGAAAUCAAGAAAUGUGAUAGGAAGGCAUUUUAUCAAGCACAAUAUUGCCUUGCAAUCCUGCCCUGGAUAUUGUGACCAGUGCUCCUAUCAGCCAGUCAAGCAGUGUUUUUAUUUAUUUAAAAAUCAUUUGGGAAUAUGUAACCAAUUUCUCCUAUUGAGAAAAUAGGAAUUGAAGAACAAGAUUUGCCGAUCCUUCCCUCUGGCAAUGAUAUUUCCUUUCUGUAAAGAACACAUUUCAUAAAUCCAUAAUUUCCAGUGUGAGUAGUUUCUGCAGUAAAUAAUAUCUAAGUAUAUUUUCAACAUAUAUAUCAGGCACAAACUGGCCUUCUGGAAUGACCGGCGAAACUCCAUUCUCUUAACAAUCUCUUGGGCCAUAUGAAUAGAAAACCUUGGGCAGAUGUAAUGACUACAUACUAGGACUGAAAUGGGGACAAGCUAUUGCAAUUUAUACAUUGUAUACCAAGUAUACAUAUAUACAUCUUAGAAUACAUUCUCAUAUUAAAGAAUAAACAAACUAGGAUUUUUAUUAAAAUUACAUUUUUCUAUUCCUUGAGAACUGUUAUGAAAAUUUAGUGAAUGAAUGUUCGUCCUUAGAUGGGCACUCUAAGCAUCAACACGACUUAAGCUUAAUGAAGUGGUUUUGUUAAAUAGAUCACAAUCAUGCAGUCUCACUGCUCAAUUCUCUGCAUUUUAGGCCCUAGCCCAUCCUCCCCUGCCUGUGACUCACACAGUCUCUCUACACAUUUUCUGAAAAAAAGUCUACAUUUGUUUAUCUUCCCUUAUUGCACAGUGUGUUUAAUUUAGAAUUUAUAAUAUCCUGCUCUGUUAAUUGCCUGCUAGAGCCUUCAGCAGCCUUCCAUGAAAUAAUUAUCAAAAUUACACAGUGUCCCCUAUCUACAGUGGGUAUGGGACUAGUAAAGAACAUAGUUAAUGUAUAUUCAUUUUUAUAUUUGAGGUAAAUUCAUUAUUUAUUAAUUACUGGAAUUAAUAAAUGCUUCUGUUCCUCCCUGUACUCCUUUAUCUGAUAAUUUAGCUUCAAGGAACUAUGUGCCUUUGGUGACUUUAUAUCCAGACUUUCUCAUCUACUAAUACAGCAGUGCUAAAGCACAAAGAAUGACAAAUCGGUGUCUUUUCAAGCACAGAUCUCCCUUUCCCAUUAUAUGGGCCCUUAGGACGUACCUUGUGCACAUUGUGCAUGGUUAGUUUAGCUGAGACAAAGGUUGAUCAUAUAAAAGGAUGGAGAAAUCCCUGCAGUGCAAAGGUGCAUUACUGGAUACAAUGUGACUCUGCAAGAUUCUACAUCAUACUCUUUAUCUGUUUGCAUGGUAUCGAUUUAGUUUUAUCCAUAUCUUUUUUUGUGCAUUAGAGCAGAUGUCUACCUAAAAUAUGUUAUCAGCCUAGAGGAAAAGAUUGCUUUUUGCCUUAUUUAUGUUAAAGCCACAUAUUUGUACCCUCCUUCUCUUGGCAAGGAAUACUGUAGAGCAGCGCAUUGCUGGGUAUAAACUGUUUGCAGCAUACGCGUCUUUCACCUGGUGUUUGGUAAAUUGAUAUAGCACUUAUCUCCUGGGGAUUGCUUGCUCAGUAUAAAUGUAAAGAAAAUUUCUAGCAAAUUGAGAAUAUUUCAAGCAAAUUCAUCAUCUCCCUGGCUUCUACACUGAGUGCUUCUGUUCUUUAUUUGUGAGUCUUUAGAAAAAAACAUAAAUCAAAGAUUUUUUUUUCUUUGUAUCAUUAAAGGAGUAAACAGUUGCUUUACGAAUGAUGGAUGUUAUGUAGAGGACAUAGUUCACAGCUGUCUGACUAUAAUCAUAAGACUAUAUAUAAUUAACAGAAAUCAAAUUCUAAGUUGACUUUUGUGUGUUUCAUUUUUGUUUGCUGCUGUAACAUUGCAGGCCUUUUUACUAAUACAUUAUAAACAUUGCAUUUUCAGAUUACUUCUUCUACUGUCACUAGGGAGUCGAGCUCUUAUACAGGGUCAUAGUAAUUAGGUUGCCCUCCACUAAUAUUGGCACCCUUGGUAAAAGUGAGCAAAGAAGGCUGUAAAAUAAGGCCUUUAUUGUUUAACCUUUUGAUGUUUUGUUAUAAAAAGACACAAAGAUACUCUCUUGAAUUAUUGCAAACACUACACUGGUUUAUAAAAAUAUAUAUAUAUGUUAAAAAUAUCUGUUGGCACCCUUUUAGUUAAUACUUUGUGCUAUCUAACUUUGCCAAGAUAACUUUGCUCUAAGUCUUCUCCUAUAAUGCCUGAUGAGGUUUGAGAAUUCAUGUCAAGGGAUCUGGGACCAUACCUCUAUAUAAAAUCUCUCCAGAUCCUUAACAUUUUGAGGUCAACUCUGGUGGACUCUUCUCUUCAGUUCACCCCAUAGGUUUUCUAUGGGGACAGGGAUGGCCAUGGCAGGACUUUAAUGUUGUGGUCAUUUACCAUUGGUGUUGAUUUUGAUGUAUGUUUUGGAUCGUUGUCCUGCUGGAAGAUCCAACCACAGCCCAAUUUAACCUUUAUGGCAAAGGUAGUCAGGUGUUGAUUUAAUAUUUGUUGAUAUUUGAUAUUUGAGUCCAUGAUGACAUCUAUCCUAACAAAAUGUCCAGGUCCUCUGGCAGAACACUUAAUAACAAACAUUAACGAUAAAACAUUAAGGAGCCACCACCAUAUUUAAUUGUGGGCAAGAGGCACUCUUCCAUGUGGCUACCUCUCUGUGUGCUCCAAACACACCUCUGUUGUUUAAUGCUAAAAGCUCUAUUUUUGUUUUAUCAGACAAUAGAACACAAUCCUAUUUGAAGUUCCAGUAGUGUCUGGCAAACUGAAAACUCUUGAGUUUGUUUGUGGAUGAGAGUAGAUGCUUUUUAUUAAAACCCUUCCAAACAACUUGUGAUGAUGUAGACGGAUGGUGGAUUUGGAUUGUAGUUUUUGAGACUUUUAGACCCCCAAGACAUAACUAACUUCUGUAAUUCACCAUCUGUGAUACUUGAAAAAAAAAAAAAAAUAGACACUCAAACCACCUCUAAACAGUGUGUUGAGACAAUAUAGACACGUCUUCUUCCAGGUUCUUUCAUAACACUCCAUUUGACUGGAACUUCUUAAUUAUUGUCCUAUUGGUGGAAAUGUUCAAUGUCAAUGCUUUUAUCGUUUUCUUAUAGCUACUUCCCAUCUUGUGAAGCUCAACAACCUUUUGCCGCAAAUCACAACUAUUUUCCUUGUUCUUACCCAUUGUGGUGAGUGACUAAGGGACCUUGGUCUAUGUGUUACCUCAUAUUUGGAAAGUCAUGGUUGAAAAAGUUCAUGUUCCUAGUCACCAAGGUGUACUGCAAUUGUUUGAUAUCCAUGAGAGCAGAGUAUUUUUGAAUAUUUUUUGAAGAAAGGAUCAAAAGUUUAAACAAUAAACAGCCACCUCUGUUCAUAUUUACCAAGGAUACCAAUAUUAGUGGAGGGCAUUGUAGUUACUGGGUUUUAUGAACAGAUAGACGACUUGCUAAAUUUAGGCAAAAAACACCAGGCUUGGGGGAAAAACUGCAGUUUGGCAAAGUUGGAUUUUAGCUUCUAAUUCUAAAAGUAGUUUGUGAAUGUCUGGAUUCUCAUGAUAUUCAGUUUACUACGUGUAUAGCUGAAAUAGCAAAGGAGCAUUUGUAUCUCCUUAUAAAUGAAACACAAAAUUAUAAAAAAAACACUAUAAAUUUUAUUAAUAUUACAAAAAAAGACUGUGUUUGCAGUUGAGAAAUAAGCCUUUAACAUUAUUUAAAUUUGUGCAAGUUAUUGAUUUAAACCAGACAUCUACAAAAAUCUAUGAAACCAUUAAUUUGACAUCAGUUAUGUUAUUUAUUUACUUUUAACUGGUUAGCUGGAGUUUCCAUGUUGUAGUUUAAUGACUUUAUAUUGAUUCAAAAUGCCCCGUAAAUCAUUUGAGGUAUUGCUUGUCCAUCAAUUCUCUGACAUGUCCCUUCCUCAACAAAUAUAUGGACCAGUCUGAUGGGAUUCUACCCCGAGUACCACAAUACACGUCAGAAGAUAGUAUAACAUUGUUUAUGGAGAUUCUCUUAUGAACGAAUAAUGAGAAAUAUAGAAUCAGGCUGCACAUGGUUAAGUACCAGUUCAAUGUCAAUGGCUAAUGCAACAAGUGUUGUUUCUAACAAGAGAUAGAAACAAGUGAACAGCUGAAAACCAAGAUCAAGGUAAAUGAGUAAACAGUGUUCAGGCAAUAAUUAUAUUUAAAUAAAUCUCAUUUCACUUCAAAUAUCUGAUUUACACACCAUUUUGACAAUCAGAAUUAUUAUUAUUAUUAUUACUGGUAUUUACAUAGCACCAGCAAAUUCCAUAGCAAUUUACUAUAUUAUCAAAGGGGGAGAUUUAACAAUAAAUGAGACAAUUACAAAAACUUACAGGAACAAUAGGUUGAAGAGGGCCUGGUCAAACAGCUUAUAGUGUAUUGGAGGUGGGGCAUAAAACACAAUAGGAAUUAGGUGGGAGUGAAGCAGAGCUGGAGGAGAGAGCACGGGAUAGGUACGUGAGGUAGAGGUUACUCUGGGAGACCAUAAGCUUGCCUAAAGAGAUACGUUUUGUGGGUCUUUUUAAAUGAUUGAAGACUAAGUUAAUGAUUUUGAACAUGUCACUCUGUCUAAACUCUUACCUUUUCAUGAUGUACUGUAUAUUGUACGUUUAUUGGGAGUGAUACAACAAAAAAACAAUAAAAUGUAAAUAGAAAUGUUAAUCUCGUCGCUGUGUAUGUGUUGAAUUGCAAAGCAUUUAAUGAAGAGAGAUAGUGGGCAAUAGUGAUUUUAAUAAGAUACCAUUAUCAGUUUGGAGGAUAGCAAAUAAGUGUUAAUGGUUUUAUCAGUAAGCUUUCUGGCUUUGCGAAUUAGUGAGUCGCUUCCCUGGAGCAGAGUCUUAUUUACUGCAUUCUUUAUAAAGAUUUAAAUAGGUUUCACCUGCCUGGGAAAGCGAGAUAGGGCUUGUUGACAUUUUGUUGGCGGAAGCUAGGCUUCCUUUGUGUGAAAAGAUAAAAAUGAGGAAGGAGCCUUGUUUGCACUUUACUGUGAAGGUGUUGAUCGAGAGUUGAUCAACUCCACGGAAAUUGGCUACUGAGCUUCUCUAAAGCAAAUGCCUUGUGUGGUGUCAGCAACCUAAAAGAUAACGGGAGAUAAUUGAGGCAUUUAAAUCUCAGUGGUGUUGCAUGGCUACUGUAGUUUAGUGAUUCAUUACUCAGAUUCCAGAGAUGGAUAUAUUUGCGACUAUAAUUUAAAGAUAAAUCUGUUCUUGAUUGAAAGCCACAUUUCUUCUCCAUUAUACCUUGAUAUAUUUUGUAGCGGAUAGAAGCAAUGUCUUUUACUCAGAAUAAAAUAUGAUUUGUCAAAUGAGAGCUAACAGUUUUGUAGAGGUUUUACAUUUACUGAAAACUGCACGUAGAGUCUGGCAAAACACUUGGUAAACCUUUGAUGGGAUUUUAUAUUUAACAUUUUUUACUGGAGAUGUUUAUUUAUCGGUUCAGCACCUCAUAAAUACAGUUUAAUAUUUAUUUGCUCAGUUUAUGAAAUUUGCUUUAAUUAUACAUUGAAUUGUUACUGCUAAUAAUAAUAGUAGAAAUAAUUUGCUAAAUUAUAACUGAUAUAACACAGUAACCAUAACAUUCUAGGUAUUUUAUUGAGGUUUUUUAAACAAUUUUGUACUUGAAAUUUGUAUGCAGCUUAAUUUUCUGCCUUUAUCAACUAGUAUGCAAAUAUGAAAUGUAAUAGUGACACAUUUCCAUAAGAAAUUUAAAUGAAAAAAGAUACACAGAUUGUUUUUGUAUGACUGGAUUGUUUUUUUAGAGCACUAUUUUAUAAUCUUUAAUGCCAUUUUUGGAACACUAUAUUCCCCAAAAUGUAAUCAAGUUCCUUAUCAAAAGUAUUUGACCACUUUUAUUUAUUGAUUUUGUCAUAGCUGUAUGAUCUUUUAAUAUUUAAUAUUUUUGAAUAAGCUUUUCAAAUUAUUUAAUAUUUUGGAGAAAAAAAUCAUAUUCUAAAAUCUUUUGAUAUAUUAAUAUAGUUUGUAUACAAUGUUUACAUUUGAAUUAAUAUUCUAAAUGUUUUUUUCGAAUAUUAAAUAAAACAUAAUAUAUAUUUUUAUUUUAUUUAAUAUUUCAAAUCAAAUCAUUUGAAAAGCUUAUGCAAAAAUGUUAAAUUGAGGCCUAAGAUAUAAGAACAUAGACCUCGAUUUAAUGCACUUGGCUAAACUUUUCAAAUUAUUUAAUACUUUUGGAUAAACUUUUGAAGUGUUUCAUCUACAGAAGUCACCAUUAUUAUUAUUGUUGGUAUUUAUAUAUAAAUAUAUAUAUAUAUAUAUAUAUAUGCACACUUAUUCUGUAGCGCUUUAAAAUACCAUUAAAGACUAUGGGAAUUUUUGUAGAUAAGUAAUUUGAUCUUGAUGAUAAAUCAUCAAGUUUAUCCAAAAAUAUAAAAUUGAGGCGAUAAUCUCUAAAUCUUCCACUAUUUCUGUAAAGGAUAAAUUAAUGAUUGACAAAUAUUAAUUUGCAUUAAUAGAUCUAAUACAUAAAAAAUCUGUGUACAAAAUCACAGUUUUUUACUAAGUCAGCAUGGCAGUUAUUAAUUCCAAGUAUCAAACAACCUUCCAAAUGAAAGUUAUGUCAAGAAGUAGCGACAAUAAAUAUAACAAUCAUUAGAACAGUAUGCUAUAGUAAUACAAACAUAAAAAUAGAAUCGCAUUAUUUAUUGAUGUAUUUCCUUUUCUCAUGGCCAUGAAAUAUUAAAAAUUAAAGUAAUAAAAUGCAUUCCCUGAAAUAUGAUGAUAUCAGUCCUGAAUGAAAUUUGUGAGACAGAUUAAAUCUAAAAUUCCAGGAUGGUCUAGGAAGAAAAAUGAGAAGCAUUCUAAGGCCAAGAAGCAUUCAAAGGCCAAUGAGCUAAGAAAAUGAUACUUCCCAAGAUGCAUCUGACCUCCUCUUAACUGGUUUGGUGCCUGUAACGGACCGUUUUGCAAAAAAGGGGAAAAAACAGCUUAGACGAUAAUCCCCUUUCAGAGACAGGCACAGCUACUGUAGAAUCACCCAAAACUCACGAACUGAAUACAAGUGAAUGCACCAAAGUCCCGAAGUGCAUACAAGGGAAUGCUCCAAACACUCGAACUGCAUACAAGGGAAUGCUCCAAACACUCGAACUGCAUACAAUAAGUGAAUGCUUCAAACUCCCGAACGGCAUCCAAUACAGCACUCCAAAUACACGAACAGGAACCAUACGAAUUGCUGCUACCAGACGAACAGGAAAAGCUCCCAAGCGGCUUACACUCCUGGCAAUCAGUCCUUAGCAGCAUACAGUAAAUCCCCCCAAAGACGAGACAAGGCUCCGUGUUGAGGGUCAAGCAGUGGUCUGUUUAAUGAGGGCUACCUGCCCGGCUUUUAUGCAGGUCUCCCACCUGGUGGACACUCCCCUAGGGGACCAAAUGGGAGACUGUGACAAGGACAGACAAGUAGACAAAUAGGACACACAGUCACAGUAUAUUCCCACAAUGCAUCCUGGCUUCCUCCCCUCUGCCCUGGGAGAUAAUUGAGAAGUAACUCAAUUAUCUCCCAAGACAAAGGCAAAACUCCAUUACACAUGUGGGGACACAAAACCAGUAUUAUACUUUAAAAUACAUAAAGUAACAUUUAUUACAUAAAACACAGACAUGUAACAUAUCCAGAUAGCUCAGGUCUGAGUGUACAUUAUUAGGUGAAUGGCACUCAGACCACACGAAUACAGUUUAAUCGCCAUGGAGCCAAAGUCUUUACAGUCAGUUUCAUACGAAUGGGCUCCAUGGGAUUCCUAUCUGGGGUAUAACCUAUUCAAACAGAACUUCCGAACACCGGGCCGUUCGUGCACUUCCACCGAACAAGAAGGGAGGUCGGCGGCUUCAGCGGUGUUCGCGCAAAACUGUGUCCGAUUUUAGUUCCAUGAAAAUAGGGGCAAACACCGCUGUGCAUUCGUAUGUUUAAAAUGGCCGCGACCUCGUGUUCGGGAUACGAAUGGCGGCCACCCAGCAUUCGUCAAUUAAGCUGCGGUUAACCACAGCUUCAGGGAGGUUAAUUGCCGGCACACUCCAGCUCCCAGGUGGUCUAUUUAUUCGUGCGGUUGUUCGGUAGAUUGAAUACGAAUACAGCUUUUCUCCAGGCGAAAUAAAGUCUUUUAAAAGGGGGCCAUAGUCCAGAGGCAGCAGGCGAGCAACCAGGCUUCUCCAAUGCAAUGUGGCGAGAUUGGUCUCGUCACAGUGCCAUUCUUCCAUCUUCUUAAAUCGUGUUACUAGAGUUGUGUAGGCAAGAAAAUGUGGUUCAUCGGAUCUGAUUAAUCUAAAAAAUAAAAUAAAAAAAAUAACUGUUUUGGGUGAUUCAGAGAAAUUUUAUACAUGAAAUAAUUUUGGUAAAAAUGAUUUGGAUAAACCUAAAUGUUGGUGAAAAUGUGCCAGUGAACUGAAAAAUAUAUACAUAUAGCGUGAAAAUAAGUAACCAAUAGACCAGUGGAAAAUCUAUUUUUAUUAUAUCUUUUAUAUAUAUAUAUUUAUAUAUAAAUCAAUUUAUUUAUUUUUUUUACUGCUCCUCCUUUUUACCUCAGUUGGCCAGUAAAUCAACAUUUAGUGGCUGCCCCGUAAUCAUCUUUGAUCUUUUCAUGGGAAGGGGGGAGGUGUCCCAGGUAGAACUCCUAAUCAUAGACAAAUGAAAUGGCCUAUUCAUUCCUUAUUUUGCUUGCUUUGUGAUUCAGUGAUAUGGCAAUUCACAGUUACAGAAUUGGGACACCUCGACAAUUGUCCAAAAUUCAGACAAAUCACGAUUAGUUUGAUACAGAAUGGUUAGAUGAAUGUGCUAUGUCCCCUUCAAAAUAAUGAGUCUUAUAUCAUGAAUGCUCCCGUCUAGCGUUUAAACUAAAACGGAGUUUAUUCUGGAGACAAAGUACUUUAACCCCUUAAGGACACAUGACAUGUGUGACAUGUCAUGAUUCCCUUUUAUUCCAGAAGUUUGGUCCUUAAGGGGUUAAACUCCUUCAGUGUCAUAGAAUUGACUGCUAUGAUCUCUCUUUUUCUCAUUGUAGUGAACAGAGACUUCAAAUACCACUAUACUUAUGCCAGAGGUUGUCUUCUUCCUAAAAAUAUAUACUUUUCCUACUCAAUUUUAAUUCCUGAGGUUGUUAUAGACAUUUAAAAUGCAAGUUUCUCAUCAGUGCGAACAGAUAAAUAUAUGAUGAAAAAUUAAGACUUUGUUAGUUGUGGAUUGGCCUCCUGACAUCAAAACCCAAUACACAAAUGGUGUAUCCCUUUUCUUAGUAGACUUUUAACUACAAUAGAAGACUAGCAAUGGGAGGGGGGUAAGUGCUCCUUUUUUCCUACCUUAAGUGACAUUGUGGGCUGCAACAGGUAUUUCAACUUGUAUUUUAAUAUUCACUGUUAUUUUUUUUAAAGGAACUGCCGGAGAGUUCCUUUAACUCAAAUCUGCUUCUCACACUAUUGGGCAGUGAAAGGGUUACACUUCUAAAUAAAGAAAUUUUCAGUUUAAACACAGAUGUCAGUGUGUGACAGACGUUGAGUUUGUGUGCAUGCCCCAUACUAUUAUUAACGCAAAAUACAGCUGGUCAUUGUAACUGCAAACUCCUCCCCAAACUAAACAUCUGCAUUACAGAAACUAUUUUUAAAGUAAACAAUGCCAUCAUUGAGACACUACUUGGCACUGUACAGUAGAAAGAAUUGUAGCACUGCAGCAAUAAAGAGAAACGUGAAUUUUUUUGGGCCAGGCCCUAUGGGAAGCUAGCAGUAACUACAGUAACUCAAUACUUAACCAGUCACUUUCCUUUAGCAUUUGCUGAAAACAUUUGUCAUAAUGCAAAGUGUCACUGGGAUAGCACCAUCCCUUGAAACUGUCUUACCAUAAAUAUGUGAAAAACAAUAAUGCACCUAGGUUAAUAUUAAUCUACUUGAACUUCCGAGUUGAAGAUCUCUCAGGCUUUUAGUAUAGAGGCGGCCAUCUUGCCUUGCAAUAUUUAAACACUUGAUAGCUACUGAUAACAAAAAGCAUAACAAACAUAUGAUAUCAGUAGCCAAUCAGAGUGUGCGAUUUACAGAGAAGUUCGCUGCUUUUCACUGCACAGGAAACAGGAAGUGGAUCUAUGAACUAGCUCAUGCUCUGUGUCCUAAAUGACUAAAAAAAGUCUUGGAAAUCUUUAAUUAGUCCUUUAUAGAAAACUACAGGAACAACACAUUUAAAAAUGAUAACAACAAAGUAGAAACAGUUUUUACUUGCUAUAUUAUGAUGGAGGUGUGGAAUCCAAUCUCUAUGAAUAGUCCUGGGAUAUUCACACAGGGGAAUCAUAUCUCUAGGAAUAGGGCUGGGAUACUCACAUAGGGGAAUCAUAUCUCUAGGAAUAGGACUGGGAUACUCACACAGCGGAAUCAUAUUUCUAGGAAUAGGGCUGGGAUACGAACAUGGGGAAAUCAUAUCUAUAGGAAUAGGGCUGGGAUACUCACACAGGGGAAUCAUAUCUAUAGGAAUAGGGCUGAGAUACUCACACAGGGGAAUCAUAUCUCUAGGAAUAGGGCUGGGAUAAUCCACAGGGGAAUCAUAUAUCUAGGAAUAGGACUGGGAUACUCACACAGGGGAAUCAUAUCUCUAGGAAUAGGGCUGGGAUUCUCAUACAUGGAAAUCAUAUCUCUAGGAAUAGAGCUGGGAUACUGACACAGGGGAAUCAUAUCUCUAUGAAUAGUCCUGGGAUACUUACACAGAUGAAUCAUAUCUCUUGGAAUAGGGCUGAGAUACUCACUCAGGGCAAUCAUAUAUCUAGGAAAAGGGCUGAGAUACUUACACAGGAUGAAUCAAAUCUCUAGGAAGAGGGCUGAGAUAGUCACACAGGUGAAUCAUAUAUCUAGGAAUAGGACUGAGAUACUCACACAGGAUGAAUCAUAUCUCUAGGAAUAGGGCUGAGAUACUAACACAAGAUGAAUCAUAUCUCUAGAAAUUUGGCUGGGAUACUCAGAAUGGGGCAAUCAUAUAUCUAAGAAUAGGGCUGGGAUACUUAGAUGAAGGUAUCAUAUCUCUAGGAAUAGCCAUAGAAUACUCAGAUGGAGGUACUAUAUCUCUAAUUAUAGGGCUGUGAUACGUAGACAGAGGGAUCAUAUAUAUAGGAAAAUUCCUGGAAUACUUAGACAGAUGGAUCAUAUCCCCUGUUAUAAAGUUGGGAUACUUAGACAGAUGGGUCAUAUCUCUAGUUAUUGGACUAGGAUACUUAGACGGAGGUAUCAUAUGUCUAGGACUAGGCUUGAAUACUUAGAUGGAGGUAUCAUAUCUCUUGUUAUAGGGCUGGGAUACAGAUGGAUCAUAUCUCUAGUUACAGUGCUUGGAUACUUAAACAGAGGUAUCAUAUCUCUAGUAAUAGUGCUGGGAUACUUAGACGGAGGUAUCAUAUCUCUAGUUAUAGUGCUGGGAUACUGAGACAGAGGUAUCAUAUCUCUAGUUAUUGUGCUGGGAUACUUAGAUGGAGGUAUCAUAUCUCUUGUUAUAGGGCUGGGAUACAGAUAUAUGUUAUCUCUAGUUACAGUGCUUGGAUACUUAGACAGAGGUAUCAUAUAUCUAGUUAUAGUGCUGGGAUACUUAGACGGAGGUAUCAUAUCUCUAGUUAUAGGACUGGGAUACUUAGAUGGAGGUAUCAUAUCUCUAGGACUAGGGCUGGGAUACUUAGACGGAGGUAUCAUAUCUCUAGUUAUAGGACUGGGAUACUUAGAUGGAGGUAUCAUAUCUCUAGUUAUAGGGCAGGGAUACUUAAAUUAAGGUAUCAUAUCUCUAGUUAUAGGGCAGGGAUACUUAGAUGGAUGUAUCAUAUCUCUUGGUCUAGGCUUCAGAUACUUAGAUGGAGGUAUCAAAUAUCUUUAGUUAUAGAGCUCGGAUACUUAGAUGGAGGUAUCAUAUCUCUAGGCCUGGGAUACUCAGACAGGACGAAAAACAACCUCUCGAUCUAGCAUGAUGACUUAUUGAUUCAAUAAAAAUAUACAACUACAACAGAAAAAUAAUUUUAAAAAUGUUAAUCUGAUAUAAAAUAUAUAAAGUUUUAUUAUUCAUGGUUACUUUCCAAACUAUAAAGUGGCCAGAAGGGCAUGUAGACAGGUCUGAAAGACCUCCACUAUAAAUCAGACAAAUGUCUCCAGCAGAAUGUAAAGCCUCCAAUUUGACACCUUCCAUGACCAGGACAACAUUUCAUUCCCUACUGCCACAGGUCCAGACCCAAUGCAAGCAGGUGAACAGAUCACUAGAUAAACUGCUAGUGACAUUUGCCUACUUCAUCAUCAAGAUCUUUAAGAUCUAUCUACUUGGCCUUCUGGCCAACUGCAGUGGUCUUGCGCUUGUGAGUGCAUUAUAUUAUUUUAUAUUGUAUUCAUUGAAUAUGGUUUCAUACUAUGUUGUGUUUGUAUGCAUUUUAAGUUAUUAAAGAUUGGAAAUAGAUUUAAAACUACGUCUUUGGAUAUCUGUGAUGUUACAUAUGGACUGCAAGGUUCCAUAACAGGAAGAAAUACCAAAGUGUAAGCAUUUGAUCUUGCAAUAUUUUACAUAAAGUAUUUAAAUAGAUUGUGAUUUAUAUGUCACCAUACUAUUUUGUGCUUUUGGUAUUAAAAAUAUUAUGACAACGCAGAAGCAACAUUAUGCUAAAUGAAACAUAUAAAACAAGUGGUAAACGUACAGUACCACGUGUAUAAGAAUUAGGCUUAUUUUAGAGUUUAAUGAUUUUUUUUAAUGAAGUCUUUGAAACAACAUAUAUUGCUCACUGCUGUGAUUUUCAUAUUUUCCAGUGACUGUGUUGAACUAGUUCAGCUAAAUACAAAUAUCUCAAUGGGUUUAACUAAGUCUAAUGAAUAGCAUGCCAAGUCACUCAUUGUGGUGACGUUGGGCAAAUAUCAGACGAGGCAGAAGAUAUGCUUGUGUUGAAAAAAACAAUUGAUGUUGAUGUCCACAUUCACCAAUUCUCUUUAUGCAUCACAGAUGCAAAACAAAGAAUGUAGAGACUUUAAAAAAACACACAGCAAUAGGGUAGGAAGACAUGCCAGCAUUCAUUGUCCUGAAAUAAAGAACCAUUAAUUCCCUGUAGCUACACCUUUUACUGACCCGUUUUUACCCCUAUGCAUCAGAUUAGGAGUUGUGCAACUUUAUUACACAGAAGGAUGGGUCUACAGUUUAAAGCAUUCCUGCUUGGUCAAAAUCAUAAUUACUGUCCCUGAACAUGUCUAGUAAAAGUCCAUGGAAGGUGGACCAACUAAAUGUCAAAUACAGUCAGGGGUCUUUUUCCACCAAUGUAAAGUUGCAGUAAGCAGCUUCUUCGGUAUAUGUGAUUUACCUUCACAAAGUGCUCAUGGCAGCCUCUUUAACCAAUGGACGUAUCAGGUACAUCCGUCAAAAAAUGGCCCUUAAGGACUGCGGAUGUACCUGAUACGUCCGCGGGUAAUUAGAGCGCUGGAAGCGAUCAUGGUACUAAUGGUAUUGCAGCGUUUUCUCAAUGUUGAGGCAUCACUGCCAGUGGCCACUGGAGAACACCGGGUGAUCGCCCUCCUCCCCUCCCCCAGUUACCCCCCCCCCCCGGAGCGAUCACUUCUUGGUUGCUCCACGUGGAGUCCGGCAGUGAGGCAGAGCAUCGGAAGCCAUCAGGCAGGCUUCCAAUGCUCUGCCUGUACUGAGUGCCUUGAGGGGUUGAGGCACUCAGUAAAUAUAAAAAAAUAAAAAUAAUAAUAAAAAUAAUUAAAUAAAUGUAAAAAUUAACCCCUACCCUCCCUCCCUCUCCCUCCCCAUGUACUUACAGAUCGCCGCCGUUCCCCCGCCGGCAAUCAGUCUUCUUCUUAGGGGGGACUGUCUGGGCUCUAAAAGAGCGGUCACAAUGCUGCAAUAGGUGUCCACAGUUCUGCCAGGCAGUCCACCUGCUGGUGAAAAAAGUAAAAAAAAAUAAAAAAAAUAAAAGGUAAUAAAUUAAAAAACUUCAUACUAAGUGUAUUUUUUAUUAAUAUAUGCAUAUACUAAUAUAAAUAUACACUUAGAGUAAAAUUAUACACAUGUGUAUGUAUAUAUAUAUAUAUAUAUAUAUAUAUAUAUGAAAUAUAUUUUUUUAUAUAUAUAUAUAUAUAUGUAUUGUGUAUAUAUAUAUAUAUAUAUAUAAACAAAAAUAAAAAUAAAAAUGCACUCACAGGUCUUCUGGUUAAUAGGAAAACUGGUGCUUUAAUAAAUCAUCUGUGAUGUACAAAAAAAUCAAUCGACGUUUCGACCCUGCCGGGUCUUUUUCAAGAUCGAUAUAUAUAUAUAUAUAAAAUAAAACAUAAAUAAUAAUUAAAAAUAAGUAAAAAACUGUAAAAAUAUAUAUUUUAAAUGAUAUAUAUAUAUAUAUAUAUAUAUAUGACCGUGACAAAGAGGAACCCCGGGUUUACCUGGACUGGUGAUUCACGGCUAUCACUGUGGUGGUGGGGACUGCCGGAGACCUCAGCAGUCCCCCUGCAGCAGCUCUGGCCACCCUGGCCCUCGAGGGCCAUGUGAUCACCAUGAUCACAUUACCGCAAUAGGAGUCUAGGAGCUUCCAGCAGGGGGACUGUCUGAGCUGUUAAAAAAAAACAGUAAAAGUGCAGUUUUUGUGUAAAAAAAAAUGCAAAAAAAACAAAUAAAAAUGCUAACUUUGGCCAGUAUUUGUGAAAAUGGUAUGCUAUGAUGGGGUUAUUUUACAUUCCUGGGCUACCAUGUGGUUUCAAAAGGCAACACAGACCCAGCAAACCAAUCUGGCAAACUGAAUUGGACAAGCCUUAUAUUGACCCUGUAACUUUCCAAAACACCAUAAAACCUGUACAUGGGGGAUAUUGUUAUACUCGGGAGACUUCGCUGAACACAAAUAUGAGAGUUUAAAACAGUAAAACUUAUCAUGACGAUGAAAUCACCAGUAAAAAUGAAGUUAUUGUGUAAAUAAAAUGCAAAAACAAAUAUGAACACUAACUUUGGCACGUGUUUGUGGCUAAGUGGCUACUACAAAAGAUUGGACAUACCCCAUUUUGAAUACCGUGGGUUGUCUAGUCUUACAAAUGGUGUGCCAGGAUGGGGUUACUUUUCAUUCCUGGGCUGCUAUACAGUCUCACAGGCAAUAUAGGCCCAACAAACCAAUCUGGCAAAUUUCUAUGUGCAAACAUGGAAAAGGGGAAAGCCCUACAUUUGACCCCUAUAAGUUUGCAAAAACCCAUAAAACCUUUACAUUGGGGGCACUGUUGUACUCGAGAGAUGUUGCUGAACACAUAUUGGGGUGUUCUUUGUCAGUAACACAUGAUGGGGGUAAAUUACAUUGGCAGAAUGUCCCAAAUAGGACAUGGGUGCAUGAUGAUCAGUUGGGAAAAUUUCAAGUUGAAAAACUGGAAUUCGCACUCUCCAAAUAAGGUCUUUUAGCCCCAAGAUAACUCAACACACCUAUACAUGGGGGGUAUCACUGUACUCAGGAGAUGUUGCUAAAAACAUAUUGGGGUGUAUUUUGGCAGUAACCCCUAAAGUUCUCCGUACAUUUAUUCUUAAAUUGCUGUGUGUGUCAAAAAAAAUCACCAGCUAUCAUUUUGUUUUAAAAAAUUUGGCAUGGAUUGGUAGCAAAAUGGUUGCAUGAAAAGAGUCAAAAUAACCCAAGUUUAAUACUUUAGGUUGUCUUCUUUUAAAAAAAUACAUAAAUGGGAAGGGUUAUUCAGGGAUUCCUGACAGAUAUCAGUGUUACAAUGUAACUUGCGUUAAUUUUGAGAAAAAAUGGUUUGGAAAUAGCAAAGUGCUACUUGUACUUAUAGCCCUAUAACGUUCCAAAAAAAGCUAAGAACAUGUUAACAUUGGGCAUUUCUAAACUCAGGACAAAAUUUAGAAACUAUUUAGAAUGGGUGUUUUUUGGCAGUUGUAGAUGCGUAACAGAUUUUGGGGGUCAAAGUUAGAAAAAGUUUUUUUUUUUAUUUCUUCAUCAUAUUUUAUAUUUUUUUUUAUAGUAAAUUAUAUGAUAUGAUGAAAAUAAUGGUAUCUUUAGAAAGACCAUUUAAUGUAAAAAAUGGUAAAAUGGUAUAUAAUAUGUUUGGGUACUGUAAAAGGUAAGAAAAUUGAAAAACGGUCUGUCACUAAGGGGUUAAAGGUGUACGGUUUGCCACUACUUUCUGAUGUUAUCUGACCCAAAUGUAAAUGAUCAAAAUACCAAAUACAUUCCACCAGCCCUAAAACAUUCCAACUACGCUAUUUGUUUUAUACCUUGAGAAUAAAAUAAUCAAAUACUACAAAAAUCACAAAUACUCACCCUGCAGGGUAAUUUGGACGAUGUAACAAAUAUCAAAGUUCUUCAGCUAUAGUGCACCACUUGUGUAUUACAGAUCCAGUUCUCACCUGUACCAGCUAGACUUAUAUCUGCAUAAAGAUGUUGUUUAAAGCUAAGGACUCAACAAUUUUCACUAGCAAAAAGGCGAGUAAAAAUUUAGCUCAGGCAACUAGAAACUUACUCCUGGAGGGUACACUGUGGCUUGCAGUGGAGAGUAACUUUUAAGUCCUGGCUAGUAGCAUAGAACUACAUAUUUUAAGCCCUGGUGACUGUAUGAUAUGUAUUUUAUGUAUCGUAUUUAAAUAAUAAAUAAACCUCUUGAUAUUGAUAGUGCUGUUUUGUGGUCUGUGACAGAACCAUCUGUCUGUUUAUUGUUGGUGGAUUCGUCUGUUUGCUCCGUUCGUGUAAAUGGCUGUUUCCUAUAGCCCAGCCAUACGAAUGACCGUUUUAUCCGAACAAAACUACCGAACGGAUGGCCACCCAGGAGAGAAGUGUGCUGCUGGUUAACCUAUUGAUCCCAAUUAGAACGUUGUGGUUAACCGCAGACACUUCUCAAUUAAACGAAUUCAGGGUGGUCGUCGUUCGUAUGUCGACCACGAGGCAGCGGCCAUUUUAAAACGCACGAAAGCCCAGCGGUGUUCGGCUCUAUUUUCAUGGAACUAAAAACGGACACUUUUUCUGCCGAACACCGCUGAAACAACGGAACGCCUGGCUGCCUCCACGAAAGCAUACGAAUACCGGCCGUUCGGGAGUUUUGAAGCAUACAAAAGGACUUAACCCAGAUAGCCUUCCCAUGGAGUCAUUCGUAUACCGAAAGACUGUAAGAACUUUGACUCCAUGGCGAUUGAACUAUGUGUGUGGGAUCUGAGCGCUAUUCGCUAAUAAUAUGCACUCAGAUCCAGGCUAUCUGGGGAUAUGUGAUGCGAAUGGGAAAUGUUCGGUUUUUGUAAAGUUAUGAAUUUUUAUGUCUUUUCUGGUUUUAUAUUUAAAAUGGCGACUGGCUUUGUCCUGGAGAUAAUUGAGUUACUUCUUAAUUAUCUCCAGGGCAGAGGGGAGGAAACCAUAGUGUAUUGUGGGUAAAAGCUGUGACUGUAUGUCUGGAAUGUCCCUAUGUCUGUCUGUCAUUACAGUCUCCCAUUUGGUCCCCUAGGGGAGUGUCCACCAAGUGGGAGACCUGCAUAAAUACAGGCAGGUAGCCCACAGUAAAGCCAGAUCCUGUUUGACCCUCAAUGCGGAGCUUCUGUCUCGUUAUUGGGGGGAUUUCUUCUUUACGCUUAGAGACUGCUGGAUGGAACUGAAAGCCGCUUGGUGGAUGUUAUUGUUCGGCGGCUAGCAGCAGUUCGUGGAUUGCCGUUCAGGAGUUUGGAGACGUUCACGGAUCCUGGUCGGGAGAUUGCCACUUCCCCUGAGUUUGGUUCGUACACUGCAGUUCAUGCGAACGGAGAUUAUAGGUAUUGCAGAAGGGGAAGGUUGACUAAACGGCGGUUUCGUUUAAAGACACCAGGGUUGUCUUAACAUGGUCAUUACACAGAAAUCCAUCAGUUGUCGGGCAAUAGUCCAAAAGUCCUUUAAUAGCACAUAAGUGGACUUUUAGUAGGUAUCAGUUGCAUAGUAAUAUGAUAUCAGGAGAAAUAGCUAGCUUCAUAGCUCAUUAAGCAUGUUCUACUUUUUUGAAAAAAAUUAUUUUAUUUUUGAACGUUUUUUCUGCCAACAGCUCUUAAAGCUGAUCUUUUCAAAUCAUCUUUCAAGAGACAUUCACAACCAUGGAGCAAUGAGAAGACCUUCAGGAUGGCUUACGUUUACUUUUUUCAAGUCCGUUUAAGUAUGUACAUUUCUUCCCAGUCUUGGCUACUAGUUAAUAGCGAAGGUAUAUACAAUUACCAGAGACCAACCCUGAAGUUUGUUAGUUUUUUAUGACAAUUUUCCUUUAAAAGUCAGUUAAAGAGUCAAUGUUUUGUGCAUUGGCAUUUUAAAAAGAAAAACAUCUAUGUUUAUAGAGUAUUGAAAAAUUUAUUAUUUAGAUGCAAUCCAUAGUCUCCCAGGCACUCAUUAUAAUGUAUUUUAUAUCCCAAACCUCACUGCUCACAUUUGCUCAUCAAUCUUCUGCCUGUUUAUGAAUGACAGUCGCUAAACAUCUGCCAAACAUCUGCCAGACACCAACCUCCGACCAUGCUCUUUUUCUCUGUGAUUUGUGGUUUAUCUAAUGACUCAGGACAGCGACCUUUGUAAUUGAAGUUGUUUUGAACUAGCUAUAGGUUCUACAGCUUGAGUUUCACAUUCUUUCCUUGUACAAAAAAAAAAUUAAACCCGGCACUUUUAAUUAUAAAGACAUCACAUGAUGCUCUACUUAAUGAAAUGUUUCCAAAGGCAUAAAAGUCAAUUAAAGACACUGUACGUUAUAUUGGAUUUCAUGCCUGGCCUGACACAUUGACUGAAAUUUAGUUUUUCUCUUCUGCAAAAGGCCAGACAAUUUCAUAAUACAUAACUUUCCUUUUGGACGUCUCUUAAGGUGUACUGUAUUACUAAUUGAUUUAAUUUUUUUUUUUUUAUUAAACAAUGCUAUCAUUUUAUGGGUCACAGCUAUGUAUUUGUUGCCUUUUUGACCUCUUGAUUGCUACAUUUUGUGGUAUUUUAGUGUCCAAAUGUCAUCCCACUCAUCACAUUAAGUGAGCGUGAAAAUUUACAGGAAAACGCUGGCGAUUUGCCUUGAUUGGUGACCUACCUGACUCCUGCAGUACAUUUCUUCCUCAUUUUGAAUGGAAAAUGGUUUUCUUUUGAACUGAAGGUGGGAGAGCAAAUACGAGAAUAAUUGCAAUGUAUAGAGCGAAUAAAACACAUUUUGUCAACUCUUGAAUCUACAUAGAAAUGGUUUUACUUCAAUGCAAAAUGUUCAUCGCUUGGAAACAGAACAAGACAAUUAAAUAAAGAGGGUUACGUUGCAGAGGAAAAUUCCAGAAAACGAACAGGGCAUAAAAAAGAAGUGUCAAGUCCCUGCUGAAAGCAAGUGGAGACAUUAAAUAUCAAUUAGAUCACAUUUUCUUCAAAUAUAUCGCAAAUUACUUCCACAGUCCAUUUUCAGGACUCCAAAUUAGCUCUGUAGAAAGGGAGAAUAUGGAUAUGUUUUUUAGGCUUUUAAAGGAAAAUUGUCAUAAAAAAACUAACAAACAUCAGGGUUUGUCUAGUAGUUGUAUAUACCUGCACUAUUAACUAAGCCAAGACUGGGAAGAAAUUUACAUACUUAAGCGGACAUGAAAAAAGCCAACGUAAGCCAUCCUUUUAUGACAAUUGCAAAAUGCCUGUGCGGAAAGAGGUGCAGAAAAUCCCAAUUAUUAUUAUUUUAUAGAUAAAGGAAAGAAAGAGCAAAAAUAACAAGAAAAAAACUAAACAAUGUCUUACAAUAUUAACAUUGAGCAAUUUGAAUAAUGAAUAUGAAGACAAUGUUUGCCACAUACAAUAUGCCAUGAUUGCAAAGGGCGUAGCAUGGGAGAUGUAACAAAGUUGAAUCAAAGAGUUAUUGAUGUUGUUGAACAGCUUUAGAGCUGUCUGUUGGGUAGUGUCGGUGUAAGGUAUGCAUUACGGUAAAGAAUGUGUUCUUAAUGACACAUUUGUUUUAACCAACCAUGAUGCUAAAUGUAUAAUAUAUUGUUCUGUGUGAACCCUAGCUAACUGGAAGCUCAUGCUACAAUUUAUUUCAACAGUUCAUGAAAUUUGAAAAAAGGGCCUCCUCAUGUCCCUCUUACUUUAUAAUAGCAAUAUGCCAAAUGUAAUCAUGUUCUCACCUUAAUCAAGCAAACACUGUCUACGUUCCGAGUACUGAAUGCAGACAUUAUCAGGCCAGGCAUCCCCGUGAGGAAUAGAGCCAUGGACUUGUCAUAGAGCCAAUUUAAUCUCCAUCCUCAAUGCAAUCAAUCUGAUGACACAAAUCAAUAGCAAAGAAAGAAGAAGUUUUCUGAGCUAAUUGUUUGUUUUUUUUUAUUGUGAAAACCUAAAGAAGAUUCCCUAAGUAAGUUUUAUAUUCAUUGACUCGCUUUUCACUUUCCAGUUGAUGAUCCAUUAAACUGAUGGAUGUAUAAAGAAAACUCAAUAUAUACUGUAACAUACAUAUAUAUAUAUAUAGCAAGGGAAUUGCUGCCCUGUCAGUGUGACUGAUUGCAUUGUCUGUAUGAGUGUGCGCUCUUAUCUGUGAGUAUGUUCUAUGUAACUCUAAGGAGGAGGGAAUGAUUUUACAGGCAUAAAAGUGGGGGACCUCGAUGGGAAUAAUUGUCUUAAUUACCAGUGGGAUGUGGGGAUGUAAAUUGUGGAUAAAGGGGUAAAUUGCAUGGAAAUAAUGUGUUCAUGGGAUGGGUUAAUUGCAGAAACAUGCGGAUAUCUAUGUUGGGGAGAAAUGAAUUCUUUGGGGCUUAUGGAGAUGCAAAUUGGGAACGAGGGGUAAUCGGCAGGUUAAUGUUUAAAUGUAGUUAUUGAGGAGAAUGGCAUUAUUGGCGAGGGAUCUGGGACGUCAAUGAUAGGGAAAACGUGUUAAUCGGCUGCAAGUGUCAUUUGAUGUCUCUCACCAACUGAAUAAUGUCUCAGCUUGUUUUGAGUUCGUAUGAUAAUGUGAAAGCAUUUUAGGCAAGACUAGAAGCAGUGCAGAUAACUAUCAAUCAAGUGCUUGCCAGGGGUGGUACCACAACCACUACAGUGUAAUUCUAGGACUGGUGCCACCUGUUCAUUAAUACUGCCUAUGCUUUCAUCAUUAUUAGGCAGGUCAUGUGUGUGCCUGUAUGUGUCUGUGUAUGAGUGGAAGUUUGUGAUCUUGUCUAUGUAUGUGUGUGUCUGUGUAUGAGGAAAUUUUUUUGUGUGCAUGUUAUUGAGUAUGUUUAUCUGCACGUAUGUUUGUGUGUGUGUCCGUGUGUGUGUAUGUGUAUUUCAUUCCACACAACCGGAAUAACAAAGUAUAAUCUCUGCCAUUCCAGUUGUUGUGGUGCAAAAUCCAAUAAACACUUUCUUUUAAAAAAUCGUGUAAUAUAAAUGUAUAUAAUGGUGAAGAUAAUGUCAUUUUGGGCACCCUGAGAUCAUUUUAAACCACUUGACCUUCAGUCUAGUAAGGAUUUAUGGCAUCUUAUUUGCAUUAUUUUCCAAUAAUAAAUCACUAUUGCUCCAUGAUCUUUGUGGUAUUACACAUUUUCAUAUCCUGUACUGCACAGUAGGUGAAGAUACACUGCAUUAGAAGCUGUAAUACACGUUGUGUGUUAUGGACACUAAGCAAUAGGCUUGUGCAUUUGGAUUUGUCCGAAUUGCAAUUCAGCUGAAUUCGGGGUGAUUUGUUGGGCCAAGUUUGACGUCUGCCCAGGGCUACAAGAUUCAAAAAGAGAGAUGAUUUAUGAGAAAAAAAGAUGAUUGAUGUGUAGGGAACAGCCAAAACAUGUUGAUUUUCUUCAGAGAUUAAGUGAAAAGUAAACAAUAAAGUCAAUUAAGGAGGAGCAGUAAAAAUAAUCUAUAUUUAUAUUUCUAUAUUUCAGUUUUUUUUACUUUUCCUCUUUUCCCUCUUUUGAUAACUUUUUUCUUUUUGUGAUCUGCGAUUCAAAUGGCUGUAAAAUGUGCCUAUUGGUAUACGGCAUAAUAUAUGUAAUAUUUAUAUUAUGGUUAUAUUUUGCAUUGCACUGUUUUUCCAAUUUUUGUGCCCUUUUUGGUUAGUCCAAAUGUUUACCUGAAUAUUUUUUAUUCAGUGGUAUUCAGCUAUUCCCAAACCAUCACAUGAACAAGACAUCAAUUUCUGGAAAAAUUAUUCAGUCGAACAGGACAAUCCCAAGAUGUACAAGUCUACUGAUCAAUGUGGAGGCUGUAAAAGUUAGUGCAACAUUGGAACAUACAUAGCCUAGCCCGCAUGCAGUUAGUGGGUAGUGUUGUUUGAAACUGUCUUCAUAAAUUCAGUUUCCUCUCCUUCCUCUUUUUGAUAUGUUUACAAAAAUAUCUGAAAAAAAUGACUUUACCUUACGUGCAACAUUUUAGUUUAGCUUCACCUCUGCCACAGGUGGGGGCUCUCCUAACACCUACAGUAUAAGAAUACAUCAUCAUUGUCAUAGCAUUUUACAUAACACCUCGUGCUAUUUUUUUUUUUUCAAUUGCCAAGUGUCCUGAUGAUACAUAACACAGCCCAAUGGCGACUUGAAGGACAGGCUUUCAUAUAUUUAUAUAUUUUUAUUUAAAUCAUGCUAUCAGAUGGAAACAUUAAGCCGGUAAGGCGUUUUAUCUAAGGAACUUUGCUCUGUAGGUUCUUACAAUCAGAUCAAUGCUAUCGAGCUGACCCCAGGUUAAUUGCUGAUAGAGAGUUUUCAGUACAUUUGUUACAUUUUUUCUGCAAAUAAUGCAACCAUUUACAGCUUAGUGUCAGAAUAUAUCAGAUUGGUUGGUGUUUAAUGCUCAGUCAAGUUGAAAAUAUGGGCAUGGGAUCAUAUAAACGAACUCUGGAUAGGAAAAUCAAUGGCAGAGAGGAGCGUCAGUGUAUUUCUGUAUAAUAUAUUUUUGAGAAGCUUUCCAUGGGGACAACCAGGACUUUAUUAAGCAAAUAGCUGAAAAAAUAUGUGAAUAUUUCAUGGUAGACAUUAUGCAUGUAAAACCUGUUUUAUACCUCCUGCUUUACUUUGAAACUUUCAGAUCCUGGGCGAUGUAAGAAGUUAAAGGGUAGAUGAUAGUUGUGAAUUCAUUUUUGGAUGCAAUUGAAUAAUUUACAAAAAUGUUGAGUUUUUGUAAAUUUUGUUGCAAACUAAUAUUGGUCGUUAAAUUAGCGCUAAAUCCAACACUGGAUUUGUUUGGUGCCAUUUGGUCAUUCGUUGACUGACUGCAUGCAUAAAUAAGUGGAAUAUAUAAAUUAUAUAUAUAAAUUUAUAGAGAGAGAGAGAACAUGAAGGCGUGUACUCUCUGGUCUCUUUUCAUAUAUUUCAGUGUUCCUUUAUUCAACGAUCAAUGUUUCAGUCCAACAAACUGGACAAUCAUCAUGAUAUAUAUAAGUAUCUGAAACUAACUUAAUAUAAAUUAUUUUCAUGUUUUCCUUUUGGUGUGUAGUAACCGUCAAUCUUGAAUAUUGUUGUGACUGCUGACUUUUAGAUUAAUUCAUUAUCAAUAGGGAUUAACAGGGGACAGCAUUUGUUAGAUUAACAAAAUAUUUUAGAUUUUUGUAUCAAACUGAAUUCAUAUUUGAGACAUAUUUGAGAGACAUAUUUCAGACACCUUUAGUAGGUAGAUAGGUAGGUAGUUGGAGCUGAUCAUUUAUGAUGAUUCUUGUGAUGUAUUAUGCUACAAUAAUUCAUAAGACUUGUGUACAGCAAACAUUUUUGGUUCUUCUGAAUUAAUUCAGUUUGGAUUUCCAAAAUUGUUAGAUUUCCAAAAUUGUUAAAUUCUGGAAAAAGUUGGAUUGAAACAGGUAUUGCCAGGGAAGUCCUACACUGAAGGAAAAAAAAGUCUUUCACACUGUAUAUUGGAGAUUUAAAGUUUCUGUUAAUUCAAAGUAGCUGUUAGACAUUGCCACCACACAACUCAUUCCAAACAAACUGAAUAAGCUAUUCACAGAUCACAAUGUUAUUUACUAGAGUGAGAAUUCAAAGUGAAUUUCAAAUUUAAGGUCAGAGUAGCCCACCUGAAUGCAUAGCAUCUUGCUAAUAUAAUGUUAAUUUACUAAUGGAAUUAUGGGUAUAUUUCCUACUAUGUAGUUAUGUAAUCACAAUAUAAAUAUUCACUGUCCAUGCUUAACAUUGUAUUGUCAUAUUUCUAAAAAAUUUACAUUUUUAUCAUAAUAAUAUAAGGGACUGGGUUUGUCAAUUUUUUGCAAAUGUUUCCGUAUUGCAAGGUUUAACAUCAUUUUUUUGUGUCUGUUGCACAGACAUUGAGCAUAUGGAUGAUUUAUUGCAAUGCCCCUGUUAAAUUAUUUCUUGGUCUAUAUAUUAAAUAACGGCUAUGCUAAUAUCAAACUCAUUAUCUUCCUUGAACUGAAUACUGAAUCUUAUUGCAUCAUGCCAUGGUUCAAAACUUUGUUAGUUCUGUUUUUUAAAAUGUAAACUUUCUAAUUCCGCAUUAAUAUUCGGCAUGUUGACAAUGCUUUAGAAUUUAUCGAGAGUACCAAAAUUGGAACUGAUAAUUUUCCAAAACAACAGAAAAAUAGAACUGUCAGUUUCUGUGUGGGAAAUACUGCUUUUAAAUCCAAGAAUACAUUAUGUAACAGGUUGGGAAAAAAAUAUGAUCAACAGAAUGUUACAGCUACGUUAUUACAUAAAAAUAUAUUUAAUUACUUUAUUCAUUUGCUAUUGUCAUUUUGUUCCAAGGAUAAAAAAAAAAAAAAAAACACUUUGGAAAUUAAUGGACCCUUGACACUUAGGACAUCACUAUAUGACUAAUUAAAUUCUGAGUUCAUCAUUUUAUUUUAUUUUUUUAUUUUUUUUUAUUCAAAAAGUUUUUCCUUGUAGUCAUUAGUUUUUUUUUUCCAUUUCCUGAAAUCUUGUUGCAUAAUAUGAAGCUAAGGAAAGUAAGAUGACAGCUGGCUGUGUGGGCCAGAUAUAAGUUUGGAAUAUAACGAGUCUCAGCAACUAGAAUGUUUGCCAGCGUGCUACAAAACAAACUCCAGCGCAUGGACAGACUUUCUUGGCUGUUACAGUUGUUUGAUUGGUGAAUUAAAUGCUUUUCUGUAAUUUCAAUAAACCCCCAUUUCUGAAUGAUCUAAUUAUACUCUGUAAAUUCAUGCUGGGGACUCUCUUUGUCUUAAAUCACUAAUGUAGAAGUAUGCAAAGGUGUUUUUUUUUUUUCAUUAAAGGCUUUUAAUGAAGAUUGAAAACCUUGCACAUACAGAAUAGUUAGAGUUAAUGCAAAAAGGUUAAAAAGAAAAAUGAUAUAGAGAUUAUAUACUAUCUAUUCAAUAAAUUAAAGGCAGGCUGUAAGUACCAAAGCACGACUUCUUAUUGUUGUAAUUCGUGUGCAUAGACACAGUCUCCUUUUCCAGAAAUUUCAAUUUUAGAAAAUUAAUUUCUGAAUUUAAAUUUAUCUCUGGUAGAAAAAAAAAAAAAAUCCCGCUGGAAUCUCGAAAAUUGGCACAGUGUGGAAACACUUCUCUAGAACUUUUACAGAAUGUAAACCUGGUCUUUCACUGAAAUAUGAAUUGUUACAGCUUCAAAGUCAACUUAAAAUUAAUUUCAAAUUUUAGACCAAAAUAGCCAAGCUGACUUGAGAAUUCUUCCAAUUUGAAACCCACUUUCAAUUUAGUUUUCAGUUUGGAUUCUUGGUAUUUCACAUUUUAGUGUAUAUUCCUAUUAAUGCCACAAUAGUUGGUGCUAGACAUUUAACCAGUGUGGAAUUGUCUUGACAAGCAAUAUAAGAUUAUUGUACAAGGGAAAUGGCAACUUUAUUAAACACUAAAAUUCUACCCAUUAAUCCAGAGUCCCUGAGAUUCUUCCUAUUCUCUCUUACACUGUGAGAAUCUGAUCAUUAAUUUUAAGUACCUGAGAAUCUGCCCAUUCUCUCUUACACUGUGAGAAUCUGCCAAUUUAUUCUAAGUAUUAAAGAAUCUGCCCAUUCAGCCUAAGCCAGUGAAAACAUGCCUUCUUACUAGACAUGUGCACCAGUGUAAUUUUUGUUUCGUACAAAUGAAUUUGUACUGAAUAAAAAUGAAAUUCGUCCAUUCUGAAUUUCUGACGAAAUUCAGUAAAAAAUAAUUUGUUUUCGCCCAUUAGGAUGAAAAUAACACUGCGCGUGCGCAAAAAAAAGCAAGGAGGGAGCCAGCAGCACUACCAGCUCCCUCCUUGUAAUAAAUAUUAACAAUUCCUACCACCCUCCGGCAGUAAAACCUAAGGGGGUCGCUGUUUUGUUUGGUAAAUACCAUGUUCACAUACUUUUUCCCGUUUUGUUCGGUAACCAAAAAAAUAACACAAAAUACCCAGACCAACUGCAUGCUUAUUAACCUCAUUCACCCCUGUUAACACCCCUAUAACGAUUCACACCUCAGUGUUCUAAGUGGUCGGCUGGGUGGCCGCCGUUCGUAUGCACAAACACGUGGUGGCGGCCAUCUAGUUCACAUGAAUGGAGGCAGCGGUGUUUGGUCGUUGAGUGCAUGGAACUAAAAUUGGACACCCGACCUCCCGAACACCGCUGAACUUCCACCCCUGCCUGUGUUAGUUUCUUUACAUCCUGGAAGAGCACUGUUCGGUGGAAUUGUUCGCAUUGAUUAUCCUGCAGCACGGAGUCUAUUAAUUGAAAGAACUGAAACAAAAAGGUAAUGCAUUCAUCAUUUGCCCUUUUGUUUUGUAUAUAAUUCGUAUGUUGGACAUUCGUUUAUGUUAUAGUAAACAAAUACGAAAAAGUCCAAAAAUUUGGAUGAAAUCCAAUAACGAAUGCACAUGUCUACUCCUUACCUUGACACCACAAGAAUCGUUCUAUUCAUUCUAAGUCCCUGAGAAUCUGCCCAUUCACCAAAAACUAAUCCACUGUGGAUCCCUAAGAUUCAGCCCAUUUACCCCAUGAGUUUAAAAUGGGAUUGAAAAUUAUGAAUGAAUGUGGCCAAGCAUAAAUGUUGGGAUACAUUAACUGUGCAAUUUUCUAACCGAGUGCAUUACUUACACAGCUGGCUACUUAGGAACAAAUUGGAUAUUUGUUAUUUUUUCUCCUUACAAGUUAAAAUGUUUUUAUUGCUACAUUUAAAUUUGCAAUGCCACAAGAAUUGCACGGCAAUAGCAAUCACACGGCAUUGUGAAAAAGCAGCAUGGCUUGUACGACACAGGACUCGAGAUAAAUGAGAUUUUUACUGUCAUUUCUAGAUAGCUAAAAAAAAAAGCAGAAAAAUAAAAAAGAAGGCUUAUACAACAAGUGUUUUGAGAUAAUAGAAUCUCCCCCUGCUAGUAAUUAAUGGCAUUAUUGCUGAUGAGAAAUGAAACGAUUUUACAGGUCUAUUGUACUCUAUGCAGAUUGUUCCCUUGGGACUGUUUAAGCAGAAGUAAUGUUGCUUUAUGGUACAAUUCACACAGAUAGUCUGAAAACCAUAUGGACUCUCUGCUUAACUACCGAUCUCUGGUCCCCAGUUUACCCGUCGAGUGUCCUCAUGAUAAUAUUAGAUGUAUUUACAGCCAGGGAAUAAUCUAAAAUUGUUCUAUUAAAAUAAUAAUUAUUCUUAUUAUCAUACACAUUGUGCAUUAAAGGCAACUAUUACUAACAAUGAAUAAUGAUAUGUUAGUUAAAAACUGCAUCAUGGAGAGAAAACAGUAAGUGUUCUAGUCAAUUAGUUAUUUCUAGUAUGCGUGGUUAUAAAUUGUAUAUUGCAUGUGUAACACCUUUGUGGUAGAUCUAGGCUGAAUUCUUGCUGUUUCGUUUGGGAGUGUCUAAUAUGUCUGGUUGUAGAACACUCACUGCACUUCAGAAUCCCACUACCAAUCUGUCACAAAGGGGAAAUAUAGUUCUAGUACAAGAUAACAGAAUGUCCAAACAAUGCACAUAAUGAAAAAAAAAGUACAUUAUUCACCACCAAAGGCAAGUAAAAGUUUGGUAACCUGAGAAUCUUGAUAAAAUUGAAAACAGGAGGAACAGUAAUAAAAAACAAUCUACAUUUAUGUAUUAUAUAUUUAUUAUUUUUUUUCCAAUUAGUCAUCUCUUUAUUUGUUGGCAAGGGCGAAAUUCCAACUCAAAAACUUAAGCAGACAUGCUCAACCAUACACGUUUCAGUUGGUUCGUGAUUUGAGUACAUUUUUGUUUGGAGUCUGAGAAUUCAAGCGUUCACCCGAAUACGAGUGGGGAUAGUUGGUUGUAAAUAGGAGUGGGAAUCAGGAGUGGGGAUAGUUGGUAAAUAGGAGUGGGAAUUAGGAGUGGGGAUAGUUGGUAAAUAGGAGUGGGAAUUAGGAGUGGGGAUAGUUGGUAAAUAGGAGUGGGAAUUAGGAGUGGGUAUUGGUUGUAGAUAGUAGUGGGAAUUAGAAGUGGUUAUAGUUGGUUGUAGAUAGGAGUGGGAAUCAGGUGUGGGGAUAGUUGGUUGUAAAUAGGAGUAGGGAUUAGGAGUGGGAUAGUUGGUUGUAGAUAGGAGUGGGAAUUAGGAGUAGGGAUAGUUGGUAAAUAGGAGUGGGGAAUAGGAGUGGGGAUAAUUGGUAAAUAGGAGUGGGGAAUAGGAGUGGGGAUGGUUAGUAAAUAGGAGUGGGAAUUAGGAGUGGGCAUAGUUGGUAAAUAGGAGUGGGAAUUAGGAGUGGGUAUUGGUUGUAGAUAGUAGUGGGAAUUAGAAGUGGUUAUAGUUGGUUAUAGAUAGGAGUGGGAAUCAGGUGUGGGGAUAGUUGGUUGUAAAUAGGAGUAAGGAUUAGGAGUGUGGAUAGUUGGUAAAUAGGAGUGGGAAUUAGGAGUGGGGAUAGUUGGUUGUAAAUAGGAGUAGGGAUUAGGAGUGGGAUAGUUGGUUGUAGAUAGGAGUGGGAAUUAGGAGUAGGGAUAGUUGGUAAAUAGGAGUGGGGAAUAGGAGUGGGGAUAAUUGGUAAAUAGGAGUGGGGAAUAGGAGUGGGGAUGGUUAGUAAAUAGGAGUGGGAAUUAGGAGUGGGCAUAGUUGGUAAAUAGGAGUGGGAAUUAGGAGUGGGGAUAGUUGGAAAUAGGAGUGGGAAUUAGGAGUGGGUAUUGGUUGUAGACAGGAGUGAGAAUUAGAAGUGGUUAUAGUUGGUUGUAGAUAUGAGUGGGAAUCAGGUGUGGGGAUAGUUGGUUGUAAAUAGGAGUGGGAAUCAAGUGUGGGAUAGUUGGUUGUAAAUAGGAGUAGGGAUUAGGAGUGUGGAUUGUUGGUUGUAGAUAGGAAUUGGAAUUAGAAGUGGGGAUAGUUGGUAAAUAGGAGUGGGAAUUAGGAGUGGGUAUUGGUUGUAGAUAGGAGUGGGAAUCAGGUGUGGGGAUAGUUGGUUGUAAAUAGGAGUAGGGAUUAGGAGUGGGGAUAGUUGGUUGUAGAUAGGAGUGGGAAUUAGGAGUGUGGAUAGUUGGUAAAUAGGAGUGGGGAUUAGGAGUGGGUAUAGUUGGUAAAUAGGAGUGGGAAUUAGGAGUGUGGAUAGUUGGUAAAUAGGAGUGGGAAUUAGGAGUGGGGAUAGUUGGUAAAUAGGAGUGGGAAUUAAGAGUGGGUAUUGGUUGUAGAUAGGAGUGGGAAUUAGAAGUGGGUAUAGUUGGUUGUAGAUAGGAGUGGGAAUCAGGAGUGGGCAUAGUUGGUUGUAAAUAGGAGUGGGAAUUAGGAGUGGGGAUAGUUGGUAAAUAGGAGUGGGAAUUAGGAGUGGGGAUAGUUGGUUGUAAAUAGGAGUAGGGAUUAGGAGUGUGGAUAGUUGGUUGUAGAUAGGAGUGGGAAUUAGGAGUGGGGAUAGUUGGAAAUAGGAGUGGGAAUUAGGAGUGGGUAUUGGUUGUAGACAGGAGUGAGAAUUAGAAGUGGUUAUAGUUGGUUGUAGAUAGGAGUGGGAAUUAGGAGUGGGGAUAGUUGGUUGUAAAUAGGAGUGGGAAUCAAGUGUGGCAUAGUUGGUUGUAAAUAGGAGUAGGGAUUAGGAGUGUGGAUUGUUGGUUGUAGAUAGGAAUGGGAAUUAGAAGUGGGUAUUGGUUGUAGAUAGGAGUGGGAAUCAGGUGUGGGGAUAGUUGGUUGUAAAUAGGAGUAGGGAUUAGGAGUGGGGAUAGUUGGUUGUAGAUAGGAGUGAGAAUUAGGAGUGUGGAUAGUUGGUAAAUAGGAGUGGGAAUUAGGAGUGGGGAUAGUUGUUUGUAGAUAGAAGUGGGAAUAGUUGGUAAAUAGGAGUUAGAAUUAGGAGUGGAGAUAGUUGGUUGUAGAUAGGAAUGGGAAUUAGAAGUGGGUAUUGGUUGUAGAUAGGAGAGGGAAUUAGGUGUGGGGAUAGUUGGUUGUAAAUAGGAGUAGGGAUUAGGAGUGGGGAUAGUUGGUUGUAGAUAGGAGUGAGAAUUAGGAGUGUGGAUAGUUGGUAAAUAGGAGUGGGAAUUAGGAGUGGGGAUAGUUGGUAAAUAGGAGUGGGAAUUAGGAGUGGGGAUAGUUGUUUGUAGAGAGAAGUGGGAAUAGUUGGUAAAUAGGAGUUAGAAUUAGGAGUGGAGAUAGUUGGUUGUACACAGGAUUGGGGAGAGUUGGCAGUUGACAUGAGUGGGGAUUGUUGGCUGUAGUUGGCAGCUGACAUGAGUGGGGAUAGUUGGCAGUUAACAUGAGUGGGGAUAGUUGGCAGUUGACAUGAGUGGGAGCAAUUGAUUGUACACAGAAGAAGGGAUAGUUGGAAGUUGAUAGGGGAGGGUAUAUUUGGCAGUUAAAAAGAGUGGGGAUAGUUGGCUGUAGACAGAGGUAGGAAUAAUUGCUAGCUCAUAGCUGUUACAAUUUCAAUUGGAUUAGAGAGGGUUUAUUGUUCGGAAAAGACAAGAGCCAGACCGGCUAGCAGCAGAAUUGAUUUUUAUAUAAAAUAUGUAUAAAUAAUGAAAUAAGUGUAAAGAAAUGGGGAUCUUGGUAACAGGAAAACAGAUUGCAGAAUAAGUAAGCAGGAGACCUUUGUAUUAUGUAGGUGACAUAAUUGCAAUAUGACUGAAUGAUGUAUAAAAACUGAUAGCCUCUCAUUACAUAUUUAUUUCACAGAAACAGCUAGAAAUCAAAACACUAGAUUAAUAGCUAAAAAACUCUGUUACUUUCUAUUCUCAUGUGAAUGAAUAUGUUUUGAAUACAUUUCUUGUUAUUUAGGGUAUAAGUUUAACCUAUUUAGCACUCUAUUGUUCAUUAACACUUUCUGUGCCAAGGAGAGCCAUCAGGUAUACAACAAGAAAAAAAUCUAUAAUUUGUAUCCUUAUGCAAUAUACGAGAAAUGUGUUUGAGGGAUAUGAGGGAUUGGAAACACUUUUUCAAAACAAUAAAAAUUGAUAAUGCAAUUUGUUUUGCAAAUUAUUUCACACUUUAAAACAAUAUGCGCUUUAAACAAUAUGCUGCCUACUGUGUUCUGGCGUUUAAUGUCAGACCGUUUAGAAAUGGUAUGACAUGAACUGUGGACUUGGUGCCCGAGCUAACCCACCCCAGCAUUCUCAGCCAAUCACCGCCAUCCAGGUUUGUUGUAGCUAUUACUGAAAACAGAGAAGUUUUAAUUCUGCAGUAUCAAUUCAGCUGUCUAUGGGUGCCUGAAUGAGCCACAGUUUAUGUCAAACCAUUACAAAAUAGUACGCCAUUAACUCAAGGAUACUGCCAGGACACUCUAGGCAGGCCGGUGCAAGGCAAAGAUGCAUUUUGCCGCAACACAUCACCUAUGGUUCUCUUAACCCCCCUUAACCAUAAUUUUGUGUCUCUUAGAACCCCCUUGUAUAGCUUGUAUCCCUUAUCCCCCCUUUGUAUCUCUUUCUUUCUCCCAGUCCCUUUGUAUGUCUCUUUUUCCCUGUCCCAAGCUCCUCUGUGUAUCUUUUUCCUCUUACCCAGGCCCUCUUUGUGCUCCUUUUUCAUAUUCUCUCUGUGUGCCAAUUUCUCCCCCCUAAGCCCCUUUGUGUGUCUCUUCCCCUCUGUCCCUCUUUGUGUCUUUUUCGCCACAUCCCCUAUGUGUGUCUCUUUUCUAACAGAUCUUUGUGUAUGCAUAUUCCCCCAUCCCCUCUGUGUGUUUCUUUUUUGACUCUAGGUAACUUACAUUUUAGAUAUCACAUCUUUGCUAUAUAAAGAGUCAAGAAUUUGCUAAUUUGGAAAAAUUAUCUAACAUGGCUAUAAUUAUAGCUUAAGCAUGCACACUGUUAGGGUGGGUCUACAGUCUCAAAUGUGGUUCUCCUUAGCUCCAGGCCAGAGGCAGCCCGUUGCCCCGAACAGCUGGUUCCAUGCUACUCAACAUGCCUAAUCUGCACUGUGACUUUUGGCUGGGAACUGUGUAUUUUUGUGUCUCUGCAUGCUUAUCUGUUUCUUUGUGUGCCUGUAUUUAUAUAUGUAUGCUUCUGUGUCUAUUUGAGUGUGUCUGUGAGAAUCUGUGUUCCUGUGUGUGCAUGCCUACUCAUGCCUGUGUAUGUUUAUGCUUCUAUAGCCGUAUGUAUGCAUCUGUGAAUGAGUGUAUGUAUGCAUUUAACAUUUGGAAAUUCCCUUUUCAAUUCAAUAAAAUUCAGUAACUGACAGAGGAAGCUUUAUUAUUAAACAUGUGAAAUAUGUUUCAGGAUUAUUAAUCCCUGGAAUACUUCGACUUUUUGUUAGUAGUUGGUUUAUUAGUAAUAAAAUAAGGAGAGGGAUCAACCCUAAGAGACACUGUGGCUUUGGAAAUGUGAGUUGACACUAAGCAGGAGGGUGGCAAACACACACUCGGGCACAAUACACACACAAACACACACACACUGACAUACAGCUCUGUUUUCAAUCCUACAUUAUACAUAGAACAUACUUCUUACUCGACUUACAGCUAUACAUGUAUUUACUUCUUUAAACUAUCCACAUGUUAAGGGGUUAAACAGUUAUAUGAUCAAAAUGGGUUUAUCUGCACAUCUGUAGUUACAGAGUUAGUUAUUACUUCAUAAUGCCAUUUUAAAACCUUUAUUCAUUAAACAGCAAGUCACAUUAAUAACUCUGUCACCUAGAGACUAAAAUACCCAACUGGAAUAAUGUUUGACUACACAUUUUUCUAAACAGUUGGAAACACAACUUACUCACAAGUCAAUAAAUUCCUUGGAAAAUAACGCUAGAUAUACGUUGGGUAAAUUGUCAAUGCUGAAAAAGACCAUUCACGUAAUAGCCACCUUGUGUUGUGAUUACGUUCUUUUUAUGUCUGCAUUCUCACUUUAUUUUUAUCGGGAAAAUCUUUGAUGUUGUUGAUUAGAAAUCACACGGGGCCAACUCUCUUGGAAACUAUUUGUAGCCAGAAGAAAAAAGGAGACCUCAAUCACAGCUCGGAAAAUGUCAGCAACAGGAUAGUGAAUAAAUGAUGUUAUGUAACAGGAUUUGCACAGGCAGAUAGCCCUCUGUGAUGUAAAUAAUGCAGUUCCCCCAUUCUGGUGCAAACAAAUCACUUGGAAGUAAAAAAUAAAACACUUUUUUUUUUACUGGUAAGAGUAGCAUUUUUCUUUUUGUUCUUCUCACGGACAUGAAUAGAGGAUGGACAGACAUACUUUAGAAGUAGACAUCUCGGCAGGUCAUUAAAGGUUCAAGACUUGUAUCGAGUUCAAAACUAGAAGAAAAAAACAUUCCUCCGAGAAACACUGGCAUUUUAUUCUGCUGCCAAGUACCCCCAGCGAUCUGCCAUUUAUUCAGAAUUACUGCGUAAUAUAGAAAUAAAACAAUAAAAAGGACACCAGCUACCAACAAAUUAGGGUUAUUAUUAGGGAAAUUAUACAUUUCCACUUUUGUCUUGUUUGCCAAUGUUGGCAGCUCAUCACAGCUGACAAAGUGCUAUCACUUUAAUCACUGUGGGACAAGCUUUAGUCGAAUCCUUUGCUAUUGUAACAAUACUGAAGGGGUUAUUACUCUUGAAAAAUACAGGGGAAAAAAGGCAACAACUUGUGGAAUGGUGUGAAGGAUGGACUCGAUAGAGACACUUGAUCCCUUUCUACACUCACACACACUGAACAUUCCAUGUUUUAAAGGGACACUCCAAACACCUGAAGUGUUUUAUGUGUGAGCAUGUGUUCUCAUUUUUCACUUUGCAAGAAGUGCAAUAAAUUAAAGUGACAUUAUAGGAGUAGUCUGGAUUGGUCUGGGUGCCACGCCCCUCCCUCCCCCACCCACUAUUUUAAUUCUGUAAGUAAAAGCAUUGAUGUUCUGCAGAGAUGGCAACAUUUUCAUUCCAGAGUUUAUAUGCCUCUAGCGGCUGUCACUAUUUCCUCCAAAAUAGUUGAGUAAACCUCAUAGAGACCAUUGACCUAGUGCAGUGUUUUACCGUGCAUGUGGUGCACUAUCCUCCCAAAGCUUUCCUGUGGGAAAGCAUUGGAUUGGCUGAGAUCAUCAAUGUUCUCAGUCAAGGAGGUGGGACCGCUGUGCGGAGACAGAAAGAGGGGAGAUGGGGGGAAUUAUAAAGGUAUUUCCAGCAGAGAGGGAGGAGAUGGGGGAGUUAUAAAGUUAUUUCCAUAAGAGAGAGGGGAGUUAUAUAAAGUAUUUCCUGCAGAGAGGGGGAGAUGGGGGGAGUUAUAAAGGUAUUUCCAGCAGAGAGGGGGAGUUAUAAAGGUAUUUCUGGCAGAGGGGAGAUGAGGGAGUUAGAAAAAGUUUUUUUCAGCAGAGAGGGCGGGAUAGGGGAGUUAUAAAGGUAUUUCCGGCAGAGAGGGCGGAGAUGGGGGGAGUUUAAAGGUAUUUCCAGCAGAGAGGGAGGGUGGGGAGUUAUAAAGAUAUUUCUAGCAGAGGAGGGUGAGAUGGGGGAGUUAUAAAGGUAUUUCGGCAGAGAGGGGGAGGGUGGGAGGAGUUAUAAAGAUAUUUCUAGCAGAGAAGUGUGAGAUGGGGAGUUAUAAAGGUAUUUCCAGCAGAGAGGGGGAGGGUGGGGGGAGUUAUAAAGAUAUUUCUAGCAGACGAGGGUGAGAUGGGGGGAGUUAUAAAGGUAUUUCCAGCAGAGGGGUGGAGGGUGGGGGGAGUUAGAGAAGUUAUUUCUGGCAGAGGAAGGGGCGAUGGGGGGAGUUAUAAAGGUAUUUCAAGCAGAGAGGGGUGAGUUAUAAAGGUAUUUCCGGCAGAGGGGAGAUGAGGGAGUUAGAAAAAGUUUUUUUCAGCAGAGAGAAAGGUAUUUCCAGCAGAGAGGAAGGAGAUGGGGGAGUUAUAAAGGUAUUUCUGGCAGAGAGGGAGGAGAUGGGGGGAGUUACAAAGGUAUUUCUGGCAGAGAAGGGGAAGAUGGGGGGAGUUAUCAAGUUAUUCCAGCAGAGAGGAGAAAGAUGGGGGGAGUUAUCAAGGUAUUCCCGACAGAGAGGUGGUCCAAUGUUCUAGAAGAGGAGCAACCACCAUGGAAACCAGACGAAUGUACCUGCUAAUACAAUGUCUAUCCCUGGGGAUUGUAAAGGUUUUUGCUCUCUGCUGCACUGCCUCUUUUCUCACACACUACGCUCGUUGAACGAAAGGGAUGGGGUGAAUAAUAGAUAAAACUAUGUCCUGUAUGUGUAAAGGGAUACAAUAUGGACACUCACUCAUAUCUCCCAACGCACUACUAAGAACGUGGAGAGCUAAACUAAUGCAAGAAUUCCAUCCUGUUCAAUUUAAUUGGAGUAUUUUUUGGUUGAAAUAAUCGCUUAAAAUGAGAAACUUGAACAUUGUGAGUCUUUGUUCUAUUACAAAAUGAAAAUAGAAAUGUUAAAUAUUGUGCUUCAUCAAACGGGCCAGCUUCAAACUCUGUUUAGUCAAGAAAGACCAUAGACCUUUAGACAUUAAUGUCGUAUUCCUAGGCUUACUCUAGGACUAUCUAUAGACAUCUUCACUCAGCAGAGAAAUGUCCUGACCAAAGAGAGCUAGAUGGAUGAAGCCCCCUGUAUGUGAGUGCAUCUGCAGCGGAUAUGCUGAAGCCAAUUCAUGCAUACAUGACGUAAGCUUGUGUUAUCUCCAUAAAGUCCCAGCAUCGCUUAUAGUCUGUUUCCUUACUUGGUCACACAUUCUAAUCUCAUAGUUUUACAACGUGUGGAGUGCACCCAACAUGCCAAUUCAAUAAGAGUAAGAGAAACAUCAAUGUUUGUAUUAGAAUAUUUAGUAGGUAUACAUUUCGUAUUUGUUGUGCUAGGUUGACCAAUAUGACAGUACUCGUUAGUGUAUUUUUAACUUCUUCAGGACCAAGAUUAGAAAAGAUCAGUCCUUGUCAGUCCUCGUGAAUCAGUGAAAUCUAAUUGCAUUUUCCUGCAAUAGGAAAAGUAGUAAAACAAAACCCUACAUUUUAAAAUGUAAUUUUGGCAGAUUUUAGGCAUCUUUGAUGAAACUUCCUUUGGAGCUUACUGUGAAUUUUGAAAGUACCAAUUUUCUUCCAUUUUGUUUUUUUUCCUAGUGUAUCAAAUUCCAAACAUUUUCUCUCUUUCACUCGGCUUCUUAGCUAUUUACAUGUUUUGUGUUUUUUUUUGCCAUAAUUACUGUCUCAUUAGUAAACUAGAGCGUUGGUUAUAUUGUUGAUAUCCUCUGAUUAGUGACAACUAGACAAUGAAAAACAGAAAAUGAUUAAAAAAAAGAAACAUAUUAGUUUUCAAAUUUGUUCACAGCAGGUGAGUGACUGGAAUUCUCUAAUGAAUUUAUAGCUUGUAAUAGAACUACCACUUACUCUGCCCUGUUCUGCCCACAUACUAAACUGAUUGAAAUGUGAGCAAUACGAUUAUAUGCUAUUCUUUCUACAAUUUAGGCUUGUUUUGCGUUGGCUUGAGCUGCACCGGUAGAUAGCAAGAGUUUUCAUGAUAUCCUUCAAUCCCAGGACAUACCGUAUAUACUCGAGUAUAAGUCGAGUUUUUCAGCACAUUUUUGUGCUGAAAAUCCCCCACUCGACAUAUACUCGAGUUAAUGUCUGUAUUAUGGCAACUCAUUACAAGCCCGGCGGUCCUGUUGGGGGCUGGCAGCGAGCUGUAACUUACCUUUCCUGCAGCUCCUGUCAGCUCCCUUCUCUCUCCUCCGGUCCGGUCAGCUCCCCUGUCAGCUCCACUGCAAGGAUCGCGAGAGCCGCAGGGUCAGAACGUUGCCACGGGUUACCGUGGCAACGCUCCACUCAGCACUCAGACCACAAGACUUGCAGUGGGAGCUGACAGGGGAGCUGACCAGACCGGAGGAGAAGGGAGCUGACAGGAGCUGCAGGAAAGGUAAGUUACAGCUCACUGCCAGCCCCUCUCCUACACAGCCCAUCCACCAGCUAACAAGCAGGGAGGGGGCACGAAUACAAAUAAAUAACAAUUUUAAUAAUAAUAAAAUAUUAAUAAUAUUAAAAAUAAUAAUAAAAUAGAAAUAAAAUAUUAAUAAUAUAACAAAAAAAUAUUAAAAUAAUAAUAAUUAAAAGAAAAUAAUAAAAAUGCCCACCCCCCACCAAGGCUCUGCAUCACACACACACACACUGCAUUCAUACACACACACACUGCACUAAAAACACACACUGCACUCAUACACACAAACACUGCAUUCAUACACACACACACACUGCACUCAUACACACACACUGCAUUCACACACACACACACACUGCAUUCAUACACACACAUACACACACUGCAUUAAUACACACACACUGCAUUCAUACACACACACACUGCAUUCAUACACACACACAAACACUGCAUUCAUUACAUACACACACUGUAAAUAAAUAUUCAAUUAAUAUAAUGUUUUGGGGACAUAAUUUUAUUUAGAAAUUUACCAGUAGCUGCUGCAUUUCGCACCCUAGUCUUAUACUCGAGUCAGUACGUUUUCCCAGAUUUGGGGGUAAAAUUAGGGGUCUCGACUUAUAUUCGGGUCGACUUAUACUCGAGUAUAUACGGUACUUGAAAAUGAGAGAAAUCUCAAUAUAUCCUUCCUGUUAAAAUAUUUUAUAAAAAAAUAAUAAAUACAUAAAUCAAUAAUAAUUAGUAAUAUAAACAUGUUUCACAAAGGCUUGGGUUUAAAGAAGGCUGUAUUGGUCUUAGGGAAAUCUAAAAUUUCCAUGAUGGAUUUCUUUAACUUGAUAAGAAUGGAUAAUGUAUGUUUUUGCAAGCUCAGAUUGCACAUUUCUUGUGAUAGGGAUGGGGAAUUUUAAUGUUAACAGGAACAGGAAUAUUCAGCAUUGUCUGUUCAAUAGCUUUUACCAAAAUUCUCUCCAAGCCAGCUGCUCCCCCAGCUAGUAGGCAACCGUUACCACUCUAGCUGUUGUGGACUUUAUCCGAAUAAUACUUUUAUAGCUAAUAUAAAGGCAAAACAUCAGGAGAAAUGUAGUCACAACAUCAGGAGUGACCAAGGUUGCCUAUUCCUGUAGUAGAGGAUUCUGGGAAGUGUAAAGUGGGGACAGCUAUAUGACCAAAGAUGGAAGAUUAUUACCUAGACCAAUUUCUUUGUAAAAUAAUUAACAAGAUUCACAUUUUUGUUACAGUAAAUGCAUACACUGCAUUUAUUCAUUUAUUGUUCUUUGUAAUGAAGUUAGUAACUUGUUUUAUAUGAUACACAUAAUGGAAUGUUGUCAUGUUCUAAAAGCAUGAGGUAAGCCUUUCAAUAGCGAGGCUAUUCUUGAUUAUAUUUUUAGCUACCUUGUGAAUAUUUGAUAUCACAGCAAUUUAUGGUUUGGAUUGGUGUUCACGAACAAAAUAAAUUUAAAACCCAAUAUAUAUAUAUACAUAUAUAUAUAUAUAUACAUCAGGAUGAAAGUCAAGGAAUUGGACUGAAAUGUUAAUGUACUUUUUUUAAGCAACAAAAUGAACGUAUUUUGCAAGUUCAUUGAGUGGUCUCCAUUGUUAGAUAAUAUGCAUUUUGCUGGGUUACUGCAAUACCUGGUUUAAACAUUGAUUAGUGAUCAUCGCUUGACUGUCAGACCUUCAAUGAAGUUCAUACUUUCAUUUUUUUUUUUUUUACAGAAGGACAAACAUUUAUUUUCUAAUAAAUAGCAGGAAGGAUAAUGUGAAAUCUAUAAAAUAAUACGAGCUUUGAUGCCUAUUGAUUCCUAUGUUUGUAUGUAAACGUAGAGAUCAACUUUCUACUAAAAAAAAAGUAAUUUUUUAUUGUAAUGUGAGUAAUUACCUAAAAGUAGCUAUUUGAACUGUGUUACUAUAUUAACUAUUUCAUCAUAAAAAUAUGUCAUAUUGCCUCAUUAAUCCAUUGUCCCACUUCUAUAGAAAACCAAAGGGGAAAAAAAGUGGUUUUAGUUUUUUUGCACAUUAUGUAAAGUGCUUUACCAAAUGUUCCCAAAUACUGUAAAUUAGCACCUAAUACCAGGUCUGUACAAGCAUCAGGCUGCCAUGGUUGAAGAGUCUAUCACUAAUCGUCAUCAGUAUCAUCAUCGAACUUGGGAAUUCACUGUUGAGAUUCGAUUUGUAACACAAUCCCAGAUUUAAAAAAAAUAAUAACUAUUUCAGGUCCUAAUCUUACAAGCUCAGAAUCCUGUUUGUAGGAAAUAUAAUGCAUUUUCCUUGGCUUCAGAUCCCAUGGUCAUUGAAAUCAAUAAGGUUUUUCUGGGCAUCUGGACACACAUUGUCAAAAGAAAACAUUUAAUGAAGAUUCUCAUUCUCUUUGAUCUUUGUUUGUUUACAUGUGUAUGUCUUGCGUGGAUUGAGGAAGAUUACAAUGCAUCAUUGCAGCCCGGAGAACUCAUGAGGAAAUAAUUCUUAGAACAGCUAGUGUGCUGUGAGAUAAUAUUUGGGAAAAAAAUAUGAUUGAUGGCUUAGCGACGGUCACUAAAUAUUGUUUUUAUUCAAAGAUCAAGUGAGAAUUGACCAAUAGUGGGAAAACAGGAGUAGCAAAAAAAAUAAAUUAAUCAAUAAAUAUGUAUUUAUUUAUUUAAUAAAGAGAUGGAUUUACUACUCCAUUUUUUUCUUCUACUGGUCACUUCUCACUUAAUCUGUGAAUAAAAUCAACAAUUAUCAGCUGUCCCCUAACCACCAAUCAUCUUUUUACUCAUCAAUCAUCUCUUUUUUUCAUUCCCUCAUUUGUUCUGUGAACUAAAUGGCAGUAAAUGCACCUAUCAGUGUACUGAUAAAUAUAUACUUAAUAUUUAUGUAUUGUAUUUAUAUUAUGUAUAUAUUUUGCAGUACACUAAUUAGCCCAUUUUAACAUGAUUGUUUGUUCUUCCAAGCCAUUUUCAUGAAUAUUUUUCAUUAAUAAUGGUCGGAUGAGCAAAACCGUUGAAUGAACACCUCGGAAGUUCCAAACUAAGUUUUAUUUUAAUAAAAAAAUGAACCAAAGUUUUCCAACAUUUGAAAGUCUGAUAAAAUACAUAAAUUAAUUUCUUCUGCUCGUGUUGUAUUCGGUAUAUUCUUUAGAAAUUUAUUUUAUGUAGAGCUCCAAAGUAAAAUGCAUAGAGAUUCCCAAAAUAUGUAGCGAUCUGGCAACAUAGGGCAAAUGGAAGCACAUAUCUAAAUACCAUGCAGGUGUCUCAAUUGUGUAUCAUCACAUGUGGUCUCUGUGGGGCUCUACAAAGGCUACUGAUUCACAAAAAAAUAAGAAAUAAAUGGAAUUACUUCCCAAUUUUUUGCACAGGGUUAAAAGCACCCUUUUUAUCUAAAAUAUGGCAAUCAGAUCUCCCCCUGGGCACUUUCUACUGAAACACAGUGAAACUCAUUUGCUAAAAAGGUAUUCAAAACCUUUCAUGAUUUUUUAAAUUAAUGGAUGAACUUAGAAGAGGACUGACUUGUUCUCAUUUAAACUUCACAUCCGACCUUAUAAUGGCUUCAUGUAAUUUAUUAUUUAAGACAGCUACUCUACUUCCUAACUCAUAAAAAAUCUAAUACAGCAAUACUCCAGCAAGUUAGCAAUGGACAAGCUAUAUUUAUAAUUGUUCCUGAUAAUACAAUGCCGAUUUUCUGUUGUUCCAAUUUGCCGUUACCUUUGAAAACUCAUAUGAAAAUAUUGACUGUCUUGCAAGAGAUUAGAGAAAUGGCAAUUAAUGAAGUAAUUAAAUAUUCACAAGGCUGUUUCAUACUCUCAUUAUAUUGUAAUCCAAUGACCCACUCCUGCUUCAUUUUCCAUUCAGACGGUUAUGUUCCGUGCUUUGAUCUGGUACAAAACUCGGCUUAGAGCUAUUAUUAAGAACUAAAAUCUUAUCAGCAGCUGAGAUGGAGAUAUCUACUUGUCUAAGGAUCUCAACGUGAAGAGAAAAAGGAAAAAAACUCACAUUCUCGGAAAGUUAAACUGGUGAAAUGUAUUCUAUGAAUGUAAUAUUAACUCUUGAAUACAUCAGUUAAAGCUUAAACCUUACAAAAUGCCCCAAACCCUUCAUUCUUCCUCACCCUUGUCUGAAUGCUACACUGCAUUCACUGCGCUUUCAUCCCUAGGGGGUUCUGUACUGUAAAAGAAGAGGGUGGUUUUUAAAGUUACUCUUUGGUUUGACCAGAGAUCGUGUAGAGGGGUUAUUGUUCUACUGGUGAAGAUUGUCAUUGGAGCAAAGGGGUAUGUAAGAGGGGUUCAAUAUGCUAAAAUUAAUUCUACCUUGUCUUGGAUGAAAGAGGUUAAUCAUGGCGCACAUCAUAAUUAAAGUUUGUCUGAUCAUCCUUUUCAUUUUAGUCAUCUAAAACCAAUCUACAUUCUACCAGACACCUUAUUAUAAGUUUUAUGUUUCAUAAAUUAGUAUAGCGUUUAAUCAAUCACAAUGGCUCUUAUGGGAUUACUGCAAUAAUGUAAUAGUUUAUUCUCUUGAUAAUCUCCAUUUAUUAACUCUUUCAAACUUUAUAAAACAAUACAAAGCCAAUAUUUAUUUAUUUAUUUUUAAUUAUGAUUUGUAUGUUGUAGUUUUCAAAUUUCGCUCCUAAAAAAUUAUACUCAACUCCAGAUUUGCAGCUAGUUUACCAAAAGUAAAAAAACGUUUUUAUUUUUUAACCCAGAAUGAAGGAACGCUUUGCUGCAAACAACCUUGGGGUUUUAUCAGUGGGCUGAACUUUUCAGGCAACUUAUCAUGUUAAAUUACAUUGAUUUUUGUUACACUGGGUUAGUAUUUGAUUUCUCUACUGUAGGUGUUUGUUUUUAUAGUUUUCCCCGUAGACCUUCCCCCUGCUCUGUCCCUACAUCACAGUAUGUAGUGAUUCGGUCAGAGAGGCUGUUACCCAUCUGAUUGCAUAGUGAGAGAGACCGAUAAACCACAACAGAUUAACUAUGCUGAAAAAUGUGGUGGAAGCCUACUGUUAGUUUGAGUUUAGCUAACUUAGUUUAUUCUCAGCCUGAUUUUGGUUCCACAUUGGUCAAAACUCAGAGUUUCUUAGUAAAUAGAGAAUAACCAGUAGUAAUAACUCGAGGAUUUUUAGUAUGCUAGUCAUGUAUGAUUUUGCUAAAAUUCCAUUCCUGCCAUGAUAUAACAUCUUACUCCCAUCGAGGUGACAGUCCUCUAUCUUAUAUCAUCAAACUUUUAGCCAUGCACUAUGACCCAAAUGAUCGAAGAAAAUAUCUGAUUCCCACCAAGUUGGUCUAUAAAUAUGACAACAAGCCUAGACUGACAACACGACCUUAUGUGUACCUUAUCUGAUCAUCUUUAUUUAUUAUUUUUUUUAUCUGGCAGAACAUGUAAUAUCUGUACCUCCAACCCCAAUUAACAUUAGUUUGACAUUGCAAUGCCAGCAGGCUAUAUCUCAAGCUGAAUGUGCUAAACUGAGAUUUAUCCUGUGUAUUUUUGAUGAUUGAUAAAAGUUGACAGUUUCAUCUUAACAGUCCUAAAUAAUCGUAGAAUGAGAAAACGACAUUUCAAGAUGGAGAAAGCUUGAUAGCUAAUGGACAAGACGUUGAUGAAUGGUACCCCAGGCUUGCCCUUUUUUUGUUAGUAACUCCUUUUAGUAUACCAGUCACUGUUGGAUUAAAAAUAAAAGCCCCCUUGUGUUUUACAACUCAUCUUUCUCUCAGUUUGGCAUUAACCACUGGAGUUGGCUGCAUUGUCUUUUCCCAGCAAGUUUCCUCAAACGUUCUAUUAGCUGUUUGUUAUAUGCCAGCCUAACAAAGAUAAGUCAUCGCCACAGAAAGUCCUUCUGUUUUAUUUCUGCAAGGGUUAGAGGCGAACCUCUCUUACUUGUUUAUUUUUUCAUAAGCUCAAACAAAAAUUGUUUCUGAGCUUUUUUCUUUUUUUUUUCUUUUUUUGUGUUUUUCUGAAUUGCACAAAAACAAAUAAGAUUUUUUUUUCUAUGCAUCAAUGCCAGCUGAGGACAGUGUAAGCUCCUAUUCUCUUGUUAGAUUUUCAUCCUAAACUGCUAUGAUGGGUUUUGAAUGGUGUAAACAAGAACCCGCGGGCAGAUUAAAUAUGUACACAAAAACAGUCAGCAAUAUAUAUUUGUAAAAAUGACUGCCAAGCGAAAUAACUAGUGAGUGCAUUAAGAAAUGGCAUAGCUGAAGUUAGUAUGAAAACUCAUUGAGCACGAGUGGCUCAGUGCUAUUUGUCUUUGGUUCAUUUACCCAAACAGUGAUAAUGCAGUUAGACAGAUUCCUCACGGGCAUACCAAUACCUUUAUCCUCGUUUUUUAUGGUUUAUUUUUUAAGAUUAGAUGGUAUGCUGUAAUGAUAUUUAGGGGUAAGCUGGGUUACAGUUGCAAGAAAAAGUAUGUGAACCCUUUGGAAUGAUAUGGAUUUCUGCACAAAUUGGUCAUAAAAUGUGAUCUGAUCAUCAUCUAAGUCACAACAAUAGACAAUCACAGUCUACUUAAACUAAUAACACACAAAGAAUGAAAUGUUGCCAUGUUUUUAUUGAACACACCAUGUAAACAUUCACAGUGCAGGUGGAAAAAGUAUGUGAACCCUUGGAUUUAAUAACUGGUUGAACCUCCUUUGGCAGCAAUAACUUCAACCAAACGUUUCCUGUAGUUGCAGAUCAGACGUGCACAACGGUCAGGAGUAAUUCUUGACCAUUCCUCUUUACAGAACUGUUUCAGUUCAGCAAUAUUCUUGGGAUGUCUGGUGUGAAUCGCUUUCUUGAGGUCAUGCCACAGCAUCUCAAUCGGGUUGAGGUCAGGACUCUGACUGGGCCACUUCAGAAGGCGUAUUUUCUUCUGUUUAAGCCAUUCUGUUGUUGAUUUACUUCUAUGCUUUGGGUCAUUGUCCUGUUGCAACACCCAUCUUCUGUUGAGCUUCAGCUGGUAGACAGAUGGCCUUAAGUUCUCCUGCAAAAUGUCUUGAUAAACUUGGGAAUUCAUUUUUCCUUCGAUGAUAGCAAUCCGUCCAGGCCCUGACGCAGCAAAGCAGCCCCAAACCAUGAUGCCCCCACCACCAUACUUCACAGUUGGGAUGAGGUUUUGAUGUUGGUGUGCUGUGCCUUUUUUUCGCCACACAUAGUGUUGUGUGUUUCUUCCAAACAACUCAACUUUGGUUUCAUCUGUCCACAGAAUAUUUUGCCAGUACUGCUGUGGAACAUCCAGGUGCUCUUGUGCAAACUGUAAACGUGCAGCAAUGUUUUGUUUGGACAGCAGUGGCUUCCUCUGUGGUAUCCUCCCAUGAAAUCCAUUCUUGUUUAGUGUUUUACGUAUUGUAGAUUCGCUAACAGGGAUGUUAGCAUUUGCCAGUGACUUUUGUAAGUCUUUAGCUGACACUCUAGGAUUCUUCUUCACCUCAUUGAGCAGUCUGCGCUGUGCUCUUGCAGUCAUCUUUACAGGACGGCCAGUCCUAGGGAGAGUAGCAGCAGUGCUGAACUUUCUCCAUUUAUAGACAAUUUGUCUUACCAUGGACUGAUGAACAGCAAGGCUUUUGGAGAUACUUUUAUAACCCUUUCCAGCUUUGUGCAAGUCAACAAUUCUUAAUCGUAGGUCUUCUGAGAGCUCUUUUGUGCGAGGCAUCAUUCACUUCAGGCAAUGCUUCUUGUGAAAAGCAAACCCAGAACUGGUGUGUGUUUUUUAUAGGGCAGGGCAGCUGUAACCAACACCUCCAAUCUCAUCUCAUUGAUUGGACUCCAGUUGGCUGACAUCUCACUCCAAUUAGCUCUUGGAGAUGUCAUUAGUCUAGGGGUUCACAUACUUUUUCCACCUGCACUGUGAAUGUUUACAUGGUGUGUUCAAUAAAAACAUGGCAACAUUUCAUUCUUUGUGUGUUAUUAGUUUAAGCAGACUGUGAUUGUCUAUUGUUGUGACUUAGAUGAUGAUCAGAUCACAUUUUAUGACCAAUUUGUGCAGAAAUCCAAAUCAUUCCAAAGGGUUCACAUACUUUUUCUUGCAACUGUAUAUAUGUAUGUAAUGUUUUUUUCGGGGUAUAGGAGAAUGGGAUUGGUAUAUAUUAUUAGUUCUUAACCAUUGGGGGAACUAAAGUAGAAUGGACCCUGGUGCAACACUCAAACACACACUACACACACACACACACACACAGACACACAUGCAGAUACAGACACACACUGACACACCUCCAGAUGCACAGAUCCACACACUGACACACACAAACAAUACAAAUACUGACACACAUACAGAUACACAGAUACACAUACAGACACACAUACAGAUACAGACACACACUGACACACAUGCAGAAGCACAGAUACACAAACUGACACAAAAAAUACAAAUUCUGACACACAUACAGAUACACUGGUACAGACAUGCAGAUACACAAACACACAGACAGGUACACAUACACAUACUGACAUACAUGCAGAUGUACAGACAGAAACUAACACAGAUACAAAUACAGAGACACACAGAUACACACAAUGACACACAAUUUGUCAGUUCCACAGUGGUGGAAUUAAUCUCUGUGACAUGUAUUGUGGUGUUUUGACCCUAUAUUGUUUUUCUAGAGACACACACAAUGACACAUUUAAAGACACACACAGUCUCACAAUGACACACAUGCAGAUACACACAAUAUCUAUCACACAAAUACAAACACCGACACACAUAUAGAUACACUGAAACCAAUGCAGAUACACAGAUGCACAAACUGGUACAUGCUGAUACACAAAUACACACAAGGAUAAUCAUACAGAUAUAUACACUGACACACAUACAGAUACGCACACUGAAACACAUGCAGAUUCACAGAUUCACAAUGACGCACAAAGAGAUACUCAUGUAGGUCAAAAUGUACACAUUUUUAAAUCACCUUCCUGUUUUCUACCUGUUGGGUGCAGGGCUGGCUUCUGUUGGCUGAGGCUGUUAGGAAUUAGGACCGAGCUCUCCCAAUCUGCACUCCCUCCUCUCUGUGUUCGUGGCUUUGAGUAUGUUAUCUAGAAUUAAGUGAUUAGCUGUCACUUGCUGGCAUUAUUAAAGGGGCCUGGUCGUCUGCUGCAGUACCUUAGCAGUGUGACCCUGAAGACAUGUUGCCAUUGAGUGGCAUGAACCACCCGUUGGGCUCCCCUCAGUGACAAUGUGUGGGCCCAGAUGCAGCCGCACCACAUGCAUCCACACACUGGCUGCACCAGUGGUAGUUCCACCGCUGUUUUUAACUGUAUGUAAACAGAUGACCUUGGCCAAAUAUCUUUCAAGCAAUCCAAACCAACAGAGGCGCACUCGGAAAAAUUACAGUGAUACUUACCAUAAAAUUUGAUGUUCUCCACACAUUGCUUUAUGUUGCCAAUAUAUAAAUAAAACACAAAAAAUACCCAAUCAAUAGUACAGAUCAAUAAACAAAUGGAGAUGUUGAAUUUUUUUUUAUAGAAGUUCAUAUAAAUAAACCUAAUUCUUUUCUGUCCAGAACUCUAAUCAUAUAUAUGAACGUUUUUGGUUUUUUUUGCAGCAUCUUCAUUUGUUUAUUGAUCUGUGCUAUUAUUUGUGUAUUUUUGAAUUGGCAAUAUAAUGUAAUGUGCUGAGAACAUUAAAUGUUUAUGGUAAGUAUUACCACAUUUAUUCUGAGUGCACCUUUCUAGGUUUGGUUUUACAUUCUGUUGGUAGCUGCUGGUGGGAGAGGUCAGCUUCAGAGUAUUUUUUUUUUGCGGUCAUAUAACAUAUAAAUUGAGAGGAACGGCUUUUUCUGCCUUUUUUUCUGCCUUGGUUUGUUUUUAUUUUGGAAGAAUGAUGAUAGCCCAGGAAGCACAACAUCAACCCAAUCUAAAUGUCCUGUAGGCUAGUUGUUUUGUUAAGCCUGAUACUGUUGCGCACAUAGGUGAGAAGAACUUCCAAUUGUUAUUUCUCGUAUUUAACCAAUUAGGAUAAUUAAAAGCAGUAAACAAACACAGGGAAUACCCUGAACUAGUCUUUUUUCAAAAUUCACUCCUGUUGUAAACCGUGAACUAUCCUAGUUAAAUCCCAAAUGUGUGUUAUUCUGGAGAUGUUGGCAAUUACAAGGCAAUCCCAUUUAAUAAUACAUUAUUGUGCUUUCAUGUAUUAUUUAUCAAUACUAACGAUUUGCAUUUACAAUUUAAGUUUAAAGGGCUGUACAUUUUCCAUCUUUUGUUGCGUUACUGCCAAGUCAAUUUAUGUUGAUCAGGAAUGAAGGCUGUACCUAUUGAGCAUUUUUUUUGGUCUUUUUGUAAACUACAGAUAUUUGACAUUCAGAAGUAGCUUUCCAUGUGUCUAACCUGUGAUUGCACUGGACAGUCAAAUGAGUGAACCCAUUCUUUCUGUCUCCUUUAUUUUCCAGCUGUCUCUGUCCUAAACAAUGAAUGUGUUCUAAUGCGUCUGGUCUCCUAUAUGCUGUUCUCUUUACAUUUACCAUAUCAUACCAAUAGAUCAGGAAAGAAGCAAAACUCCGUACCCUGAAUGCCCGCUCCACAACACUGUCGAUUCCAUUAACCAAUGGUUCCAUGUUAGAAAAACCUUUUCUGUAGGAAGAUUUAGAACUGGACACUUAGCAAUUGUAUGUUUGUAUUUUGGGGAUGGAUUUAUGUUCAUAGAAAAUGUGUCCUACACUAAAACAAAUGGAGAUGAUUUUUCAGUUGGCUUCUAACAUUGGAUACAAUGAUUGUCCAUCGAGCAAUUUUAUGAAGAGAUAAACAAAUAUUAAAUAAGAUUUCUGCAUAUACAGGUACCUAUUGACAGUAACAAUUUAUUUAUUUAUUGCUUUCAGGAACUAUGCUAUCUUUUCAUUUAAUAUCACCUUUUAAAUUUGAUGCAUUAUUUUAGUGGUGUUAUAAAUGUAUGGUAGGGAUUAUUUUGCAGCACAUAGUAGUUAUGGUUCCUACAGUGUAUAUUUAACGUCUCCGCACCAAUAUGAACAUUACACCUUGGGGGGAGAGGAAGCUUGCUCAUCAGGUUAUAAGUUUCUUUAAUAGAUCUCUUAAAAGUAAUUAGCGACUGCAUGGUAGCCAAGUACCCAGGUAAUUACACAGUUAGUCUGCUUCUAGCCAGUGGUAGUGGGUAAAUAAAUGUACAGUUGCUAAAUUACUAGUAUUCACAUACAUUUAAAUACAUAUAUACAUUUAAUGGUUAAUUUAAUCUGAAAGACCAUAGGACGUUUAGAAUGUCAGAAAAACAUACAGAACGAGCAGUUUAUAUUUUUCCAUAACAUUACAAACUCAAAUGUAUGGAACCAGCCAUGUUGAUCUUCAAAUAGGAAUAAUAUCCUCUUCAGUGAGGACAAUCAUCUGAAAUGCAUUUGAUUUCCUCUGAAAGCAAGCAAAUGCAUAUAAGAUUUCAAACUAAAAGAAAAAGGUUAAUUCACCUCUCAACAAAGUAAUAACUAAACGUAGAAGGAAUAGGAGCUCCCUGUGUGAGCCUAAAAUGUAAACGUUGCAGAUGUCUCCAAGCUGUAUGUUUUCAAUGUCCGUUCAGUGUAAAAAGGUCAAAUGCUUAGAACGUUGGAACGCUCUACAUUGGGGUGUAGUGAGUGCGUCUAUGACAAGUGUAUCUUUUUUCAUUACUAUUUCUGAUCGUUCAGCACAUUGUCCUAUCUCAGCAUGGGAGCCUGUAGCACUGCAGCGUACAAAAAGCAACACAUCAUCAACGUGGUUAAAGGAAGUAAUAAAAAAAAAAAAUUUUGAGGUUAAAUGCUAGAGUGACCUCCCUCGCUAUUUCCUUUUUAAUUUCUGUCCGUUCAGCAAAUUGAAAUUUGCUAAACCUCUCAAGACGUAACUUUGUAGCCCUAGAGAAAUUAGGUUGGUAUUCUGUCAGUUAAUAGAGAUUAGCUAAUAGCAGAUCCUCAUCAUAUUUCCUAAUGGAAUCGUAGUAGUGAGUUAGACUGUUACAGAUGAAGAGCCAACAUGCUACGCGUCUGUUACGUUGAGAAUUUUUAUUUGUGUCCAAAGGGUACCGUCAAGGGUCGCCAGACUUUAUACUCAUGUUAGCUAUUAAUUUUUUUUCUUCACCCUAUUAACCUUACAAAUCCUACAUGUUUUCUCUCUGGAAUGAAAGCAAAGACAAUGACUGACCGAACUAGCCAAAAUGUUGUCAUUUCAGUCCAAUUUAACUUUAGGUCACACUGGGGUAAGGUUUAAAUGGCAGAGCCAGCAAAAAUCCUGGGCAUUUUGCCAUGAUCUCACAAGAGACAAGGAUGAAUCUAUCUAGUCUUUCCACUUUAAUGACUGCAGAACUUGGGCUAUAAUUAAUUGCAAACGUAACAGAACUGUAUCUGCAUGCUAAGAGUGAAAUCAUGCUACAGUAACUAGGAAUCCAGUCUAAAACGCUACUGGGAUAAAAAGUGUCAAAUUGCCAAUUUGGGACGGCAGAGAAGGACAAGAGCAUUUGGACAACUAUAAAAAAAACAGAAAAUAUGAUUUGAGUCACUUUGAAUAAGUAACUGUUUGUCCUACAAUGAGUCAGAGAAUAAGCAGUGCAUAGUGGGCAUCCAAUAGGUCUUUUCAUGAAUGGUUUGAAACAGGCAUCAGAUUAUAUUUUCUACUUACAAAUAAUAUACAUUUUAAUUAAUGCUUUAUGAAUAGGAAGUCAUGAUAACAAGAUCAUGCUACAACAUUCUCUACUGAUCUCCUGGCUUUUGUGUGUGUGUGACUGGGAACAUUUGCAUGCAUAUGGUUAAUCUAAAGAUAACAUAUUAUACUGACAGGGCAACGUGUAAAAAAAGAAAAUACCCAACAUUUUUUGAUCAUUUUUUCAAUUCAAUUCUCAAACAUCUAAAAGCAUUGUGUAUACAAUAACCAAAAAAAUAAAUAAAAAAAUAACAAAAAAGUUUCAGCUCGAAUAAAAAUGUAUUUCACUUUUUUCUUCUAAGAAACAAAAGUAAUUUUGAUAUUGUUGCACGUACCAAACAAAUGCAGAAUACAAGAUUGAUUGGGGAGAAUCUGGCACUGUGGGAGAAAAAGCACCCUUGUUUAUGUGCUUCCGUCAUUGUUUAGAAUUGAUCUUUUUUUCAAACAACACAAUGCACACAAUUUGCAGAAGAAAACUGUAGAAUAUCUUAAAUCCAUGGAAGUGUUGGUGAAUCCCUGGGGUACUUUGAAAGCAGAAUGUCAAACCAUGUUGGAAAACCUUCAAAAAUCAAGUAAUAUUUUACUCCGCUAAUUAGUAAAGAUUGCUGAAUACACUAUAUUUUAGCAGUAUAGCUAGGCCAAUCUACAUAUCUCAUACAUAAUGUGCUUCAGUACACUGACACUGUGGAAUCUUUCAAAAGCCAUGCAGAAGGUUCCUGUCUAAAUAAAGGCUUCUCUGUACUCUUAUAUAAUAAAGCAUCUAUAAUUAAGGCGAAUCAGAUGUCAGUGAUUCCCCGGUGGUUACUUUGUAAGGCAUUGAUGUGUAAAACUAUAAACCACAUGCUGCAACUUAAUUCCAAAUGAAGAUGUUUUCAACAAUGAAUCUAUUCUUUUAUGAGUCCUGAAAAAUGUAAAUUACUUUUGAAUGAGUUUCGAACAUGUAGAUGUUACUGUUUGAACAUAAGGGUUAGGGUACCUGAAUAGAAAGUUGCUUAGAACUUUCUUAAUAAAUGUUCAUUGUUUGCAUACCAUACAUUCAUUUUAGAACACUGCCAGAACAGGUUUCAGGGUGUCUAGUACCUUACUUUGAACCUGCUACUGCAUUUAUCCUUUCUUCAUGCCAUAAGGGCUCUAAAGAACCUACCACAGCAUCCUGGUACCAUAGGGCUUUUUGGCCGCCUCCAGUGCUUCUUCUAGUGGUACUUUGCAAACAUCAGUCAGCCACAGUACGCAGUGAUAAAUAGUUCUCAUAAUUGUAUACUCUAAACUAGACUUUAAACAAGUUGGUAAGGCUCUGCGAAGUGUACUGGGGUGUGCCAGAAGGGCCUGCGGGAAAAGAUGCAUUUGCUGUCUGCCACACUGACCAAGAUUUCCUGGACAGUGGCCAUGAGGUGGGGGAUUGCAUCAUACACAGAAAAGCAAAUAUAGAAUUCAUUCAGUCCAGCCAACUCAUUUAUAAUAAAUUAAAUGCCCUCUUCCCACAUGGUGUUAAUCCGUUGAGGUUCACAGUAGGCUUAAUUCAUCAGACUUAAUCUUUUAGAUAUUGAUAUGGACUAACCCUUAAAGUGCCAAUGUCCAAUUCAAAUGUUGCAAUGUCCAGAGGGUUAACCUUUUAUGUGCACACAAUUACACCUGUUGAUGUUUUGUUGAUUCAUAUUUUAUCAGGUCCCUUGUUCUUGAGUAGUUAUCCUUUUUGAAGUUGAAGGUUUUUUUUCUAUUUAAAGGGAACUCAUGUUCCUGGGUAAGAGGCCGACUAGAGAGGCUCACUGUGGGGUUUCAUGACAAGUGCUCUCAGUCGAAAAGAAAAUAUGUAAAACCUUCGAUUUCAUUAUAGCAGCACUGAUAUCUUGACCCAGUGAUUCCUCACACGUGGUGGAGUCAUCUGCUGAUUUAUUUUUGGAAGGCAUUCCGGGCUAAAGAGGACCCAUUGAUUUAAUAAUGUGUUAAAUAAAUAUAGGAUAAACAUAAUAAAUUCAAAACAACAAGCUGAAAAUGAUACAAAUAAAAAUAUACUCACAUUUGAAGUGCCUGCAUCUGCAAAACCUAAGGCUGUGCAGCACAUUUAGUGAGUUCCCAUCAAACCAGGAAGUCACUAUGCCAGUCUUGAAGGGGUCUUAAUAAUGUAACCAACAUAACUUUACUUUACCUAUAUACAAAAAAUUCUAGAUAGCAUGCAUAUUUAUGAAAACGUAUAUUCACUUUAUCUCCAUAUUUCAGGCAUAGGGAUGCAAUUUGGCUGUGGUUUGGCAGGAGUUGUUAAUAUAUAGAGCAGAAUCAACUGCAGGAAAAUUAGUCUUUUGUUUGAAGGACACCCAUUCACAUUGUCAGCAUAAACUCAUGAAUCAAUAAACAUGUUUAGUGCAUAUUACAGCUUAAUGAUUGGGUUACGCUUUCUGACCUGGGGAGUAUCAUCAAACUACUACAAGACUGCAAAUCAUAUGGCUCACCUGCCCUGAUACUCUGGAGUCUUUUCAAUGAACAAAGAAUAUGUUUUUUUAAUAUGAUGUUUGCGUCAGGUCUAAUACAAUAAUAUGGCAAAAUAUGAGGAGUGUGACAGGCGUUGUCCCUAUCUGAAGCAAGGGGUGCGGUAUCUAACUCUAUCUAUAUAAUAUGAACAGACAGACAAUGAGAAUGAUAAUAACCAUGCAAAUAAUAACGUAGUUUAUGUUUCAGGCAACCAAAUCCUCACCAUUGAGACACUGAGACACUACAAACAUAAAGCAACUUGUGUCAGGAACAAAUCUUCCUAACAGUUUGUAAAAGUGCACUUUUCUAAAGAAUUGCAGAAACACCUCCAUGACAGUCAGAUAGGCAGGUAGAUUAUCUUCCCGAUUCCAUUAGCUCCACAGAGCUAAUGGAAGUGGCAAGAAUGCUCUGCUAGGGCUCCUCACAGCUCAGCUUACCUCAAAGUUCAUGGCUACGUCCAUGGCUCCCAGGCUCUGAUCACAUGAUCUCACAAAAGUAAUUAGAGGCCUCUCUAUAAGACACGGAAUCUGCAGCUUUUGCAAGCCAGUUUUAGAUCUACAACCAUUAAAAAGGGCAUAAUUAAAUACAUGGAUGUUUUCAUUGGGGGAAUAUUUUUAGGGGGAGUUGUAUUUUGGCAUUUUUUUUAUUUUAUUUGGGCAGUGGAGUGUCUUUUUAAGUGAACGUAACAUAAAUAUAUGUUGAAAGGAGAAUACAAGGUCACUUAGUCAUUGGAAUAUAUUUUAGGCAUUUGUCCAAAUGUUAAAAAUGUUUCCAGUUUGGAAAUUCAGUGAUGGAUCAUGUUGCUGAUGUAGCUGUUUUGGGAGCCCAGCAUGGAGGGUGCCUAGCGGUGUCCCAGUUUAGCUUUUAUCCAGGUGCUUGAUGCAUAUAACAUCUUCAUCAUGUAAAAUAUUAUUUAGUGACUGCUGAAAUUAUGUGAUAAGGAAUAUAGGAGCAGGAACUCACUAAAUAGUAGAGCAUUUAAAGGAUCCCAAUUAUCUUUGUGUGACCCCUCGAAAACGCCAAUUCAAAUUUUAAAUUUAAAGCUAAAAUAGCAUAAUAGGGAAAUUCUCCAACUCAGGCUUACAGUGUGGCUAUUUUGGUCUAAAUUGUUGGAUUCAGUUUGAAUUUUUGACAAUUUUUACAUUAGUAAAUAACCCUGUCUGAAUCAAAAAAUAUACAUUAUCUUCUGAAAUGUUUGUCCACAUCCGGGCCGAUCCUUUUUUUAUUUGUAUUAAAAUUAUUUAUAAAGAGCCAAGAUAUUUGCAGAAUUGUACAACAGAUUAACUAACAAGCAAGUAGCAGCAACAAGACAAGUUGGAUGGACAGGAUCAGUCAGUACUGGUGGCCCCAAUCUGUCUUUAAGGCUAGAACAGGGGUAAGCAACCUUUGGCACUCCAGUUCUUGUGGACUACAUCUCUCAUAAUGCCCUUAUAGUUAUAAUGCUGGCAAAGCAUCAGGAUGAUGUAGUCAACAACAUUUUCUAGGGAGAGGGGUUAAAGCUCCCAAAUUCAUUUAGAAUUGCAGAAUGCAGGAAAAUGAGUAAAGAGUAUCAAGUAGGGCAUUCUGUGGCCAUAUAUUCAUAACACAUUGAUUUUCAGUGAAAUUAUAAUUUAUUACGUGCCAGUUGAGGUUGAUGGAGGCUGGAGUAUGGAUGUCAGAUGUAAAUAAGAAUACUUUGAAAGGAAGAGGUUGCUAUGUAGGGGGGAGGUCAGGUUGGGGUUAUGAAACAUAUGCGACUUUCUGGUGAUACUAAAAACUAGACAAUCUAAUUGUUAUAAAAGAACAAUAAGAGUUAAAAGGUUACAACAGUAGCAUGAAUGAAUGAGAUAAUUUGUGAAUGAAGAGGAGAAUGGUGAGAGGAACAUGUAGUGAGUCCUUCAAUACUUUGUGUUUACAGAACAAGGGUGAAAAAUGCUAGGUUUGUUAUAGGACAUCAGCUCUGAUAAAAAAUAAAUUUAAUUGUUAAUAACUCCCAACACCAUGGAAAUAAAAAAUGAAACAGAAAAAUAAUCAUAACAGUGAAACUUAAAACAAUAUUGCUUAUGAAUACUUUGUAAGAGGCAAGGGGAAUUGUAGAAUUAUUGAAUUAUUAUGAUUUAAUUAUUUUGAAUAAGCUUUUCAAAUGAUCACAAUCAGUUAGAAAAACUUUACAAAUGGUUUAUCUACAGAAGUCAACAUUAAAUGAUAUGGGAAUUUAUGUAGAUACAGCUUUGCAAACAUUUUUUUUCUAAUAUAUUGUAAUCAUUUGAAAAGCUUAUCCAAAAGAAUCAGUUUUGUGUACAACAAAAUGUUUUGUUCUUCCAAAUUAAAUAGAAAAUUCAAAAAGCAACUCUCAAACAGUAAAUUAGUGAUUCAAAGUUGGUGUUAAGUGUCUAAAUAAAUUCCGAAUUCCAAAUGAACCAAAAUGAGAUUAUGUGGAAUUUGAAUUCAUUUUGGUUUCAGAAAUUCUGAAUGGCAUAAAUCAGACAAAAUUCUAUUGAAUUUCAAUUUAGACAAAACCAAAUCUCCAAGUGUAAAAAAAAUUGAAUUGAUGCCAUACUUGUUAAUGUGUCAGAAAGUUACUAUUUGGGUCUAAGUAAUGCUGAACUAUGAGGGCAUUUUUAAACAUCCUUACUGCUACUCUUGGUGAGUCAAGAACAUUGCUACCCAUAUACGAGUAUUUCUGCAGUCCUCUAUUCAUGGGCACCAUUGCUUGACUACUUUGUGUCACAGCUAUCCUACCCAAGUCAGGAACACAAAGACAGGAAGGAUCUCAGAUUACUGGAUCUCAAAAUGGUUGGGUUUUUUCGUACAAAAAGUGAAAAUGCAUAAAGCUGAUACUAGCCAAGUCAGGACAUGACAUAACUAGCCAGGACAGAAUUGCAGAAGUCAUGAGGGUCAAUAAACAAGCCAAAAUUGAACAACCAGGCAAUGAGAGAAUAUAUAAUGCAUUAUACAAGGAACCAAGAGGAAUCUACAACAGGGCAAAGGCUAUGGAGCUAAAAACAUUAUUAAAACAAUGACAGUUGUAAGAGCUUUCCAAUUUUGCAACAAUAACUAGGAUCUUUACUUAUUACAAUAAUUAAUAUUUAUUAUCAACCUCUAAUAUCUGUCAUAUGUCAGAAAUCCCGACCCAACAAAAUAUGACAAACAUGUGCAAGUAAAGAAGACGUCAGGUUUUGAUUCAUUCCACAGAGCAUACAAAACUUCACAACUGUCUUUUUAAGUAAACCUUACACAACCUUUUUUCCUGAAACAAAACAUAUUGCAUUUGACUUUGUCAAACAUUAAUUUGGUGAAAAACGAUUCUUUGCUGAUGUGUUUAUGGUCCAAAUAGCAUCCUCCUAAGGGUGACAAUCAACAAAGUGUUUGGGAAUAACCUCAGAAGCUGUAGUUCACAAAUGGUACCACGGGCAUCUUGAUGAGCAGAAAUAUGUCAGAAGAAUAUACAUGGCUGACACGUGAUUGACUGGAGAAACCUUUCUGAUAAGUGGCAGCUGUCAGAAAGGGAAUGUGUCUUCUGUAGGCAAAAUAAACAAAGUGCACAGUUGUGGAUGUCUAAUUUUGUAAAAAAACAUGCAUUUCACUUUCCAGGCACAAGUCAUCGAAAUAUUACUCUUUGUACAUUGCAAUAUGAUGAACAGGAGCUUGACGUCUUGUUUUUCUUCUUUAAAACAUAAAAUAAAAAAAAUAUAUAUAUAUAUAUAUGUGUAUAUACAUUGAGCUUAAGUUUCCCUUGGUUUUCCCUAUGAAAACAGAUAAAAUUCCCCUAAGGAACAAAUUAAUGACAAUCACUUCAGAUUGAUUUCCUUUGAUGUAAAAGGGACUAUUUAAUUGUUUUUUUGUAGAACAGAAAUAAAUCACAUUUCAUUUGUAAAUACCAGCCCUAAAUAAUGAUGUUUGUAUUGAUUAAUUUAAUUCAGACUGGUCAUUGUAAAUGGUAUUAAGAUUUUCCCAUACCUACCAAUAGACUAUGACUCAAUCAGCUAUAGAUAUAAAUUAUAAACAUGGAUAAUAAUGAUCCAUUGGUUGUUUUACUUUGUUCUUGAGUCUUCUUCCUGACUUAUAUGAAGAUUAUAUAGACGACACACCAAAAUAUUUUUAAUUAUAUUAGAUUCUGUCAAGCAAGUCUUUCAACCACAUUAAAAAUGUUUGACAAAAAAAUUUAAUUAAGGUUAGUGCACAUACAUUUUAAUACUAUUUCACUAUUUUAUUCCACCAAUAUUUAGUCCUCAUUUUAAAGUAGGCCAUUAUAAUAAGUAUCUUCAUGUAUUAGGAGCAUAUAAUUAAAAGCAGAGAUUAUGUAAUUUCUUAUUUAGAAAAUUGGACAAUCACACUCAAUCGAGGUAUAUCUUUGUAAAUAAACCUUGUUAAUUAGAAUUGAAAAGUUAAUUUUGUUUUUUGAGUUUAUUAGCAAAGUUAGAGGAAAAAUAAUGUCUCUGAAAUGUAAUAGUAAAUGAACUAUAGAACUACAGAGAUAAAGUCACACAAAAGACGUAAUUUGAUACCCAAACAGAAGAACAUUGAACUAUGAAUGUAAAAAAAAUAAAACAUUAUUUGUAUCAGAUAUGAUAGAAAAAAAUAACAGCAAAACAAAAAAAAUUAUACAGGCAGAAGGAAAAAGACUGAAAACUCAACUCAAGAAAGAGAUAAUUUAAAGUUGUGGAUACAAAUCUGGUUACUGAUAAUACGAUAUAUUUAAAAUAAGUAAUAGGGAAUACAUGUAGAAUAAUGUUUCAUGUAUGUUCAAGAAUAUUUAAAAUAGCUAAGAUUUCUGCUUGCAGUACAUGCAACUGACAACCACCCAUUAUUAAUCAGUAGAUCUUGUUUCUAUUUUAUAAAAAUGAAAUAUUCAAAAAAAUGUCCACCACCAGUUAGUCCUGAUUCCAAAUUUGUAUCAAUAUUAUAAGCUACUGAUUUUGCAGAUGUCUAUAGAUGGUUGGGAGUGAACUGACAGUCUAUGCCUAUGCCAAUAAGCAAUAUUAGUGAUUUUUAAGGGAAUCCAGUAGACUGAAUUGGACCAAUGCCACCCGUUGUCCCUUACAGAUCCCCACAAAUGAGAAGAAAUAGGUGGUGCUUGAAAAUGUAUUUCACAAACCAAGAAAAAGUCAAAUUACACUAUAAAAACUAAUAGUUUCAAUACUUCUUUUGAUUAAAAUAUGUAUUUCAAUCUGAAACAAAAUUCUACCCCACAGAGCUAGUGUGUUGGUUGCCAAAAACGUAUUUUAUAUUUUAUAUAAACCAUCAAAUAUAAAAAAAUAGAUAUUUCUAAUAAUCAAUGUACAUUAAAAAUAAAUCCUAUUUCAAAACCUUUUUCACACUCGGUCACUAAGACAAACAAAAACAUGUUCCAUGAAUAUAUUGAAGGGAAUUAAUGUCAUUUUAGAAAACUAAAAGCUGACCAAAGACAAAAGAAAAAAGGCAGUUUCAAUUUGAGUGGAUUUCAGUAAUACGAGUAUCUUCUUUCAUUUGACUUUUUAUCAAAUCCCUGGUGAUCUGUGGAAGCUGAAUUCAACACCACACAAUCAAUACAGACUGGUAAAGUUUCUGCUGAAAGUAAUGAUCUUAUAAGUGGUGUAUAAAUUAUUACUCUUUAUGGAUUUCUUUAAUCCAACCUUUCAAAAAAUGUUUAAUUUAAUCCAUUUCCUGGAUGAGAGAUCCGCUAAAAAAUGGUAAAUAUAAUAACCAAAGCUGUUGAAAAGAUUUAUGCAAAAGAGGGAAUUACUGGCUAAAAUGAAACUCAAAAGCAUGGGAAUUCGUUAAAUACAGAGGAUUUAUUUUUAAAUCCUCAGAUCAAACAUAUCUUAGUUUAAUGUUAAAAGCAAAAAGGACCACAAUUUAUCAGAUGCUUAAAAUCUAUACUUUGAUACGUAUCACUUGUUUUUUUUAGCUAUCAAUUUCAUUUACUCACACAUAGAAUCUUAUCACUGUUAAAUCAAAUUCAUCUUGCACGAAGUAUAGUUAACCUUUCCAUAACAAAAUCUUUUCUAUAUGUUUUUACUUUUGAAAAAAGGGGUGAGGAGUGAUGGCCCAAAAGUCAGUCAGCACAGAGUAUGGAUUGUUUUAAAUUGAUUUAGUAACAUACAAAGCCCUAUAUAGUAAACAUGUUAGCUGUACUGUAUAUAAAGAAAGCAAUUAUAAAAAUAGCAGACCAGUGAACGCCCUAAGGAGAGAGUAACAAUGAAAAGGAGAGGAUGCCCUACCUUUAAUACUUCUAAGGAUGAAAGAAUAGUGUGUAGAGGGAGAAUUACACUUAUACAGCUGGUAAGGUAUAUGUACAAACAAGCUAAGGUCCAACUAGACAGACACACAAUGUGUCUAAAAAAAUCCAAAUAAUGUCAGAACCUCUAGCUCCACACAUGCCCAGCAUGUAUACUAGCGGCAGGUAUAGCUAAAGGUAAAAAUCGCAGAGAGGAAGAUGGAGGAACUGAGCCUCAAUAACCUGCUCCUGAUGAAGGCGUGCUGACACGCCGAAACACACGUCGAGCACUCUCAUGUUUGUUUUCACUUCACAUGGUAGCACUUUAAUUUACUAUGCACUAGUUUAUUUUUAUUUAAAUUUAGGCAGGGAGACUGGUUCAGGUAGACAUUAGUGGUUAGUCCACAGUGCCGAGGUAACACAGGGAUAGAUUCUUUUCAGUAGCCUUUUUUGGUUUAUGGUUAUUGAGGCUCAGUUCCUCCAUGUUCCUCGCUGUGAUUUUUAACCUGCCGCUAGUAUACACACUGGGAGUGUGUGGUUCCGACACUAGUUGGAUUUUUUAGACACAUUGUGUGUCUGUCUAGUUGGACCUUAGCUCGUUUGUACAUAUACCUUACCAGCUGUAUAAGUGUAAUUCUCCCUCUACAUUAAUUUUUUACCCGCUAUUCUUUCAUUCUUAGAAGUAUUAAAGGUAGGGCACCCUCUCCUUUUCAUUGUUACUCUCUCCAUCGGGGCCUUUACUGGUCCGCUAUUUUUUUUUUUUUUUAUCUUUCAUACUACCUGUGGGUCAUCACCCAUCCUCAGUGAGAGUAACGGUGGGCAUGUUUUUGGAGCUAAUCCACCAGCCCCUUAUCCUUGUCUUUUGGGGCUCCUGGAUCAGCUACUUCAUCCUUAUUAUUUUACCUCUUAUGUAACUGUAUAUACUUAUCUACUGCAUGUGGGCAUUGUGCAUAAACUGGUUACAUUGUUUUCAUAUUCUGUCUGCAUUUUUCUGAAACUAUGUAGAAACAAUUGCCAUUAGGUUGUUUACAAGCUGGGUGUUAUACUAUUUGUACUUACUUUUCUCACAGCUUUUGUAUAUGAUACAAAAUCUGUUUUAUAACUUCCUACAUAAACUCUAAAUAUGUUCUGCUCAAUAUAUUUUUAACAACUUAAGGACACAUAACAUGUGUGACAUGUCAUGAUUCCCUUUUAUUCCAGAAGUUUGGUCCUUAAGGGGUUAAGGAUGAAAUAAUAAAGAAAAAUACAGAAACAAAACUGUAUACAUUUACAUAGUUUCCAUGUCUAUGUAUCUCUGAGAUUUCUCUUAGAAAUGGACACUUUGAUCAAUAUUGGGUGGGUCAGUUGGGAUGGCAGCACACAUUGACUUUUUAGAACCUAUGAAUUCAAAAUGAGACAAUAUAAACAUUGCAGGAACACUCUAAGAUCCGAACCACUACAGCUUCAUCUCGGGGUUCUGUUGUCCUUGCAGUUUCAGCAAUAGAAACACUGCUUCGUAGGGACAAAUCUGGCACUGGUACUCAGACAGCCACUAGAAGCACUUCUUUUUGUAGUCCUGCAAUCUUUGCAGGACCAGUGUUUGCAUGACGAUGAAGACCCCCAAGACUUCCCUAUGGGGAGCAUUGGAUUUUCUGAGAUCAUCAUCACAUAUGAUCCCAGCUGGGGCAGAGCGGUGGUCACAGGGAGACCAGUUUUUAAAGGGAUAUAAGGUAAGAUAAAUUUUUUUAACUUUUCAGAAAGGGGAGGAAGGGAAAUUGUAACUGGAAAGGAAACACUCUAACAUUAGAAAUAUGUUUGUUGGUCCCUCAUACAUAUGAAGACAUUGCCUUCUUCAGCUGAUUGAAAUCUGUGUGGCCAGCUCUAUCUGCAGUUUGAAGCAUAUGUUUAGCUUAUACUAAUUGUUUUUAUUUCACUGACAUGUGAGCAGCAAAAUGAACAUAGACACACUGGCUAGUAAUUUGACCUGUAGCGAUAACUCUAUAGACAGACACUAUAUGAUAGUUACAUGAUGGAUUGACUUAAAGUUAAGAUUGAUCCAAUAUGGACAGUAAAUGCUCUGCAGUUGAUUGCUUAUGCUGUAUUUGUGGAGUGCCACAAUUCUUGAGUCUCCCGAUGGAAGAAGGGAAGCAUUAAAGGCCAUCAUAGUAAAAGGAAUUAGAGAAUACUUGCCAUACUCGAAGGGUAUGGCAUAGUAACCCAAUCAGUUUGAGAUAUCAAAGCCUAACUUUUCAAUGUAUUUUUUUUCCAAAUUUUACAUAUAAUCUAUAAACAUUUUCCUUUCUUUACCACAAUUAUCAUUAUUAUUAUUAUUAUUAUUAAUAUUAUUAUUGAAGUUAUAAAUAAGUAAAUAAACAAGCUGUGACUGUCCAUUGUCCAUGCUAGGCUGUUGGGAACAGUCAUUGCAGGCAGUACAUAAGGCACUACAUGCCUGAAUGGAAUUGUUAGAAUUCAGCCCAGAUUAUGUUUCAUAGUUUGACUCAAGGUCACAAGGACAUAAGAAAAGUCAGAGUUUGCUGGGUGGUAAAACAUUCUGUUAUUCCAGAAAGUCUGUCUGUUCUCAGCAUUCAUAUACCCAGUUAGAACAAAUACUUAUUGUGGAUUCAUUAUGGUAUGACAGCGGAGAGAGGAAUGUCCCAGAGAGAAUAGAUCAUUUCCCAAUGAAUUGCUGGUCUGGAUCUUUAAUAAGAGGCCCCUGGGAAAUAAUUCCUGAGAACCAAUUAUUCUUCAACCACAGAGUUUUAAUAUAAUCAGUGACAUGAUGUUCUCUAGAAAAUAAUCACUCAGUCUUGGAUAGGGUAUGGUAAAUCUCAGAUAAGGUGUGCAUAAUGUGCUAUCCGACAAUUUAUAAACAAUUCAAUCCUCCGUCUCUGAAUGUAAACAAACUAGUUGGUGGAAAAAAACUGCUUGUUUUUCAUUUAUGGUUUUAUUCACAAAACAGCAAUUUGUAGUGUUUAAGGACCCCGUCACAAAAUGUAGGUUAACAUAACUGAUUUGGAAAGCUGAGUCUGAAUUGAGUUCUCAGUUUGGUUGCCGAGAUUAGCUAUAGUUGAGUUCUAGAUAUUAGAUUCUUCAGAUUAGAUAAAAUGUUAUACACAAGUACAUUGUAAUAUUAUUGCCUUCUAGUGAAUACUCAAUAACAAACAUCGAUAGCAUUCUUAUCUAUCCAAAUAAAACUAAUAUGUUGUGUAUAAUCAUCAAAUGGUGGGGCAAAGCUCUAAAAGUUAAACAAUCAACAAAAACACCUCAGUGGGUUCUAUGGUGACUGUUCCACUGUAAAGACAUGAAACACAAAUUGCUCAUUAUAGAGAACCCAUUUAUAUAUACAGGAUCCCUACCAGAGUAAGAUGAUUUCUCCAUAGACCUUGCACUUUCAGGAAAUGAUCUAUUUAGUUUCCAAGCAUGUUCUAUGUUCUUUGCUAAAAAACACAAAGUAUUAGAUCAUUCUUAAGAUGAAAACCCUCCUCAGUUUUCAUCUCUAUAGAAUUUUGCUGAGUGGCCCAGAACUCAAGUUAUUUUAUCUUCGACACAAAUUAACACAUCCAGCUGGAGCAUCACUAGGUCACGUAAAGAGAGAAACCUCAGAUAUCAAAAUGUGGACAAGAGGUUAUUAUUACUUUUUUAAGGAUUCUAUUUGUUUUGCCAAAAAGUAAAAUAGGUUCAAUGAUGUGAACAAUAAACUGGACAGGAAAUGGAAACAGCUAAAACAGGGGGGGAUUGUGUUACUUGGAAUUGGUAGGUACUGGAAUGUUUCUCGAUGUUUGAGCAGACAGUAAUGGGCUAGGGGCAAAGAAUUCAUUAGGGGAUGCUUGAUUAUUCUCAAUACAGUGUAUAGUGUAAUCAAUGGAUUCUCAUGUUCAAUCAUCUGAAAUGAUAUAACACUAAUCCAAAAGUGAUGUACGCUGAUAUACACCAGAGGUGCCAAAAAGGAAGAUCCCAAGAUGUUUUAAAACUACAACUAAAGGCAUGCAAAGCACCAUGAAAGUUGUAGUUCUACAACAUCUGGAAUUCUUCCUUUUGGGCACCCCUGAUAUACACUAAAAGCCCACAUAUAUUGCUAAAUUACAUAGUAAAUUAUUUUUAAAAAAAUAACACAUGCCUUCAUUUACUUAGUAGUAUUGUAGCAUGGAGCCUCAUGCUUGAACCUUUUGGUAGUCUUCAUGCCUUUUCUCGGAGUGUCACUUUCCAAUGGUUAUUUAAAGGGUGAACUUGGACACAUCCAGGACUAAAACGUCAUAACUGCCCCUCCCCCCAACAAUCUCUACCUUCCAAACAUUAUUUAUCUGCAACUCCCAUUACUGUAAAAAGCAAAUCAAAAAUUGCAGCCCGGCAUGUUAUUAGAUGAAAACUGCAGAAUACAGUGAUACUAAAUAUGGUGUGUGUGAAACUAUAUUGCUAUUUAGUUUUGCAUUAUUUUCUGCACCCAUUCCAUCUCCAGCUGUUUGUGUGUUUUUCAUUCAUCCUCCUAACCAAUUAACUUUGCAAUUAAGCUUAAUUAUAGUCAAUAGCAAAUGAAUAUUUCCUUUCUCCUGAUUGCACAUUUCCCAGUUAAAUAGUCAUAGGGCACAGAUUACAACCAUCCUUGUUGGGCUCGGAGCACUGAAAUUGGUGUUAAGCGGCUUUCGUGGGUUACAAGCGACCCAUUGACUGCACAAGCAGAGGGGGGGUAUGCUAAUUUAACACAGUCUGUUUUCAACUAUCAGCUACUAAUAUGGCCUGGGAGGGAAAAAAAAUCUUACCUUGUCAUUGAGAUUGCCAUUUCUUUUCAAAAGCAAGAGAAAUGAAGUGAGUGUAGAAUGUUUACAAAUUUGCAAUUCUUCCUACUGGAGUUUUCUCUCCCUACCUUUCCAAGUUUUCAUAAAUUUGCAAAACGCGUGAAGAUUGUGAAUGUCUCUGCUUGAAUAGAAUUUGUUGCUCAUGGUAUCAGAUUGGCUGAUGCAUAGGCACAUGGAGGGUAUAUCAGAAAACUACAAAAGCAAAAAUAAACUUCAUCUGAUCUGUUUCAACAUAGUUUCCUGUGUCUGAAUAUCUUUUUUAUUUGUUUCCUGCACUCUCUAGUUUUCAUAAAAUACAUAAGGAAACGUCGGGACUACUUUUUCAGUCGUUGGCAAAGCAUGACAAUGGGUGGAGUUUGAAGCAAGGCUCUGUUUCAGAUGCCAAUCAAGUGUACCCACAAUAGAAACAUAGAAACAUAGAAUGUGACGGCAGAUAAGAACCAAUCGGCCCAUCUAGUCUGCCCAAUUUUCUAAAUACAAUCCUCAGUAAAUUAAUCCCACAGAAGGGCAGACAGCAGACAGCAUGGGCCAAGGAGAAAUAAAUGGCUUACACCAAUUGACAUUAUAGAUUAGAGAAUUAGAUCGCACUGACAGGCGCUAGAGGCGCCUCUGCUGCACUGACCGAGUAAAACUCAUCCAUGUGAUGUGGAAGCCCAUAGGUAAGGAUUGAAUACAAUGCUUUCCUGUAAGAAGGCUUGGAUAAAUGUGCGGUGCUUGCAGCGAAUGCGCCUUUGGCCCCAAAUACUCCUCUAAAAGGACCUAAAUACAACAAGGGGAAGAGACACUAUAUAUCAUAUAUUUUCACUGGGUGUGGGUGUUUAAUUUUGGUGUAAUACAUUUAAUAUUUUCACCAGGUGUGGGCUUUUAAUGUUGGUGUACACCAGUGGAUCCCAAACUUUUAGGUUCAAGGUGCCCUUAAUAUUUUAAUAUCUUUCCAAGGUGCCCCAAGUCAAAAGAAUGUCUAGGUUGUAUAUAUGUACAGCGCAGCGGCAUAUACAGGGCCCCUGUUUGCCGUUUAAGCGCAGAUCCACGACCUAAUCUUGGAGGGGCACUGGCAGAUUAUUUAAAGAAACAAUCCAGGCAAAAAAAACACUACAGCACUUUGUAGUGGUUAUGGUGCCCUAGUGCCCUCCCAGAGUAAGUAGUAAAACUUUUUAAGAACAGUUUGACAAUUUACCUGUGAUUUGCUCGGAUAGGGGCAGUAGUGUGUGUGAGGGGUGCAAUAUGUGUGUGUGUGGUGGAGUGUGUGAGGGCUGCAUGUGUGUGAGGAGUGCAGUGUGCAUGUGUGUGAGGGGUGUAGUGUGUGUGUAUGUGGGGCAGCUUGUGUGUGAGGGGCAGAGUGUGCGUGUGUGGGGGGGCAGUGUGUGUUUGUGGGGGCAGGUUGGAUGAGGGAUACACUGUGUGUAUUGGGCAAGUUGUUAAAAAAAAUCUCAGUUAUCUACAUUUGCAGCACAACUAGUAAUGUCUGUGAUCCUUUCCAACAAGAUGUUGCCAUAUUAACCGUAAUGACUGUGAAUAUGUCAAGAUUGGCCUGUAUGUUUAUUAAGCUAUAAUUCUCAUGUUCCUUAAACCUAAUGUAGACAGAGUGUAAUGAAUGUUGUACAAUACUAUCUGGUUAAUGCUGUUUGCACUUAACAUAGGCUGGUGCAGUCAUAUUACGGACAGACAAAACUAUUCCACAGUACUUAAAAGGACAGUGUUCGUUAUGAUUAAGUGCAUUUCAUAGAUUUUGGCAUUUUCAUAACCUCACUAAAUUUACAAAUACACCUAUCUAUAAAACAUACAAGAUCUAGUACACUCACUCAUUCAUUAAACAACAAUUUCAAAGCACACAGAAUGUGAAAGGUUAAAAAAAACACCUAACCUAGGCAAAAACAUUUAGUUACAUUAUAUGAUUGGUCAUAUAUUGCAUUAUCUGUUACAAUGCCAAUGUACCCCAUUUUUGACAGGUCCUGCUCUAGCACCCUAAUGCCGGAUCUCAUGAGAUUAACCUACUUACUUGGAAAAUAUAUAUAUAAUCUAUAUGUAUAAACAUAUGUGCUAGCCAUUUGGAUGGCACAGUGUCUAUAUUAAAGGUUUUACUGAUAGAAACAGAAUUUUAUCAUAAUAUGCAUGAGAAAAUCCUUUUUACAAGUAUUGUAGAACAGCUGAAAUAUAUAUUGUAACCUAUUAAAUGAUCCUACAAUGCAAUUUUUUCUCCACUUAAAGAUUUUAUUGAAUCAUAGCAGGACAUCAUACAUUGUGUUAAUAUUGACCAAAGUAAAUGUGUAUAUGGGUUAUAUAGAAACAUUUGACACGGUAACAUUAUUGACAAGUACAUGUGAAUAUCUCCAGAAUAAGACCAAGUAGCAAUGCCCUGUAUAGAUUAAAUGAGCAAGGAAGACGACUACCAUAGUAUUUUAAGGGCAUCCGUCAUUGUCCUCUAGUUUCAACAUGGUUUAUAGAAACACUUUCUAAUGCAAAGUAUCUUUCUACCUUCCAACCCUCUACACCAAGUGUCAGUUUAAAUGCAGUUGAUGAAUUUGCAGAAAUAACCCUCGUAAGCCUUCUGUGAUAGUGUUAAAUGAUCAGCAUUUAAUUUUUAAUUUUAACACAACGUAUAUAUGGAUUCUGUUUACUGGAAGAUGUAAACACUGGAACCAUUAGCUCUCCACUCUAAGAAUUUUGCAAUAUCCAUCAAGUCAAAUUAACUGAGCAAUAUUUCGGAAACUCUUUAAGUUUGCAUGUGGAGCAGAGUUUUACUGUUGCCUCAGGCUAAAUUCCAUUAUUGCACUGUGUAAUUUUAUACAAAUAUAGUCAGUAAUUCCAUCUUGCUCUGUGUGUCAACCGUGCCAGCAAAAUUAAUUUUGAGUAUGUUCCCAUGAAUGCUUCAUUUUACACUAAAAUCAUUUAAAUAUUUCUCUGUUCCUGUGAAUAUAUUUAUUAUGGCAGGUUUUUAAAUGAUACUGUCACUUCUGAGUUAUUCAUAAAGAUACAAUCUAUAUAUGCAAUUGUUAUGUAUUUUGUUAAGAUUUCAUUUAAAUUCAAACACAAUCAAAUGUUAUUCUAAAACAAAGUUGGAACUGUAAAUACACCAGUAUAUACUGUAGAACAAUACAAAGAAAAUGCUCUGUGUAUAAGAGGCGCUUAAUAUUUUAUCCAAAAUAGAUGCAGGUGAAUGAACAGCAGCUCAACACUCGUACAAAUACCCCCAAAAGUUACACACAAAUAUAGUUUUUAAUUUAAAUUACGGAAAUGAACAGGAAACAGGCAUCCCGAUCGAUAAAGCCGACAGGCGAAACGCGUCUCGGAAGAAGACUACACACAUUUGUGUACUGGUAUCAUUUAGCACCUUUUAAUUUAUUUUAUUGUUUAAUAAAAUGUUAUUUUAGUGAACCUUGAAUCCAGAAGUCUUCUGCUGUUUCCUGUAUUCAAGUGGGGAAGUGCUCUCCUUACAUACACAUUUACCUAAAUACAGAGAACCUAGUAUAACUGGCUCCCCAAAAGGUGAGCAAUCACUUUAUAUUGCAAGUGUAUUUACAGUGGCAAUUUUUACAAUUCUUCACAAAGAGGUCUUGUUUUUUUGUCUUGUCGUUUUGGGGAGAGAACUGACACUGCCACCCCUGCAUCUUUGUCCUUCGGUGGUCUCCAACUUACCCACACCCCAAGAAACUCUGAAUGUAAAGGUGGUGGUGUUGGGUUUCUCCUCUCCCCUCACUGCUCUUUUAAACCUCUUCCCACCCCCCCUUCCCUCUCUUUCCCAUCAUUUGAAAUACACUCAAUUCGCCUUUUCAAACCCUUUGCUGCUAACAUUGCUGUUAUUUACCGUCCCCCUGGUUCCCCUCUUCUCUUCCUUGACCAUUUUGCUGCCUGGCUACCCUAUUUCCUCUCUUCUAACAUCCCAUCCCUAAUUCUCGGGGACUUCAAUAUUCCUAUAAACCCACCUUUGACCUCUGCAGCCAAUAAACUACUUUCAAUUACUUCCUCCCUCGGGCUAUCACAGUGGGCAAAUUCACCCACCCAUGUUGCUGGCAAUACCCUCGACCUAAUCUUCACUUAUGCAUGUACGGUAUCUAAUAUCUGCAACACUCCCUAUCCUCUCUCUGAUCACCACCUAUUAUCGUUUGCUCUCACGUACCCCCUCACCCAACAACCUCCGCCUAACCAGCCUCAACUCAGGAGGGACCUUAAUUCUCUUGAUCUCCAACAGUUGUCAGCUGACAUUGAUCCACAACUGCUGUCCAUCCCUUCCCUAUCCUGUCCUUCACUGGCCAUCUCCAUAUAUAACUCUACUCUUACAUCUGCCUUGAACACUGCUGCGCCACUCCAAGCAAGCACCUCAAGGAGGACCCGCCCCCAACCAUGGCAUACUAAAUCAACGCGCUACCUGCAAAGAUGCUCCCGGUGUGCUGAACGCUCCUGGAGGAAGUCUCGCACCCAGUCAGACUUUCUCCAUUAUAGAUUCAUACUGUGUUCAUACAGUGCAGCCCUUGCCCUUGCCAAACAGUCCCAUUUUUCCUCUCUCAUUAGUUCAUGUUCCCGCAACCCCAGGCGUCUCUUUGACACCUUUAAUUCUCUUCUUUGCCCCGCUGUGGCCACCCCCCAAACCAACCUUACUGCUGAUAACUUUGCAUGUUACUUCACUGACAAAAUUGAAAAGCUAAGGAAAGAAUUCUCCCCUCCUUGCCUUUCUGUUUCUCAAUCACACAUUGAUCAUGCCUUUCCUACCCUUCAGACAUUCUCCCCAGCCACUGACCAAGAGGUGGCUGCUCUUCUUUGCUCCUCUCGCCCCACCACUUGCCCGCUCGAUCCUGUCCCGUCUCACCUUAUCAGAUCUCUCUCCGCUUGUCUCGUGCCUUCUCUAACACACAUCUUCAACUGCUCGCUCUCUUCUGGCAUCGUCCCUGCUGACCUUAAACAUGCCACUGUAGUACCUAUACUAAAAAAACCAUCCCUUGACCCGUCCACCCCCUCUAACUACCGUCCCAUAUCCCUGCUCCCUUUUUCCUCAAAGCUUCUGGAAAGACUCGUCUUUACCCGUGUGUCUCAUUUCCUCAAUUCCAACUCUCUCCUUGACCCCCUUCAAUCUGGCUUCCGCCCUCUCCACUCUACAGAGACUGCCCUUAUCAAAGUUACUAACGACCUAAUCGCAGCUAAAUCCAAAGGCCACUACUCCAUACUAAUUCUUCUUGACCUCUCGGCGGCCUUUGACACCGUUGAUCAUGCUCUCCUUCUUCAAACUCUGCAAUCGCUUGGUCUCUGUGACUCUGUCCUCUCGUGGUUUUCCUCUUAUCUCUCCCAAUGCUCAUUCAGUGUCUCUUUUUCUAAUGAUACCUCCUCCCCUCGCCCUGUCUCGGUUGGAGUCCCCCAAGGCUCCGUCCUUGGUCCCCUUCUAUUUUCUCUUUACACUGCCUCUCUUGGCAAACUUAUUGCCUCAUUUGGUUUCCACUACCACCUGUACGCUGAUGACACCCAGCUAUAUCUCUCCACCCAGGACCUCUCCCCUGCUGUCCUGCAACGUGUCACUGCUUGCCUUUCUUCCAUCUCUGACUGGAUGUCCUCCCGCUUUCUGAAACUCAAUCUCUCAAAAACUGAGCUCCUUGUCUUUCCUCCUCCUAAUACUGAUCCUCCUCUUUCGCUCUCCCUUCAAGUUUGUGGUACCAACAUCAGCCCAUCCUUGCAAGCGCGCUGUCUUGGCGUCAUACUUGACUCUGGUCUCACCUUUGAGCCUCACAUCCAGCAUGUUGCCAAAUCCUGUAGAUUCCAUCUUAAAAACAUAGCCCGCAUCCGCCCCUUUCUUGCACCAGAUACUACCAAGGAGCUUGUCCAUGCUCUAAUAAUUUCACGCAUGGAUUAUUGUAACCCUCUCCUGCUUGGUCUUCCCAAAAGCCGUACUGCACCCCUACAGUCUGUAAUGAAUGCUGCUGCUAGACUGAUUUUCCUCUCUAGUCGGUUCUCUCACACCUCACCCCUCUGCCAGUCCUUACAUUGGCUUCCUGUGUGCUAUAGGAGUCAAUUCAAGGCACUAACUCACACCUAUAAAGCACUGAAUAACUCUAGCCCCUCUUAUAUCUCCUCACUGAUCCACAGGUAUGUCCCUUCUCGGUCUCUCCGCUCUGCCCGUGACCACCUCCUGUCCGUUGUCCGCACCCGUACGGCCAACUCGCGCUUGCAGGACUUCUCGCGGGCGGCUCCCUUCCUAUGGAAUAGCCUGCCUACCGCCAUCCAACUCUCCCCUAGUCUUGCAUCUUUUAAGAAGUGCCUUAAAACCCAUCUCUUUAGGAAAGCUUAUGGCCUCCAAGACUAACCCCUACCUCACAUACCCGUCUCUUGCCCUCUCCUAAAGGGCAGCCCACCUUAUUUGAUUGCACAUUCCUUUCCUAAUGUGUUUUACACCCCACCUCCUUUAGAAUGUAAGCUCGAUUGAGCAGGGUCCUCUUCAACCUAUUGUUCCUGUAAGUUUAUUUGUAAUUGUCCUAUUUAUAGUUAAAUCCCCUUUCAUAAUAUUGUAAAGUGCUACGGAAUCUGUUGGCGCUAUAUAAAUGGCAAUAAUAAAUAAUAAUAAUAAUAAUAAUAAGGUCUGGUAUUACCUUUGACAUACUUCACUAUGUGUACACUAUAUUUCCCCUUGUAGGGAACUGUACACCUGUAUACUCCCCCCCAUACUAUAUAGGGGUAAGUAUAUCGUUCCUUGUUUUACAGCGCUCCACUGAGUGACUCUAGUCGUGGUUUGUUCCAGUUGAGUUAGCUGCUUUAUGCCAAGAUAUACGUCAAUUUUUGGCAAAACAUAGUAAAACCAUUUCAGUCAGCUCCUGUUGCCAUAUCUAAUCACUCCACACACAAAAUGUAUUUGUGUGACGCACUAUAGAUAUUGACAUUUUAUUACACAUUUAAGAGAAUGUCUAUGGAGGAUCCCAUAGUGUAUGAAGAUGACACAGUUGCCUGUAGUUUUAUUUGACAAGUGCUGUCCACUGGAAUAUGGUAACAUGGAGUGACAGUGCAACUUCAAAACUCAUACUAUUAUUAAUUAUUAUUAUUAUUAUUAUUAUUAUUAUUAUUAUUAUCUUCAGCAGUCCCUCUUGGACAAUGAUUGUCAUUUCCAUGAAAGUAUUUAAAAGGGACACUCCUCUAUCCAUAUUUUAAGUAACUAAAUCAAUCAAUCAAUCACUUUUUAGUAGAUGUACCCCCAAUUAAAACAUGAAUUCACUGGAUUAUGCAUUUUUCCAUUGGAGUUAUAUCUAAAAACCAUUUGCAAGAGUUGCAUAUCUCUUGUCUGCAGCAUUUUAAAGCCCUCCCCUUCUAACCCCGCCCAGACUUUCUGUGCCUGUCCAAUCACAGACUUCCUAUUGCAGCUCAGUGUGAAGUCUUUUCAAGGAAGGUGCUCUGAGAAAUUGCUGUUUCUUGAGCUUAGCUCCACUGAACUAAACAACCAUGAAGUAACAGGACAAGUUUUUUGAUUGACAGCCAAUGGGUGUAAUAAGAUUAAUUUAUUAAAGUGACAAUUUAUUUUAAAAUCUGCACUUUUUGUAAAAUGAGGACACACUCUUCACACAUGAAGCACUUCAGCAAGCUGGGGUGUUUUAGGUGUGUAGAGUGUCCCCUUUAUGACAGUUGUAGCAAAGUAUAUAUGCUGACUGAAAGAUCAAAAACGAUUUAUUUAUAGGACAGAAAAGGGCAGAAUUAUUAUUAUAUUAUUAAUCCUAACUUAAGUGACUUCAUGUCUAUGUUUUACCACUUCUUCUCAUACUUCUGGUUUAUUACAUUGACAUGUUAAAUAUCGUGUUUAUUAUUAUAUUUACAAAACUGUGCUGUUUCCCAAAUGCCAUGCUUCUGUAAUAUUAUGUGCUUGUUUGACUGUGCUUGCAUCUGCUGUCAGGGCAUUGCAAGCAUCUUUGUAUUCAUCUGCACAACAAAAAUAAGGAAUUUAAGAAAAAAAUAAAGGGGCAGAAUUAGUAAUAUAUAUUAACAGACGAGACUGCAGAACUGAGUUCUAGGAUAGCGAUAGCUACAUAGAUUUGGAUUUCAAUAUUUCAUGUUAUUUGUAAGACUUCACAAACACAUAUUUGUUUAAUAUAGGGAACAAGUAAACAUAAUAUUAUAACUCUGGGGAUGUAGCAUUAGAGUGUCUGUUUUUUUUUGUUUGUUUUUUUUUGUAGAUUACAAAUUUCCAUAAAAAAAAAAAAAAAAAAGGUUUAAAAGAGCCAUAAAUCUUACUUGUGACCCAGCGCUGAGACACACGGCUCUCUUCAGCCCAAUCUGCCCACGGUGUAGAUUAUCAAUCCUGAUGAUCUCUUAUCCAAUUAAAUGCUUACCAAAGAGAGAAACACUAGGGACCUAGAGAACAUGUAAGGCUUUUGCCAUGGGUCCAUAAAAAAAACAUUUAACACAUUUGUCGUCUUUAUACUGUGCGCAAUGAUGAUACCAAAGGCGAAGACCUGUGUAAACUGAAUGUUUAGAAGAGGAAAAACAUCUACCAGCUUUUGGCAGUGUUUUAUGUUGUCAAACAAAAGAAAGAGCAUUUAUGCACAAAAACGUGUACAUUGCAAUGAUGUUGUUAUGGUGCCAGGAGGUCCGGAACCAGCUUACAUUUAGGGGUUUAACUAUUCACAAAGGUUUAACCCCAAUUUUCAGAAUCCAGCAUCCAAACGCUUCUCAGAGUCAUGAAACAGGAAUCCUCGGCCACAGGAAUCAUUGAUUGUAAUGGCUGUAGCUAUAGGCCAAAUAGGAAGCUCCCCAUUUGCUAAAUGCCUUGAAAAAUGUACAUAUUUUUCAAAGGUCCUUUUGUGAAUUCGGUGCAGCUAACUGGCUUAGAGCAUCCGCUGACACACGCGGCCAAUUAGCAGUGUCCCUGGACGAGACUUCCUUUUUCAAGACUCUGAGCAGGUGAAGGACAUGAGGUAGAGCGAUAGGGCACUAAAAACAUGACUUUAGGGUUAAACCAUUCCAAUGAAGUUGUUAUGGUGCCCAGAGAGUUAAUUUAAGAUGCACUGGUUUUGUUGAAUAGAGUGUCCCUUUAAUCUAAUAAUGAAGAAAGUUCUGAAGUGAACUUUGCCUAAUAUUAACUCAGCUUCAGCUAAUGAUUUAUUAAUUAUUAAUCUUGACUCUUGGUCCAAUUAUAAUAGUAACGAUAUUGUAACACUAUAUCAAAGCCCGGCAAAAUGCUGUAACCACAGUUGGAAUUGCAAGUUAGACAAUAUGCUUUUAUUGAGUUUCAGAAAAAUAUUACAUUUAGGAGAGACUUUGCAGAAAACCGAUAACCGUUCUGUAUAAUUUCCCUAAUGUCCAGGAAUUGACUGGGACCCUAGGAAUUCAUAAAAGGUUUGAAUGUGAGCUUGAGAUGCUGGUGUAUACUGCAUCCACUGCUACAAAAUCUAUUUUACAAUUGACCUUUGGCUGGAAGGAGAGCAACAAAUUCAAUCAUCCUAUAAAUCCCUAAAGUUGUUACGAAAUAUAUUAGUAAAAGAUUUCUUAUGUAUUUUAUAUGAGAUAAAUAUAAUUCUCUUCUGUACCUCUGCCCUGCUGACUCACAGAAUAAUAGAUAAUGCAAGACGUGUGCUAUUACUAAAUUACAUUUUAGACAUCAAUCAGUGGGGUUAACUCAUCUGCACUUAAAAAGGAUACCAUUAAAGGCACUGCAUAGAGAGCACGAUACUCCAUUUUAUUUUAGCAUAGGGUAGUGUCAUUUACUAUGUUAUGCAUUGUGAAAAUCAGGAUAAAAGAAAGUGCCCAAUCAGCUAUCACCACCAACACAUAGCAUAUCGCUAAUGUAUUAAUUAUUGAUCUCGCCAGAGGGCGGCCAACAGUUCCCUUCAUCAAAUAUUGCGGAAAAGACUUGGGUCACCCUCUGACAUGGGGAACAAUGGACAAAGUUUUUAUACGUACGCAUAAUAAGUCGCCGAUCUGUACUAAAUAUCUAGAGUCAGGAUAAAGAAGACAUCCCCAGGGAUGGAGUGGCCCCCUGUUUAUUGGAUAGGCAAUAUGAGCAUGGCUGGGGGAGAUAUGGGGUGAGCCUGGGGGUGGGGGAGGACAGGGGUGGAGGAACCAUCACUUGCAUGUGGAAUCUGAAGAUAUUUCUUGCGCUUAUCCUAGCCCCCCUUUUUUUAUCGUCCCCUGUCUUUUCUCAUUCCUUCCUUCGACCUUCUUCUCUUUUUCCCUCUCCACCACCUUCUUUCUAUGGACCUUCGAAGUAGUUGUAGCUCCCCGUGUUGGUGCUGAAUGAGAACAGUUACAUAAUGGAAAUAUGAAAAAAAGUACUUAAUAAUAAACUAGCUGAGUAUUUGGAAAUCACUAGAUCGCCUGCAAUUAUCGUUUCUCUGUUUAGAAGAUAAGGGACCUUAACAGACAAAUAAAGCAUUUAAUACAGACAUCAGUCAACAUCAGUCAUCAGACAUUUCUAUGCAUUUGAGGAUAUUUCUUAACUAAUUAGUAACAAUAAAAUUACUGAAUGGAUGGAAACAAUGUUCAAUAAAUUAGAUGGAGUCUAUCUACUAUAGAUACCGCCCAAGUAAAUUUUUAAUAAAAGCCAAUUUUAGACCAUAGUUAAUUGAAACAAAUUUACUCAAACUUUUUAAAUCAGGACAACUUGAGCCAACCCCAAUCGUCCUCUUUAUGGAAAUUGGUAAUACUCCAUGGCGGAACAGAGAAUCCGCAUUGGGAAUGUUCCCUGGUAGCAUCAAGCUGCCGAUUGGCAGACACUACAAAGAAAUCAAUACAUUUAAUAAAUAAACAAUGGAACACAUGACUUACUAUUCAUUGACACACCAUGUACCCUGUGUAGGGUAUCUAGGUAAAGUACUCUUUAAUAAUCAGACAGAACAUGACGAUUGUUUCUUCCUUAUUAUAGGCUUUGUAGAUAAAUGGCUCCCAAUCGUCCAGAUUUCAGCAGGACAAUCCCGAUUAGGUAGGGAGGCUGGGUGGCCUUAAAUCGAAAUAAAAAAUAAUAAUUUAUGAGUGUAUGUGAAAAUGUGUGUGUGUAUGUGUUAGUAUCAGUGUGUGUGUUUGUGUGUCUGUUAGUGAAUGUGUGUGUGUCAGUAUAAACUUAUUGCAAUGAUGAACAUGUCAGCGUUCCUCCUAAGUGUCCCUAUUUAGGAGGGACAGUACCAAAUAUGAGCCAAACGCCUCUGUCCCUCUUUUCUAGGAGCUCCCUGUAGUUGGAGUGUUUGAGUGUACAGCAGAGCACCACAGCAAUAACACUCACAGUAAUAUGUCUUUAUAUUUUAGUUGUUUUAAAUUGUUAUUUGUAAGUCACCUAAACAGACUGCCCCUGGUCACACGCACACCCAUAAAAUUAAAGUGUCCCUCUUUGUCCACUAAAAAUGUUAAAAGCUAUUUACCUGCCUUUAGUAAAUACCAGAAUUGGAGAUAUUUCUCCAAGAUAACUAUUUUACCCAGCAAUGUGUAAGUUGGGUGCAAAGUUAGUGUUAACCCACUUUUAGAUGACAGACUGCAUGAAAACACAAUGAGCAUCUUCUCGAUGCAAUGCCUGUUCCUGUUUUUUAUUGUUUAUUGUAAUACGUGUAUAAGAUUUUAAUAAUCUUAUUGAAAAAAUCUAAGUGCUAAGCAAGCUCAAUAGCAAGGUUACCUUCUGGCAUAGAUACUGUUAAUAUUAUAAGUCAAAAGUUGUAAGUGCUUUAAAAGAACCCUACUACUUUAUUCUUUCUCAGUAGAGGUUGGCAUUCUAAAAUCCCAUAUAUUAACUAUCUCUACGUGAAAUUUCUUUUUAAGUUGACAACGGGUUUUUUCAACGAGUCAUUAAUCCAUAUCAUGCCAGGAAAGUGUCCUGUUACCUGGUCACUGAUUCACAAGCCGUGCUCUUUAAAGACCAUUUCUGUUCAUUAAACCUAUGCUUACUUCAAGCCAGCUCUUGAAAAUUCUAGUAAAUUGUUUACAUUUUCAUUCUCGUUUAACAUGUUUUGUGAAAGUGUUUGAAUCUUUUCUUCAUAUUUACAAAUUAAUAUCGCUUAAUCUUUUUCAAAGCGGGCUUUCAAACGUAUUUUUUCUGUUCUCCGAUCCGUUAAUAGAAGAUCACACAGUCACGUGUUUUUAAACCCAUGCUGCCACUAACGCUACGGUGUUUAAAGAACUAAACUGACAGCAAUCCUUUUGUAUAAAAUCUCAUGAUGUACUCAGACUCCCAUUGGGAGGAAAGAACAUGCUACAUUUCCUAAGCUUUUGAAAGGUUGUCGGGGAUGAUUUGUCAAAAAGAUAAUGUAGAUAAUUAAGAACUCAGCUUUUUAGAGGUUGCAAUGUUGAAUGAAAAACUGACAUCUUUUUAUCUAUUUCUAAGUACCAAAUGGGCUUACAAAGGAAUAUAGUGGUGUUUUUUCCACUAACAAACACUAAAGCACCAAAAAAAAGAAAAAUGCUUGUCAAAGAGACCCAAUCUCAAAAAAGAUUAAAAAGUAGAAAAGAAUAAACAGAAAGGCGAUUGCAGAGAAUAGAAAAACAAGGUUAGAAACCUAAAAUCAUGGGACAGUCCAACAUAAAAGGAGAUAAAAUACCAAAAAAGUUUGAUAAGGACAAUUAAAAGGAAUUAUUGAUUUAGACAGAACAAACAAAACAAAGAAAAUAGCAUCUAAAAUGUUUGGACUCAGAGAAUACCAGACGUGGUGGGAAUAAGGGAUGUUCUUCUGACAUUGUGGGAAAAAAGCAAGCAUUGUGUCAUGUAAAACACUUCAGAGUGGACAGAUAAUAGGAGCCAUGUACAGGAAGAUAAAGACAGUUAAAUAGUAUUUACUCUGCAACAAUCAUGAAAAAUAAAGGAGCAUGGUGUUUAAAGCUUCUGACGGCUGAAUAGUUUGUAAUUUUGGUCGAUCAAUUUCAAUCGCAUCUACACAUUUUUUUCUAUGAAGAACAGCAAGAUAAAUAUAAAUUCAAGGUGUCCAAAUAGCUUGGUUUUAUAACAAUGACCACAUACAUGUGGGGUGGGUUAGUGUGAAUGUGUGGCUGAAAGAGAAGCAUUGUUGAACUUUGACAUUUCUUGAUGUUCCAUUUCUAAUAGGACAAAGCAAUCAUUUUGAAAACGCAAAAAUAAUCAUCUAAAAUGUUUGAAGGAUAUCUUAUCUCAGUGUCACGUUAGGAAACCUGAACAUGCAGACUAUAAAAUGCAGAAUAGGUAAAUAGACACAAGAAAGUGUCACUGGUCCUUAGAGGUUGCCAGGCUUCACGCAGGACAAAAUAACAGGGUAAACGUUAAACUAGUCAAGGGAAACCAGAUAUCAGAGUGUACAGAGCCAGACAAGAGGUACCAGAAUUCAGCAUUGUCAAUGGGAAAGCUGGGUGAGAAUACUACUCAAUGAGGAGCACAACCAUAAAAAAUGAAAAGACACUUUAUUAAAUGGGUCCACUAUAACAGGUAUCUCAAAAUGCAUAUCAGACACUCAUAGAAUAUAUCACAUAAUAGUAGUACAAACAUUAUGUGAAAAAUUCUGCAAUUAUAUCCUGUGCCUACCUUUUUUCUCAUUUAAGUGUCUGAGAUUAACAGAGAGUCAGAAUACAGAAUACAGCGCUCUUUCAGUGUUUCUUUCUCUGGCUCUGCUUCUUCUCCCCAACUCCUCUCUGUUGGUGUCCCCCAAGGUCCCCAAUAUCAUUUCUAUGCAGAUGACACGCAAAUCUACCUGUCCUCUCCUGAUCUCUCCCCGUCUCUCUUGACUAGUGUCUCUGACUGCCUCUCUGCUAUUUCUAAUAAAAAAUGCCCACUUCCUUAAACUAAACUUGACCAAAACUGAAAUUCUGGUCUUUCCUCCCUCAAGUGUUGUUACUCAUGUCUCCCUCCAAGUCAACGGUGCUACCAUCAGCUCCACCACGCAGGCUCGCUGCCUAGGUGUUCCCUUUGACUCCGACCUCUCCUUCAAGCCUCAUGUUCAAUCUAUCGCCAAAUCCUGUCAUUUCCAUCUCAAAAACAUUGCGCGCAUCCGCCCCUACUUAACGCCAGAUGUGACUAAGAUGUUGGUCCAUUCCACUAUCCUUUCUCGUCUUGACUACUGUAAUCCACUUCUCAGUGGUCUUACGUGCUCCCAACUUGGGCAGUUACAGUCCAUAAUGAAUGCGGCAGCGAGGCUCAUCUUCCUGUCCGCCCGCACCUUCCGUGCCUCACCCUUCUUUCAGUCCCUACAUUGGCUUCCUAUAAAAUAUAGAGCUCAAUUUAAAAUUCUGGUUCUUGCAUUCAAAUCUCUACAUAAUGCUGCUCCCACCUAUCUAUCCUCCCUUAUACACAAGUAUGUCCCGUCUAGGCCCUUACGAUCUGCUGAAGACUUACGUCUAUCUUCUGUCCGUACUCCCACCUCUGAUGCUCGCCUUCAAGAUUUCUCGAGGGCUGCACUGUUCCAGUGGAACUCGCUUCCCUCCUCCAUUAGAUGCUCACCCAGUCUCCACUCCUUCAAAAAAUCGUUAAAAACCCACUUCUUCAUAAAAGCGUAUCAAUUAAACUGUUAAUAGCUCCUGACUGAUUCUUCUUCUGCAACUGUCACUAGUCUAAUACUAUCCUUACCUUUUUGUGUCUUUUUACCCCACUCCCUCUAGCAUUUAAGCUCAUUGAGCAGGGCCCUUAACCCCUCUGUUCCAGUGUGUCCAACUUGUCUGGUUAAAACUACAUGUCUGUUUGUCCACCCAUUGUAAAGAGCUGUGGAAUUUGAUGGCGCUAUAUAAAUAUCAUAAUAAUAAUUAUAAUAAUAAUCACACUAUUGGGAUCAAAGAACCACAGCAGGGUAUAGAACACUUGAAAUCACUUCUACUUAUAUGUGUAGAGUUUUAUUGCAAUGACCACACUCCCAAAACAUGAGGGGGGCAUCAAUAAUGACGUCUCAAAUCCAUGUCACUGAUGUCAUGACGCCGGGGCGCAGAUGCUGCAUCCUACAAGAGGGCAGGUGCGCAGGCUCUUGCGUCUUGAACGCCAAGAGAGGAGAAAGUCCUGGGGAGAAUUAUUCCAGGAAAAUGUAAGUGUCACUACCGGCGACCUUACACUAAGCUGCUAUUACUGCCAAAUAUAAACAUUGUAGCACAACAUUAUUUGGAAGUUAAAAAAGUGUAUGCACAUUUUCAUAAUUCUAUAUCCAAUCAAUAUCAUUGAAUUGUAGGCACUUUGAACACCAAGACUCUUGGACAGGGUCACUGUUUCCUGCAUUUUCUUACAUAUACCAGUAGGUGGCAUCAGGAAGUUUGUGUUUUGUUUACAAUUGUUAUCAUAACAAUUUAGAGACAAAUCGUCUGUAUCAUUAUAAUCUAUCCAGAAUGCACCAGGUCAUAAAAUCAAGGGAAAAAUCAUUUUAUGGGGUGCAUUGCUUAUUUUAGGCAUGGCCCAGCUAAGAGUCUCUUUAAGUGAUUAUUAUGAGGCCCAACAAUAAAACAUUGCAUUUCCAAUAUCAUCCAUUAGCGUAUAUACAUAGAUCACUCCUGUUAGGAAUGAUAUUGUAGAAAAGUGUAAUCUCUGUUAUAGAAUUCAUUAGCUAGCACGUGUUACAAAUAAACGUUUGUUUUAUCACGAUUAGGGUUUCAAAAAUGUUGUCACUUGCUCACCAAUAUGACAUCUCAUCAUCUUAUUUCAUGAUGUCAUCUUUCCCUUUGUUUUAUCUUUUUAACUUUUCACAAUAUCAUUCUUCAACUCAUGGAAUGGUUAAGUCUGUUCAUAGGAACUGUGCACAGCUUGAGCAGUGGCAUGGUGUAGUAAGCUGCCUUCAUGUUAGUCUCUGAUUCAAGCCCAGUAAAAGUAUACUGCUAGCUUUAUCUACAGGGAUCACAAGAAGUUUCAAACAGUGUUUAGGGACGUCUGAUGUUUAAAGGUCAGCUGCUGAACUCUGCCCCGAUAGAGAACUAAUUCAUCCUACAAAUUAAGUGACUUCCUCCCUCCCCCCACUUCCAAGUAUUAUUAGUUUUUUACGGUCUUUGGCCUUCAGCUGUAGAAUUGUGGUAUAAGAUACUCAAUCAGCUAAAAGCUGGCGGUCAUUGAGGUUCAAGAAAUAUUACUGUGUACUUGAGGAACUCAAGAUAACUUUGCAGCGGAUAGGCUGAGGAAGGGAUAGCAUGAGACAUGGGACAGAUUAAGGCAUCAACUAUCUGUUUUGCUACUAAAUGGUUGUUUUUAGAAACAGAUUUUGGACAAAGAAGAUCAUAAAACAAAUCUCUAUGGAACCAUUUUUAACUGUAUACUUAAAAUUUUGAUAGAACACUAUAAAUGUAAAAAAAUAACAGGUUAAAGUUUCAGACAGAUGGGUGGACAGAUGGAUAGAUGGAUGGAUGGAUGGUUCGAUGAAUGGAUGGAUAAUAGGUUGAAUGGAUGGAUGGUUGGAUGGAUGGAUGGAUGGAUGGAUGGUUGGAUGGAUUGGAUGAAUGGUUGGAUGGAUGAAUGAAUGGAUGAAUGGAUGGUUGGAUGAAGGGAUGGUUGGUUGGAUAGAUGGAUGGAUGGAUGGAUGGUUGGAUGGAUUAAUGAAUGGAUGAAUGGAUGGUUGGAUGGAUUAAUGAAUGGAUGAAUGGAUGGUUGGAUGGAUGGAUGAAGGGAUGGAUGGUUGGAUAGAUGGAUGGAUGAUGGAUGGAUAGAUGGAGAGAUAAAAGAUGGAUUCAUUUUGCUGCUUAGUAUAGGAAGAGUUUUUGUAAUUUUUUAAAAAUAUUUUUGUAUGGUUUUUAUGUGAAUAAAGUUUGUUUUUCAUGCUCUGUCAGACCUUUAUGUUCAGCAAUGGGAAAUAUGUGAAACUCCAUUUAAAGGAACAUAAAUUCAUGGGCAGAAUUGCCAGAGUUAAACAGUCCAAAUACACUCUGACACAUAACUGUGUUACUGCCUUAACAAUAAAGUAUUUACUUGUAGGAGAUUUAGCACUCUUCCUGUAUAGUAUAGGUGCAAGAUUCCAAAGCUAAUCCCCAAUCACCUGCACAAAGUAAAAAAAAAUUAUUAAGCCUCAACACCAAGUUAAUCAAAUAAAGAUUUAUUCCACUAAAAAGUGGACCAAGCAGCAGGAUUCCUUUGGGUCAAUGAAGUCAAUUUUAUCCAUAUUUGCCAUUUGACUGUAGACGCAGAGCAUUGUGAUGCCAGAGAGCAAAUGGCAUGGACCCCAAACCAUGCCAUGUAUGUCCUCCCCUCGGUCCUCCGUCCUUGACAUCUGUCACUCUCAGGAAUGAUGUCAGUGGAGUAAGAUCAAGCUGUAGGGAAACCUUGGCCUAAGAACUGGAAUUGAGUUUAAGCUAAAUUCUAUAUAUUUUUUUUUUUGCAGGAGUGAUCAGUAUAGGAAGAUUAUGGUAUAUUAUUUUUAUAAUUCACAGUUUUUGGUAGGAGUGACCAUCUAAAUCCUUUUUGCCCUGUAUGAUUUGUUACUUAAAACACAUGAUUUAAGGACGGAAUCACUUUGCUAAGGCUUUUAGAAGUUUUGGAAGAAGGACAACUAUUGGUAUUGUGUAAUUUUACUAAUUAUGUUAUACAUGGGAAAUUGUUUCAAUUCUCAAAGAUCAACAAACCUGGCUACAUUUUUUUGCUGCCCCCUCUGCUUAUGUGUGGAAUUGCAUGUCAGACAAAUUGCCUUCAUAGUCCCUGCCUGCCCUCUCCACCAAGGAAGUGGAAGACUGCCCUCAACUACACAUGGAUUUUAGACCAUGUAUAUGUAAUAGAAAUUCAUUAUUAAACCUACCAUUGUACAUUGCUACAGGUUUCUCAAAUGCCAUUAUUUUUUGUUUUAAAUUAUUGUGAUAAUAUGUAUUUUACUCUUCUGGAGACAAUGCCAAACAGAUGCACUUUGUGUCAAUUCCUUUUUUUAAAGGAUAUGCUCCCUGUCAGUUUUUACAAGGUAUGUUAAAUUUGCAGACAAGAAAAACGGAUCAAAGAUAGGCAAUGUGGACACAAAAACUUUUUGACAUUACAACUGUCGAUACUAAAUAUUGAUUUGUAAUUAUAAACGGAAUGAGCUCUAUAGGAGGCAAACCUUGGAAUUACGGAGUCUAGCUUUCCAAUAAUGAACAAGUUAAUCAUCAAUUAUUUUGUAAGCAUUAAAUAUUAUCUUAUUCCACCCAGACUUUUCCAAGCUUAGCAAUCAAUCCCUGAUCUUUUUGGUUUGAAAAUAAACUGUGUAACUUGUCAGGCUCUGUCUGUGUUUGUUUAUGUUUGUUGUGAUAUUAUUGUAAUAAGACUUGACAUGGAAAUGAGAAUUCGGAGAAACAAUUAAUAUUGUGUAUGAUAGCACUUUAAAUGCUGUUCUGAGAUAAUUAUCUUCUUUCUACGUGCAGUUGCAUUUUUUUAUUUUGUAUCUUCUUGAUUAUGUCUGUGUUAUGAUGAAGAUAAUAUAGAGGAGAUCUGUGCACAUCACAUUAUACAAGCUAUGUCUAGGUGUAUUUUUGGUGGCAUUUAAACACCUAAAAAAAUUAAUAGGGUGACUCAGUAUCACUUAGCUGGCCAAUAUGCAGUUAUAGUUUAUUCUGAUGUAAUUUUAUAAACGAGAUGUUAUUAUUUUAAACCAAAAAAAAAAUAUCUCCUGACAUUUAUACUGAGACUCUAUACAUCCAUUAUUUUUCACAAAUGUAACCAUUAAAGUGUUACUGUAAUGCCAAUGGGACAUAAUGGCAAUUUGUAGCCAAUAAAAUUCAUUCUAUACUUAGUGCGUGCCUGCCUACGUACUGGUAGAUUUAUAGGUACAAUUUUCAGUCGAUUGUGCCGGAUAUGUCUUUUUGCACCCACAAUGCAUAGUGAACCAUCCCACAAUGGGUUUCAGGUUCCCAAACUUUAGAUCAUCGAAUAAUCAAUCACACCAAAAUAUUUAUUUGUUUUAUCAUAAUUUGCAUAGCAACAACGUAUUCUUCAGAGUUAUUAUAUUUCAAUGGAGAUAUAAAGCAACAAAUAGUUAAUAAAAACAGAUGCAGAAGGCUGAGAUCCUUGGGAAAAUUAACUUCUUAUUAUUAUUAUUAUCACCAUUUAUAUAGCGCCAACAGAUUUCGUAGCGCUUUACAAUAUUAUGAGAGGGGGGAUUUAACUAUAAAUAGGACAAUUACAAGAAAACUUACAGGAAUGAUAGGUUGACGAGGACCCUGCUCAAACGAGCCUACAGUCUAUAGGAGGUGGGGUAUAAAACACAACAGGACAGCUUACACUCCAUGAGGAAUUAGGGAGGUUAAGAACUCUAUAGGAAUAACAGUGUGUCAGAAGGGAGGAGAGGUUGUCAGGUAUGGCAGCUGUCUAGAUAAUUUGUGAAACAAAGAUUAUUAAAGUUAUUGGCACAGCACACCAGCAUAAAUUAACAAAACAUAAACAAACAAGCAAAUACAUUUAUGUGUAUAUAUCCCUAGCAGCUCAUCUCUAAUGAGUCAUUACGGAAAAUUACUUAUAUUUUAUCCAAAUUAGGACUCUGCUAAUUUGGUGUAAAUUUGGUGUCAAUGUUAUCCCAUAUUUUCACACAGAAAUGAAACCAUAGUAAUCAGCAUUUAUCUGUUAUAUCAUCAAUUGUACUGGCACCCAUUCAUCAAACAGUUAGCAAUGGAAACCAGACAGACAACUUACAAAAAUAUUGAAUUAGAAAACAGGGUUCAGUUCAGCGUUCAGAGUUGGUGAUAUUUUCAGUCUUUACACUUUUGGUCUAAUUUUGACAAUUACAGACGUAGUUACUAAAAUGUGAAUUCAAAGUGAAUUAUGGUCAAAUUAACUGUGCUUUCAUUUCACCUACUUUGGCCCUUACACUUGAAAUUCACAUUGAAUACACUUUGAAUUUUUACUUUAAUCAAUAAUCCUGUUGGUUUUUCAAGACACCACAGCCAGUGUGUCACAAAUAAACCCUUAGUAAAAAUGUUUUGUUUUUGUUAAAGGAACACUUCAUAGGAAUUUUGGUUAAAAUUGCCUGUCCAUGCAGAGAAAUAGGCAUUUUUUAAAAUACAUUUGCCACACAAUAAAAUGUCAGGAUGGUUUCCAACCUCGCUAACUUUCAACUAUAAUUCAUACUGGAAGUGGGGUGGUGCGCUGAUCUCAUCACUUAACAUUAAUAUACUUCUCAGUGAAGUGUAACAGAGUUUAUUAAGGACUGUAUGUCACAUGCAUGCGCGAUUUGUCCCCGUGGCCUCUGAUUGGGUAAUGUCCAGCCCAGACAUUCCCGUGCAGCAGUUCGACAGCUGAUAUAAACUUUUAUAUGUUUUUUUAUACCCCCUUUAAAAAAUAUUUAAUACCUGUUUUUUGAGAGAGUGUAUCUAAUAUAUAUUAACUAAAUGGUUGGAGAAAUAAUUUACGAGGAUUUAUUUACUGGGGACCAUGCAACACAACAUGCAAUCAAGGUUGUUAUUUCUGGUUGUCUGCCAUUUUAAUCCCAAAUAGAGGAUUUCAGAAAAGAUCCUCUGCCAACAUCUACCAAACACGACCCAGAUCAUCUUAUUCAGCUCAUCCUGUUGGCAAAUUCUAAACACAGUUUUAAAAUAAAUGGCUAUUAAAUGGAAAAUGCCAAACUCCUGAUUGUGACAUGCUUGAUGCAUCUCAAAAUCCAGGGAGAUGGAAAUGAUCAGACUGACAUUUGCCAAGGUCCAGCACCAUUAAUCCUCAGCUUAUCUCCACUCUGCUGGUGGGUGAUGCUGUGGGACGAUAACUUUACUGAUAUUCUGAAAUGGAACCUGCUUCACAUAGAUUGGUUUCAGCGACGAUGAGACUGCUGCAAUGCUGCUUAAAAUGAUCUGUGACUGGGAGCUGGCUGCAGACCAACGACAUCCAGCUGUUCCUGAGGUUAAGCUGUAUGAGCCAUAUGUAAUGAUUUUUCAGCUUUGACUUUUGCACUGUAAGCUCAGUGGAUAGAAAGUCAUUGACUGGUAAAGCCUCUCUCAGUCCAACGUGUGAAUAUAUUGUUUUUUGGAAAACAAUACCUACAAUCUCUCCAAAUAAUGAACUUAGAGCUAUUUCCAUCUACAGAGAAAUUGAAGUUUGUUACUUAUGCACUUAACCCUUUUUACCCCAAAUAACUAUUUGGUGCCAGUUUCCCCCCUCUACAGAGCAGCCAUUGCUUCCUUCCUUCCUUUAGAGAUAAAAAUGUGUCCUUAUACCAUGCAUCAAUUCAGUCUUCUGCAGAAUAGGUCACUUUUAGUAAGUCUUUCUCCCACCUGCCUUACAGCCCUCUGUAGGACCUUGUACUCCCAUCGACCUUACUGUCCUCUGCAGAGCCUGUGCCUCUGGUAAGCCUCAUUCUCUUAUGCUACUGUUAUAGCCUUGUGCUACCACCUUCCUCUUCAAAAGCUCCUUAUUCAUUAACGAGGGCAGUGGUAGACCACCUUCGGUACACCAGAUGUUGUGGACUACAUCUCCUAUAAUGCUUCUAUAGUUAUAAUCUAGAAAAACAUUAGGGGAGAUGUGGUCACAGCAUCUGGCUUAUUAAACAUGUUAUAAAAUAAAAUAAAUAUAUUUAUAAAUAUAUAAUAUAUGUAUAUAUAUUAUAUAUAUAUAUAUAUAAUAUAUAUACAUAUUAUAUAUAUGUAACGUCAUACAUAGUGUAUUUUAAUAUUAAUAUAAGCACAUAUAUUAGUAUUAAAAUACACUUAGAAAGACGUUACACAUAUAUAAUAUGUAUAUAUAUUAUAUAUAUAAUAGAUAUAUACACAUGUAUUAUAUAUAUAUAUAUAUAUAUAUAUAUAUAUAUAUAUAUAUAUAUAUACGUAUAAUUACAAUAAUAAAUAAAUAAAAUAAUAAAAUUAAUAAAUAAAAUAUUGAAACAAAAUUUAAUAUAAAUUAUAUAUUCAUAUGUAAUUUCAUUCUAACUGUAUUUAUAUAUAUAUAUAUAUAUAUAUAUAUAUAUAUAUAUAUAUUGGUAACAAAAUACACUUAGAAUGACAUUCUAUAUAUAUCUAUCUAUAUAUAAAAUACAAAUAACCGCAAAUAUAUAUAUAUAUAUAUAUAUAUAUAUAUAGAUAGAUAAAUACAUAUAUAUAUAUAUAUAUAUAUAUAUAUAUAUAUAUAUAUAUAUAUGUAUAUAUAUAGAUAAAUACAUAUAAUUACAUAAAAGAUUACAUUAGUAUACAUGUAGAAUUUAAAUACCUAUAAAUGCAUAUAUAUUAAAAUUCUACGUGUAUAUUUAAGUAAUCUUCUAACAUAAUUAUGUGAUUUGAUUAAUUAAAAUUUGAUUGACAUGCCUGACAACACAGGGAGAAAGUGCAGAGAAUUUAAUUCGCAAGCACUAUAUUUGACCCUGUAACUCUCCAAGACACCAAAAAACCUGUACAUAGGGGGCACUGAUUUACUCAGGAGACUUCGCUGAACUCAAAUAUUAUUGUUUCAAACUGGUAAAUUGUAUUACAACGAUGAUAUUUUAAGUAAAAGUUAAGUUUUUUACAUUUUUUUACAAUCAAACAGCACUUUUAUGGACUAUAUUAUUGUUGUAAUAUGUUUUACUGUUUUAAAACACUAAUAUUUAUGUUUAGUCUCCCGAGAAUAACAGUACCCCCCAUGUACAGGUUUUAUGGUGUUUUGGAAAGUUAGAGAGUCACAUAUAAGGCUUGCAUUUCAUUUUUUUUACAUUGAAAUUUGCCAGAUUGGUUAUGUUGCAUUUGAGAGCGUAUGGUAGCCCAGGAAUGAUAAUUACCCCCAUGAUGGCAUACCAUUUGCAAAAGUAGACAACCCAAGGUAUUGCAAGUGGGGUAUGUCCAGUCUUUCUUAGUAGCCACUUAGUCACAAACACUGACCAAAUAUUAGUUUUUUGCUUUUUUCACACAAAAACAAAUAUGAACACUAACUUUGGCUAGUGUUUGUGACUAAGUGGCUACUAAAAAAGACUAAACAUACCCCACUUUCAAUACCUUGGGUUGUCUACUUUUUCAAAUGGUAUGCCAUUAUGGGGGGGUAAUUCUCAUUCCUGGGCUACCACACCGUCUCAAAGGUAACAUUACUAAUCUGGCAAAUUUCAAUUUGAAAAUGUAACGUUCUAUAUUUGACCCUGUAACUUUCCAAAACACCAUAAAACCUGUUAAUGGGGGGUACUGUAGUACUCGUGAGACAUCGCUGAUUACAAAUGUGUGCAUUUUUGUGCAGUAAAACCUAACAGUAUUAUGACAUUCACAGCUUAAAAUGUCAGACGGAGAUACAAAUUUAAAAAAAAAUCUUAUUUUCUCACAUUUUUUUAAAAUUUUAUUCAUAAUAACUUACGUUCCAUAUAUGAAUAGUUAAUGAUAAAUUAAAGCCCUGUUUCUCCUGAACAAAAUGAUAUAUAAUAAGUGAGACAUAUAGCGCAAAUUCCAAUUUUUGUUUACGUUUUGUUUUAAUCAGAACGUGCACUAUUGACUCCGUCCUGAAGGGGUUAAGAGACAUUUCAACAGAAAUAUAAACUAUUGAUUUCACAGAAAGUGUACACAAGUGUAAUAAUUAGUAGGAUCUACCAAAUCAAUACACUGAGUAAGCAGUGAAACUUAAACGAUCAGUAAUUAAUAAAGAAAAUGAAAGAGGGAAGGGAACUGUGAGGGCUGCCCAGCAAUGUAACUUAUGGACUCGUAAUAAUGAAGGACAACAACAAUCAAUUUACAAUUGAUUUACAUAUUUGCCUUUAUCACCUUUAACAUAUAAACAUCUUUUGCAUCGUUUGUCUAUACAGGAACAAUAACAGCCAAUCGUAAAAGUCGAUUGUAAGUUUUGUCCACCAAUAAACCCCUUCAGCACUGGAGGGAUAAGCCAUAAUUAUAUAUCUGAUUCUUGAAUUAAUUGAUACCUGCUUGAACUGCUACUAAUUACUCUCAUCUAAAUUGCAGCUGUGAUCAUAUAAACAUAUAGAAGAAACCCUUUUUAAUAUUUAGAGUACGUCCGUACCUUGGCAGAAAUUGUAUUAUUAUUAUGACGUAUUUACUUUGUUACUCUGUUUAGAAUGUUUAGAAUGCUUUUUGUUCAUAUUUGAUGAUCUAAUGAACUGUCACAAGGCAGCUAAAUUUAAUAGCAAGUACUUCUGGAAUCAGGAAAGUUAUAUUUAGCUUCUUUCUAGAUUCCAUGCAUGAUCUAGAUGGUAUUACCCAACUUAACAGUACACAUUUUAUUGACAGGGCUAAUAUUACGGUGUAACUUUGCAUUACCACUAUAACAAGACAGGCAUCUGGGGGUAGUGGCUAUGGUGCGUAGAGUGCACAUUUAAAGCAUAUUGCUUAUUAUUUUGAUAUCUCUGUAAUGCCACUGAUCCGUAAAGGAUUAAUCUGUAGGUAUACUAAUUGUCAGUUCAGAGUGCUAGUGCACACACUACUCAUUAGGAAUGUACCUUGAGAACCAAGAUCCCAUUGCCGGCAAUCAAUGAGUUUUAUGCAUGAAACUGGCAACAUUAGAUUACAACUACAAGCCAAUUGGGAGAACCGCUAGCACUUACGGUAAAUUAUAUGAUAUACAUUGUGAAUAUGAACAUUUCAUACAAAUCCUGUAUCUUCAAUGACACGGUGAACAGAUCCCCACUAACUAACAGCACACAGGAUGCACAACUGUCAUUGUAUGGGCCCCACUCAAUUUUCGUGUAAAUUUAGAACUGCAAACCUCAUGUGCUUACUUUUUAUUGACUUCUAAAAUGUGACUGAAAUUCUGAAACUAUUACUGAACGUUUUUAAAAAGAGGGAAAAAUCAGUGCGCUCGAGACUUGGGGUCUAAUAGCUCACUGUCACACUCUAUUGACCAGUAUUGUGGAUCAUUAAUUGCCCCUGGCUUUUUCUACAAGUCAUUGCUUUCCAAACUGGACAUUAACAGCAUGUAAUUGACAAUUUCUUUUCCAUUUUUUUAUUUUGUAAAGAAGAGAGAGAAAAAUGUCCGACUUGGGGUUUAAGAGGUAAAAUGCCGCAUUAAAUAUUUAAGAGAUGAUGUGUGUUUCUUUCUACGGGGAAUUUCUCUUUUGUUCAAUCAUGUUUUAUAGAAAGGUUGGCUCCUAAAUGUUUCCAGAAAAAGGCAUUGAAAAAAUAAAAAAACCUCCUGCAUUUUCAAUUUGGGAUUUUCCAAGUUGCAAUGUGUUAUAGACAAAGAAAAAUCAAUUAGUGCAAAGUGUAUGAUUUUAUCUCAUCUUGUCAUAUUAUGCAAAUUAAAUUGUUCUUGAGAAAGACAAGAUAAUGAGGAAAUGAGAAUACUGCAGAGAGGAAAGCUUUGUAUAAAAUACCCGAACCGAAGGAGUGUUUGAAAGGUAGAUUCCCAGAUCCUCUGGUUAUGUGGGAAUCAACCUUUUAGGUACUUCUGAACUAACUCAUGCCUCCUGACAUGCCUUGAUUUGGUGGGACAGUCCUAAUUUGGGUCUCCGUUCACAGGAUUUCACAAGCUGCACCAGGCCACAUAUGAUGAUUAUUGCAUGAGUGCCGCACACUCUAAAGUCCUUGUUCAUCAUGUUAAUUAUGCUAAUAGGAUAAUAUGUUAAACGGGAAGUUCCAUGAAGACAAAAACAUUGUAAGUCUAUGCACCACCAGUUUAGUAUUCCGAGGACUAAACCCCCGAGUGACUAUCUUAUUUAGCAAAAAGGGUCAUGUUUAUGUAUGUCAAUGAAAAAGGCAGUUAACAUGCUAAAGUAUUAAUUUCUGUUUUGAGCAUUGUUAUAGUGAUAAUAAUAUCUAAUGGGGGGAUUGGAGGCUGAAGCCCCAGACAAUGGACUCUUUGGAUCCCUGCAAGUAGUGAACAGGACAGGAGGAUAUUGGAUUUUUAUGAAACAAUUUUGCAGACAGCUGUUUCUCAAUAAAGCUCUAUUAUAAAAUGAAUUAUCACUCUUAAAGUGCUCUGCACUGUUUUUAAAGAGGUGGCUGGGGAAUAGAAUGUAUCUGUGAACCAUUCUAUUAUUUAGGUAGUGCGGCAAGAUCACAUUGCUGGCUCUACAGGUGGUGCUUGUUUCUGGUUAUGCUUUCAUUGAAAUAGUGUAGUGCAUGUGCUGUUCAUUGCUAGAGAGUAGGUACUCAGACGUAGUUAUAGUGAUGAUCUGAUAGUGUUGCAUAGUGCUGACUGCUAUGAUAGCAAUGAGCACUAUAAAAGUCUUUUGUGGAAAAUAGAAAAAUUGGCAUCCUCUAAAGCGAGACUGGUGGGCAGAUUGGAGGAGCAGUGAAAAAAAAUCUAUAUCUAUUAAAUAUAUAAGUUACAAAAAUAUAUACGUGGUGUUUUUACUGCUCCUCUUCUUUCCCUCUAUUGCCCAUAUCUCAUUUGAUCAAUAUUUAUUGGCCUUCCCCUAUCCACCACUCAUCUUUUUUGCUAUCAAUCAUCUAUUUUAUGGUGCCAUGGGCAGAAUAUUAAAUAUUGACCACCCUCGAAAAUGUUUGGGAUUGUGCAUUCUUGACGAACACCCGAUCAGCCCUAAUUCAGACAAAUUUCAGUUCAGUCUGAAAUAAAUCUAAUUCCUAUUAAUAAUAUCAACAGGCUGUUCAAGACCUACCACUGCUUGGCUAUUUCUGAACAGUGAACUUAUGGAGUUCAUUUGUUUAAGUAGCUAGUUUUAUGGAAACUUUUUUUAAGUUUCACAAAAGAUACAUUUCGAUUAAACUAAUAAGUCUUCCUUCUUCUUGAUCGAAUUUGAUGAUGUGACUUGUUCAAUCUAUUAGCUGACAUGUCACCUCACUGUACCAUUCACAAGAAAUUGAUCAUAAUCUUCUGAUUGUCUUUCGUUAUUGAUUUCUUGUCAUGCAUUUUGAAACAUCAAUAAUUCAUUGGCCUGUGUUGAAUGAGAUUUAAAAAAAAAAUAUGUUUAGGUUACAUUCUUUUCAAAAAGCAUACAGCACUUCAAUUAAAAGAUGAUUAAAACAAUAUGUAUUGGGAUUAUUUACAAAACUGCUAUUAAAGUGUAAACUUGAGACUAAAUCAUGUAUAAAAAUCGAUUUUUUUAUUUUUUAUUUUUAUUUUUCAAUUCACUUAUUUUGGACUAAAAUUUGCCAUUUCCAGGCUUUAGUGAAUACCCCAUAUACUUUGUGUGUGUUAAAAUUACAUUUUAAGUAGUUUAACAGUUUUAGCAUAAUUUUAAGGAAACCCUUCUACUUAUACUGCACAUUCCCUUAUUUAUUUAGAAAACAAUCCACAAACACCUUCUGAUGAUUUGAUGGAUAUUUUGCUCAUUUUUGAUUGAUUGGAAUUUUAUAGUUGGUCAUAAAAAAAUAAACUGGACAAUGGUCGGAGAUUUGACUGUAUGAAGAAAUUCACUCUUGUAAUUGUUUUAUCUAUAAAAAUGAAUCACUUUCCGUUUGCCUCAUGGAGAACACAAGUUAAUGAAAAAUUCUUCCAAGAAUUUGAAGUACUGUUAUUGUGAAAGUCUUGCUCUUUUAACCUUGGUGUGCUUCUAAUGGCACAGGUAAUCUGUUACAGUUUAUAUAAUAUACUAAAACGAAUGGCAGGCUGGGAAUAUUCUCUAUAUUUUAACAUCCUCCUUUAUCGAAUGUUAUGUCAAUCCAUUAAGAGCUAUCACAACCGACAACAAAUCUAUAUUUCUUCAAGACAAAUAUGACUACUUUGAACUACUAUAUAAAUGGUAAUAUGAUAGCAUCAGAUAUUAAUGUAUUUUUUUUAUGGCCUUUCUGUUUGAGAUCUUCCAUUAAGAGUUCUCAAGUUGUGCCAGAGACCAAAAAUCAUACAACGAACUGUUUUUUUGUUUUUUUAAGGUCAUCGUUCAGAUAUAUAUUCAGAAAAUAGAAAUGAUAUUGUCUAUG